rnacentral:lncRNA from 1 species
AGCCGAUCCGACGGAUGCAGAUCGUGGCGCAGGCCGAAAGCUGCUUAAGCUCCUCAAGGGAACCCCUAGGUGCUCUGUCUUGCCACCUGGUGUUCAAGAAACCCAAGCUAUUCGUCGUUCCCAUCACUCCUAGUGCUCCAAUAGAAGGGACAGAUGACAAUUUCGCCAAGCCGUGGUAUUUCUCUGAUUCUCCUGCUGUUUAGCCUCGGCUGUGCGUAAUAUGCGCCGAGACCCCAUAGUCGUGCGCCAUCAUAAUCCAGAGGCAAUCUGAAUCUAUCUAUCAUAUAAGUUUUAUUUGCAAAUGUAUUUUCAUUGUUAUUCUUGUGUGUCACUGCCAUGUAAUGGUUUUACUAUGGUGUUGUUUAUCAUCAUGUUGAUUGUUUUUACUAGUCACGUAAUCUUUUCACUCGUGUCGUGUGUUCUGUUUCGGUGUGGGGUGCACUCUUUUCUUAUGUUACCAUAAUGCAUUUUGAGUAGAAAUCAUGUAAUCAGUUUACCCCAUUAGUUAAUCAAUAUGUUGUUUGGUGUGGCGUUUGAGAUAAUUGUUUUGAGGUGAAUAGAGAAAAUAUUGCUUAAUCAUCGGUGUUUUUACAAUUUUUAGUGCAAAGAAAAGAAGUAUAAAAUAUGCAGAUUCCAAAUUCAGGAAAUCGGGAUCAAGGAUAGAAGGAUGCUGAAAAAUCAUCAAAGUCCAUACUCUGAUGUCAUCCAAGUGCACAGUUGUUGUAGUAUAUCAUGAACAAAGUUUGUUUUAACGUUUAGAACUGAACUAAAAUGGCCACUGGCAAUCAAAUCCUUGACGGCUUCAGUAGUUUUUGUCUCGAGGGGGGCAUGAACAUUGAUCUCUAUCAAGAUAUCUCGGGUGAUCGCGGCCUUGAAUUCUGGUAUAUCGAUCGCUCUUAACAGUAUUAGAAGUAUCCAAAUGUAUAGAAAACUAUAGUAACUCAUGGCUGAUGAUAUCUGUAUAUUAAUUUAAUUCAAUAAGAAUAAUCUGAAAAAAUGUAGAGCAGCAAUCAUUGCACGACCAUAUUUAAUGUAAAAAGUUAUUAGUUUUCUUAACAUGAAAUAUUUUUAUAAUAAUAUUUGGGGCUUUGUGUUGUAGUACUUAUCUCUUGGAUUUGUAGUAUGGAUGUCAUAUAGUAUAUCCUUAUUUUCUUCCAUGUACAUGAGCUUGUUGCAUCAUGAAAUUACUAGUGAUGGUAGGUAUCGUCCAAUUGGGUUAUUCCAGGGAAUGAUUGCUAAUGUAGUCCAUUCUAGUAUGACUCGCAUCUAAAGGUCUUUCACUUAAUGUCUGUUUCGGAAUCGCUAUUUCAGAAAAGGGUGACAUAGACGACCUCACAUUUCAUGGCAACGUGCAGCUGGAACCCAGCUAAAUAUAAUAGUUAUUUUGAAUUUUUUGGUGAAUUGAAACCUUCACUUUUGGACCAAAUACAGCUCAAAAAAGAAACUUUUGGACAAAAUACAACUUAAACAAAAAAAAUUGGAACAAUUUCUCCCGCCCCGCCCUUCCGGUCUUCAAAUUUCAACCACCUGCCUAUCAUUCGCAUUUCAACCCUAGGCUCGUUUCCUAUCAACCCGGCCCUUCUUCACUGUCGGAUCUAUCAUCAUGGGCGCAGAAUUUCAAAGAUAGGUCCGGCCCGAGCAUAUAUAUAGUGCCAGCCCCCACGAAGAGUUCCUCCACUCACAGCCAGCCUGCAACGACACCUCGCGUUCCUUUCCGUCUCGUCGUUGUUCUCUUUGGCUCUCCCCAUCCCUCCGCCUCCACAGUUGGCCCUCGACUCACCUCUCCAUCUACCUGUGCAGCCGGGCAAACCUGUGACUGCUUCACCGUCUAACGCCAGCCGACCGACCAAGUGUGCGUUUGCUCACUGCAGGCGGAGAGACCAACCGGCAUGGUCCACUCCUCACCGCGAUUCGACCCUGACCCCAAGGUUUGCUAAAUCCUCCCCCGGCUCCUUGAUAAUCACCUUUUAUUUAACGGAAAUGUGGUCGGAGAACGGAGAUAUAGAUUCGUUUGCUUAGCGGCAGCCCGCGGGUCGUUUGGUCCGCUGUGCUCUGGCCCGGGGCAGAUCUGAGGCAUGGCCGUGCGUGCCUGGGUCCGUGAGUUCACGAAGGUACGGCAGGCGGCUCCACCCUGACGUAUGUUGCCGGGGAUCUGAUCUGGGGCGCCAAAAUUAUUUCGCCGGCCGCUUUGACUGUCCGUCGCCUCUUGAACUUUUAUUAGGAUUUUCGUGGUACCGGUCGUGGAGCGCACAUAGUACUAGUUUCAUCCUGUGGCUGAUGGAUUUUGGUUUCCGCUUUGCUUCCCUUCAUGUGCUGAUCUGUAUAGCGGUGGUGUCAUUUCUGGAGAGAAACUGUGUGCAAGCCUCGUGAUAUGUGUAAGCUUCUGUGGUUGUUUUUUGCUCUUGCGUCGCUGUCGUUGUCGUUGUCAAUCUUAAGGCUUAGACUGUACUGCUUUCUUUUUAGUCACUUGCUGCAUCUAAAUUGGGCAAUUGGCCACUUCAGCCUUUUUGCUUAUAUUAUAUUUCUAGAUUUGUAUCAAGCGAACCACAGACUUAAGUAUGUUUAUUUUUGUGAAGGAAGAAGGCGACGGUUUUGAAUCCAGCACAGGUGCCUGCUUUCGCGGCGGACGGCGGCGAGUGUUCGGUGGGCCUGUAAUCCUCCCUCCCCCCGCUCUCUGAUUUUCUUCCCAAUGGCGCUAAAUUUUUUCCCCUACUCGCCGAAAUCAACAAACGAUUUCCAGAAAUUUUUGGAUGGAUUUGAAAUCGGCGGAUAUCGAGACUUCUGUCGCUACUAUAUCAUCAAUUCGUAGUUGGUUUGUUGAUACUAGUUUAUUGGGAUUGAAGUUUAUUGAGUGUUUUGGGUGUUUUAUUUGCUAGAUUUGCUGCAUGUUUGUAUUUGAUCACCAUGAUUUUCGCCCCUGUAUCACAUUGGAAUUGAAAUUUGUAUCGUCUCAGCACAAACUUUUAUGGCGCUGGAUUGAAAUUGGCUGAUGGAUGCACUUUGUAGUUAUCACUCUUUUUUCACCUCAGUUAUCAGGCAUGCCCUUGAGUUGUUACUAUGGCUUAGUUUAAUUUCGACACAUAUUUUGCUCACAUUAUGUGCAGUAAUUUAUCCACUGCUAGUUAUCCCCAUAUUUCAUGUAUUAUAGUUAUCAGUCCUACUGCAUCUUAUUAAUCAGGUUUGUAGCCUGACAAUUGUAGACCAUUUGUCAGUUCAGUUUUCCAUUAACUCUAGAUGGUGCUCAGUUUCACCAUACUAGUUUUAUUUUAUUUUACUGUGAUUGCUAUUCGAAUGUACCAAGGUCUGUAAGCUCUGGGAUCUGUUUUCUCAACUCGUCGGAUAUAUAGUAGUUAUCAUAUUUCUCCUUUGGAAAUGUGCAUGCCUGCUGUAGAAAAAUUACUAGUCUCUUAAUAAUUGUUCAUGUCAACAAUUAAUUUGAUUUUUUUAGUCAACGCACAUCACUGCAGUACUUUUGUUGCUAUGUAUUCACGAUGUGUUUCUGCACUUUUGUUUCAUGGCUAUGGUCUGUACUUUGCAUAAUUACCAUCACUAUUUUGUAGUAUUGCCUUGUUUGAUGUAUAUAAACUCUUGUCCAGUAUUAGCAAGUCUACCAACCGAUGUGUGUUGUACUAUUAUUUACCCUUCCUUUUUUUCUCAUUGAUAAUUUAGCACAUUUUCAUUGAUAUUCCAUAAGUAAAUUUUGUUCAUGACUAUGACUGUCAAAUUGUUUUUUUACAGGACUGUUGUGUAUAAAUUACGAUGUGCAUUGUAUUUGAAUUACCAUGUUGUUGUAGCAAAUUUCACAAAGUUGUUUCUGGGUAUUUUUCAUCAUGUACCUUUGAAAGGGGUGGUACGAUUUUUCAUGUGAUGUUUCUAUACUUUCAUUAUGAAGUUUACUAUGCCCUCUGGUAUUUCUAUAUUUUAAAAAAAUUGUGGGACAUUUUUAACUGUAUUCCUCCUCUUGUACGUGAUAGGGCACAAUGAAAAGGAAACGCAAAGGAGAUGCAGCGAUUCAGGAGGUACUAGCUUCUUUGAUGAAGUUGAAGUCCCCUACAGAUAGAAACAUGGCUUCUUUCAGCUCGCUUCCUGGCAAACAACUUGUUCAUGAGUCAUAUACCAACGAUAAGAGCCACGACUAUGGUGACGAUACCGAUGGCUAUUCCGAUGAUGAUGGAGAUUAUCGAAUUGUUUUUUGUGCUCAAGAAGGACCCUAUGAUUCUUCAGGCAGUAGGGCAGCCUAUUUAGACGUCCAGGACAGUGCUACACUAAAUGCAGAUGUGUUGUCCAGCGGAGCAGCAAAUGAUGAAGGCACGCCAAUAAGUGUGAGGAAUGAACAUGUUGGCGAGUCGCAAAUUAUGCUUAGUGAACCUUCUUGCACGGAAUCAGUUGAUGGAAGGGAAUGCAUGCUUAGCCAGCCAGAUAUGGCAGACAAGCAGGUUUAGGUGGGCACAGAAUCUUCCUUCAAGGGAUAUGGUGCUUCUCUUGUGAAGGCUUUGGAUAAGACUUACACAAGACGCAAGAAAUUCAAGGUAUCUUCUCUGCCACCAUCAGUUGCACCAGUUUACUUUGCCAUACUAUCGGAAGCUGAAAUGGAUUACCAUAUCAAGAUCAUUGUCGUACAAGAGCUUGGGAUUCGGUUCACCGAUAAGGGCACCAGUGGAAGUAUUCCACCCCUCACUCAGUAGAAGCAAUAUUCACACAGGUGAGCUCUCAUUGUCUUUCCUUUUUCUUUUUAGUUUCAUCAUCACUGUAUGGUGAUUUUUGGAGUGAUUCUAUAGUAACUUCAGUAAUUUAACAUUGAUAACUUAUACUUCUCAUCUUUACACUUUGUUUACUUUUGCUCAAGCCACUUUGUCUUUUCUCGGCAGGAGACCUACCAAGCAGGUUGAUACGGCUAAGACAUCAUCCAGAUCAUCCCUCUUGAUGAAGAACAGGAGAUGGCGGUAGCGGCUCCGUAUCGUAAAAUGCGAUUAUUCCAUGUCUCUAUUUUUCGGACGAAUAGGUACUUAAUUAUGGAGUUGGAGUUAGGGUUGCUGGAGCUGCCAGGGGCCCACAAGCCUGCCAGGCGCGCCCUAUGGGGUGGGCACACCCCCUGGGCUUGUGGUGCCCUGGUGGCCUCCCUCUAGUAUUUCUCUUCGUCAAUAUUUUUUAUAUAUUCUGAAAAUAUUCUCUGUAAAGUUUGAGCCCAAUCCGAGAACUUUUAUUUCCAUGCAAAAAUAACACCACGGCAAUUCUGCUAUAAACCUCAUCAGUCCAGGUUAGUUUCAUUCAAAUCAUGCAAAUUAUAGUCCAAAACAAGAGCAAAAGUGGUUGGAAAAGUAGAUGCGUUUGGGGUGUAUCAGUGACCGGAUGGGGUGACGAGACAACUCUCUACCGCAUUGAAGCCGGCUCCCCGUCUGUCUGCCUACCGACAUUAAAAAGGAGGGAUAGAUGAGGAACCCACUUUGGUGCCUGCACUGAAAUAACUCGAUGUUUGGUUUAGUCAGUGUCUGGUAUUUAUAUGUGGUCGCGCACAUCAUGAUCCGCACCACACCACGUCCAUUUUCGUUCCUCCUCCAUGCACCACAUCUACCACGGCGAGCUCUAGAGCAAAGUGGGAGAACCUCUUGGCAGAGCAGAAGCACGAGUUUGUCAGCCUUGCGGCCAACUAGCAGCACUGUCAUGCACGACGGACAGAAGUUGGCUUGCCGAAGGUGAGAGACGACGAUCCGGCGCCACCGCCCACGCUGGUGCAUGCAUGCUGAGGCACUUCAAUGUCGUCAUGACGGAGAAGCAGGCGGCACUGCCAGUGUCGGGGUUUUGGCCAGCACUGGAGAAGCAAGGCUACUACCUCGCCUUCCUCGCGCAUCACUGGCCGGUUGAGGAGCAAAUCUACAAUGAGUUCACGACCAUGGCGGCCAUGGCCUCGGAUUAGCUUAACUUUGUCGACGAGAAGGGAGCGUUAUACGAGACCACGCACAGCGCUUGCGUUUGCCGCAACGCAAUCAUGGUGGAUGCUGGCAUGGUAGCUUACGCGAUCAUGAACGGGAACAUCGGCAGCUCCGCAUCACCCGCAAUUCACAUCGGGCCACAACGACCACGAGUCUAGCUCGUCCACGUCUAUCAUGAACCUCACAUCGGCUAGCUAUGUCGAAGCGGCGAAAUUCGACAAGGAAGAGUAGGACAUGGCAGACGGAGGCGUCCGCUUUCCAUGUGGGCAUAUCUGUGUCCCAUGUCUUACUCUUCCUCGCCGGUGACCCGCAGCUUAACUUCAUGGAGCUCAGGCCUGGCAAAGAUGUUGGACCUAAGGAAGACAGGACAUGGAACACGGACGCCUCCAUAACUGGCGAAGAUUUGGACUAGGAUAACAUUUUAUGUUAAAAAAAUGUCAUGUACACUUUUGUUAAAUGAAAUAUGUUGAAAACGUCUUGAAAUUGGUCUGGUUUAACUGAUCGCCUGGUUUGUUCAAAUAUCGUUUAAAAUGUGUCCGGACUUUUGAUGGAUAGGGUUGGAUGUCCGGCUCCUUUAUUACUGUCGUGGAUGUAUACCAUUUCUGUUUCAGGGGAUAGCUAUGUCAAAGCGGCGGAAUUCGACAAGGAAGAGUAGGACAUAGGAGACGGAGGCGUACGCGUUCCAUGUGGGCAUAUCCGUGUCCCAUGUCUUAAUCUUCCUCGCCGGUGACCCGCAGCUUAACUUCGUGCAGCUCAGGCCUGGCAAAGAUGUCGGACCUGAGGAAGACAGGACAUGGAAAAUGGACGCUUCCACAAUUGGCGAAGAUUUGGACUAGGUUAACAUUUUAUGUUAAAAAUGUCAUGUACACUUCUGUGAAAUGAAAUAUGUUAAAAAUGUCUUGAAAUUGGUCUGGUUUAAGUGAUGGGCUGGUUUGUUCAAAUAUCGUUUAGAAUGUGUCCGGACGUUUGAUGGAUAGGGAUGGAUGGCCGGCUCCUUUAUUAAUGUCGUGGAUGGAUACCAUUUCUGUUUUAGGGGAUAGCAUUGAAGAUACCCUAAAGAUAUUUUUCCUGAAAAGGUCUACAAUGCUACAAGACAUAUAUUUUGGAGAUAAGUUUAUGGGGAUGAUAAAAAUAGAAAUACAGAAUAUUAAUCUAAAAAUCUGACUUGAGAUGUGUUUUUAUCAGAAAAAAUAAUUCAAUUUAUUUUGAAAAUUCCUUUAACCGUUAAAUCCUAACUUAACAAUGAUUUUUUUAAAGGUCCAGCUUGGCUGGCUUCAAUAGAUUUAGCAGAGAGCAGACAGGUUAUAAGAGUUGAACAAAAGAUCAAAGACUAAGAUAAGAGCAACACGGGACUAAAGGAAAAAGAGAAAAACAAAAGGGGUAAAAAUAUUUAUCUCGCAUCUAAAUCACCGAAUGGGGUCUCUAUAGCUUUGGCUCCCGCUAAACGCCACUGUUCCAUGUUUCGUCGUAUUAACUUAACAAUGAUGCUUAACCACGUCGGAAAGAAAUGCAUUAGAAGAAAAGACAACCUUCGUUUAGGAAAAGACAAACUUCACACAAAUAUAUGUAUAAGCAGCAGAAAAGUGUGGUUCACACCAGCUAAUCACACGUAAUCUAGGUCUCAUCCCACAUGGUGCAUCAGAUGAUAAGCUAGGCUGACGUGUAACGUGCCCGUAUCCGGCGCUUUUCGGCCAAGGACGCGCGCGAAAUCACUAAAAUCAGCAAUGCAAGCUGUACUAGACUAGUAGUGUACUUGAUCCCUUCACGUACACGCCAUGGCAUAUAUCUUUUGUCGUGUUAAUAACCUUUGCUUUUGGGUGGUGAUCGUGUUAAUCAGCAAGAAACUAGUCUCCUGAUAAUAGAAACGGCGGAGCUGGAAAGCAGUGCGUGUAUAACAGUAUAAGCUAGGAGAAACACAACCAAACAAAAGUGAAAAGGAACAAUGCAAGUUGUAAGGCGGUUCUAUACGUGCACGCCAUGAUAUAUCUUUUUUGUCAGUGUUAAUAACCACUCUCUGUUCAUGGUGGGGCGGCGUGAUUCCAGUGAGGCUGAAAUGUAUGUACGCGACGCACGGCUUGAUGCCGGAGGCUGGGCUGCGCAAGACCCGCUGUUAAACCCCAUCUUCUUGCACACAUCAGGCAUCCACCUCAAAGCGCAUCCACCUCCGUUCGACUGUGGUAUAGGCCAUGGCAGCCGCAGCAGCGGGUGAGAACAGCAGGUUAACUCGGGUGAGAAAGAAGGGGGAUGGCAAGUUCGCCGCAGUUAUGAAGCACCCGGUGACAAAGACAUUGUUGUGGCUGGGGACGUACCAGUCCCCUGAGAUCGCCGCGUGCGCCUACGACCUCGCGGCUAGGGAGAUGAAGGGCACAAAGGCAAAGCUCAACUUCCCCUACCCUCCGCUGGCCAAACUGGUAAUGGAGGUGAUUGCUGCAACGAGGCACCGUAGCCGCAGUCACGACGCACACGCACCACUCUUUAAGGUUGUUACAUUGCCACCGGACCCCACAGCACCGCCUCCACUGCCGCCCAAACUGGUAGUUUACUUUUCCUUCCCCUUUGAAGCGCCCGCUGGAGACACCCCACCGGUGCCUCAAUUCUAUCUCUUAUUCUCCCGUAUCUCUCUGUAACGACCUGUUUGGUCUAUCUCUCUGAUUUCUCUCUGUAACUUGUGUACCAAGGCUUUUGCCCAAUAUAUACAAUGCCGCCCGAGACAAAGGGUUCUACGAUUCCCAAAUACUUUCACAUGGUAAUAGAGCCUCCUCCUCAUUAGAUUCAAAGAGAUCGCAUCUAGCUACCUUUGCGACAGAGAUCAUGUCUACCACCUCCGCCGCCAUGUCGCCCAGCACCAUGGGCGCGAUCACCACCACCUCCUCCUCCACCUUUGCCUCCUCAUCUACAGCCACCCAUACCUUCCAUGGAUCGCCACCACGGGAGAAGCUGACAAGGGGGAACUCACUGCUAUGGAAGGUCAUCGUGCUGCCACAGAUCAAGGGUGCUCAGAUGGAGCACUACCUCGACGAGAAGAGCCCGCCACCGCCGACCACUCUCACCAUCACCAAGGACAGCAAAGAAGAGCAAUUCAUCAACUUUGCACGAACUCUCUGGUAUGCAUAGCAGCAACAACUUCAAGGGUACUUGAUGGGUUCCUUUUCCCGCGAGAUCCUUUCAUAGGUCGCCACGCUCCAGAAGCCGGCCGAGGUGUGGCGCUCCAUCAACAACAUGUUCGCUGCUCAGAGCCAAGCACAGGCAAUCAACACCCGCAUCGAGCUCUCCAACCUAAAAUUAAAAAGGUAACAUGGCCAUGGCAGAGUACCUUGGCAAAAUCAAGAGCCUCACCGAUGAAGUUGCAUGCACCGCUGCAGCGCUCUCCAAUCCGGAGAUCGUCUCCAAGAUCAUUGCUGGCCUCGACAUGGAUUACAAUUCAGUCAUCUCUGCUCUUGCUGCAUGGGUGGAACCCCUCAUGGUUCCGGAGCUGCAUAGCCAGCUGCUCAGCUUUGGUGCACGCCUCACCCUCCUCCAUGGCGGCGAUCUACGGCAAUCUUCUGCAUACUCCCCUUCACGGGGUCGCAGCCAUGGCCGUGGGCACCAAGGCGCCAACCGUGGUGGUGGCCACGGACGUGCCGCUUCUUCGAGCGAUGGUGCCCGCUCUGGUGGUGGCUACGGCAACAACAACGAGGGUGGCGGCUACGGCACCAACAACGGGGGUGGCGUCUUCAACUCCAACAAUGGCCGCCGCAACUCUUCAUCACGUGGCCGCCCUCAUUGUCAAUUCUGCAAGAAGGCCGGUCAUGAGGUCAUUGAUUGCUAUCAUCGGUUUGAUGAAAAUUUUGUCCCGGGUGCUCGUUUGGUUGCAGCCGCUAUACGCGAGCAAGGAGGAGAUGGCGUCUGGUACGUCGACUCUGGUGCUACGGACCAUGUCACCAAUGAGCUAGAGCAACUUGCCCUUCGCGAGACUUAUCACAGCAGCGACCAGAUCCACACCGCUAGCGGCAGAGGUAUGGAUAUUUGUCAUAUUGCUCAAGCUUCACUUAAUUCCCCUAAUCAUCAACAUGAUCUAGUUCUUAGGGAUUUUCUCCAUGUUCCACAAGCUGACAAAAAUCUUGCCUCUAUGUCUCAUUUAGCCACGAUAACAAUGUCUUCUUUGAAACUCACCCUCGUUAUUUUUUUCAUCGAGGAUCGGGCAACGAGGGCACUUCUCUACCACGUUAGAUGCAUUGGAGGAAUCUAUCCCAUCUCAUCGGGAGCACUUAGCCUCAAGCAUCGUCACGUCUACUCCGUCAUCAUGCCCUCUUUGGCACGGUGGCAUCAAAGAUUAGGACAUCCCUCAUCAGUCAUAGUUAGGCAAGUAGGCAAUAAAGACAAUCUUCCUUUGUCACAUAGUUCAAAUAGUGAGUCUGUUUGUGAAGCCUGUCAAUGUGCCAAGAGCCAUCAGCUUCCUUAUCCUAAGUCCACUAGUGUGUCUCAUGCUAGAGAUUCUUUUGGCAGAGAAAAUACUAUGUUAGUUUCAUUGAUGAUUACAGCAAGUUUACAUGGAUUUAUUUGCUUAAGUAUAAAUCUGAAGUCUUUUCCAUCUUCCAAGAAUUUCAGAAACUUGUUUGAGAGACACUUCGACAGAAAAAAUUUAUCAGUCCAAAGUGACUGGGGAGGGGAGUAUGAGAAACUUAACUCCUUUUUUCGUAGCAUUGGGAUUACCCACUAUGUGUCUUGCCCUCAUGCUCAUCAGCAGAAUGGCUCUGGUGAGCGCAAACACUGUCAUAUCAUUGAAGUUGGUCUCUCUCUUUUAGCUCAUGCAUCCAUGCCCCUAAAGUAUUGGAACGAGGCUUUUAUCACAGCUACAUAUCUGAUCAAUGGCCUUCCCAGUAAGGUUAUUAUCAACUCCACUCCUUUAGAACGCUUGUAUCAUCAAAAGCCAGAUUACAAUUACCUCAAAAAAAUUGAGUGUGCUUCUUAUCCCAAUUUACGUCCAUACAAUCGUCACAAGCUUGAGUUUGGCUCCACACAAUGUGUCUUUAUUGGGUACAGUAACCUUCAUAAAGGAUACAAGUGUCUUGAAAUAUCUAUUAGACACAUUUAUAUCUCUCGUGAUGUUAUCUUUGAUGAGACACUAUUUCCUUUUUCCACACUUCAUCCCAAUGCGGGAGCUUUGCUUCGUGCAGAAAUAGCACUUCUAGUAGACUAUGCUACACUUCCUGAUCACGGGGCUGAAUUAACUGAUCUUGAUCAUGUGAAAAAAUCUGAAGAAAAUUGUGUUUCUAAUGCCUUUUGUGCAGAUUCCAGUCAUCAUUUUAUGUGCACCACAUACAAAACAGGCACGGCCUCCAGUGCUGAUUCGGCUGACAACGCGCAAUCCCAGACGGAUCCGCGGCAGACUGCAGCGCUGGGCGGUGCAAGAUCCCACACUGAUUCGCUGCUGCUGCGCACCCUAGUGGCCGACAGCUCCACAGACCAGGCAGACCCCACCAGUCCAGGCGCGUCACGCCAACCGGCGCUCGCACGCCCUACGACGCCCAUCGGGUGAGGCGCGGGGGGUAGCGAGUUCGCGGCUGCCACGUCUCCAGGGGGCCCAAUAGCUGACAGCGUCGCGCCAACGCAGGACCCGCCGGUUGCUUCCGACUCGCCAGUCAAUCAUGGUUGCGCGUCGGAUGUGGAGCAACCCCAAUCUUCCUCGGAUCAGGAGCCUCAUCAGCCUGGAUCUUCUGCGGGCAAUGUUGCAACAACAGGAUCUUAUGCGCCUUCUUCACCUCUUCGUCGACACACAAGGUCUCGAUCAGGUAUUGUCAAGGAAAAACAAUACAGUGAUGGUACAAUAAAGUAUAAUCCAACUAAGCGUGCUUUCCUUGCCACUACCGGUGAACCUAUUAAUCUGCAUGAUGCUCUCGCUAACAAGGAUUGGAAGGAAGCAAUUGACAAUGAAUAUAAUGCACUUAUAAAAAAUCAGACUUGGCAUCUAGUACCACCGCAACAUGGUGCUAAUGUGAUUGAUUGUAAGUGGGUAUACAAGAUUAAAAGAAAAUCUGAUGGAAGUAUAGAUAGGUACAAGUCAAGGUUGGUUGCAAAGGGUUUCAAGCAAAGGUUUGGAAUUAAUUAUGAUGAUACCUUUAGCCCUGUUGUUAAAGCAACUACUAUUCAUCUUGUUUUGUGCAUUGCUAUUUCCAGAGGUUGGAGCUUAAGACAGCUAGAUGUUCAGAACGCGUUUCUUCAUGGUGUUCUUGAGGAAGAAGUGUUCAUGCGGCAACCACCAGGUUAUAAAAAUCACAGCACACCACACUAUGUAUGUAAGUUGGAUAAAGCCGCAUAUGGUCUAAAGCAGGCUCCAAGAGCAUGGUAUUCUAGGUUGAGCAUGCAGCUACAACAUCUUGGGUUUACAUCAUCCAAGGCAGAUACAUCCUUGUUCUUUUAUAGCAAAGGCAAUAUCAUUAUUUUUGUGCUUGUUUAUGUUGAUGAUAUAAUUGUUGCUAGUUCAUGUCAAUAGGCCAUUGCUUGUUUUCUUAAGGAUUUAAAACUUGAAUUUGCUCUCAAGGAUCUAGGUGAUCUUCACUAUUUUCUUGGCAUGGAGGUAAAGCAAAUUAAAGAUGGCAUACUUCUUUCACAAGAGAAAUAUACAGCUGAUGUUCUAAAGAGGGUGGGAUUGGAGAAUUGCAAACCUUUGAGCACACCAAUCUCUACCUUAGAAAAACUUACAGUUGACAGUGGAGAAGUUCUUGGCUCAGAGGAUGGAACAAAUUACAGGAGCAUUGUAGGUGCUUUACAGUAUCUGACACUUACACGUCCUGAUAUCUCUUAUUCAGUAAACAAGGUAUGUCAAUAUUUGCAUGCUCCUAGAACUACUCUUUGGACAGCAGUUAAAAGAAUUUUAAGGUAUCUCCAGUAUACUCAAGGGCUUGGACUUCAGAUUGUCAAGUCUUCUUCCUUGCUUGUUACUGCAUAAUCUGAUGCAGACUGGGCAGGGUGUGCUGAUGAUAGGAGAUCUAUUGGUGAUUUUGUUGUGUUUCUGGGAUCAAAUCUUGUGUCAUGGAGCGCAAGAAAGCAAGCUACUGUCUCAAGGUCAAGUAUAGAGGCUGAAUAUAAAUCUUUGGCAAAUGCUACAGCUGAAGUGAUGUGGAUACAAACAUUACUUUAUGAAUUUGGAAUUAAAGCUCCACAGGCUGCAAGACUAUGGUGUGACAAUAUUGGUGCAACUUAUCUCUCAGCAAAUCAUGUUUUUCAUGCACGGACGAAACAUAUUGAAGUUGAUUUUCAUUUUGUCAGAGAGAGAGUAGCUCGAAAUCUGCUUGAAAUUCGGUUUAUCCCCACAUGGGAUCAACUUGCGGAUGGGUUUACUAAACCUCUUACUGAGAGAAGAUUAGAUGAGUUCAUACACAAUCUCAUCCUUGGCAAAACUUCUUGAGGUUUAGAUUGAGGGGGAGUGUUAGAGUAAUUGUAUAGGGAUAGGAGAAGCUGUUUAACUUGUACCUCAAUUCUAUCUCUUCUUCUCCCGUAUCUCUCUGUAACGACCUGUUUGGUCGAUCUCUCUCGAUCUCUCUCUAUAACUUUUGUACCAAGGCUUUUUCCCAAUAUAUACAAUGCGGCCCGAGACAAAGGGUUCUACGCUUCCCAAAUACUUUCAAAAAGGGAACCACUGGGGGCUUCCUCUCUCCACCCGGUGUUCAAGAAACCCAAACAAUUCAUCGUUCCCGUCACAUCUAGUGCUCCAACAGAAGGAACUGCUGACAAUUUCACCAAGCCGUGGUAUUUCCCUGGUGCUCCUAUUGUUUAACCUCAGUCGUACGCAAUAUGCACUGAGAUCCCAUAGUCAUGUGCCAUCAUAAUCAAGACGCAAUCUGAAUCUAUCCAUCAUAAUAAUAAUAAUAAUAAUAAUAACAACAACAACAACAACAACAACAACAACAAUAAUAAUAAUAAUAAUAAUAAUAAUAAUAAUAAUAAUAAUAAUAAUAAUAAUAAUAAUAAUAAUAAUAGACUUACACACUUGCAAGAAAGCAUGAGAGUCUAUCACAAGAAAGUACAGAGAGAGGGAGCUUACUAGAGGUUGAUCCUCCUCCUCCAGCCCCACCUGCAGCAGCUCCUGCAAAUACUCAAAUAAAAAAAUGUGUUACUUUGUACCCACUUCAACCUGUGCAAAAACAAACUAAAGCAUGUUAAGACUAAUAUAACAUGGACAUGCUUAAUGUAUCCAAGGUAGAGUCUCAAUCUUAGGAUGGUUGGUCCACCAACUAAGUCCUAAAUUUCUAUUCAUACUUAAGUCAUAUGAAACAGGCAGUAUAAUGAUGAAGCAUUUCAAUAAAUUCACAGCCAACAAGAUGAGGUAUCUAUUAUGUACUAAAAGCACAAAAGGUGAAAGAACAAUAUUCUAGAAAGUCUAGCAAAAAUUAGAGACAUCUAUGCAAUUAUGUACUGCAUACUCAAUUAACCGUUAAACAACGGCCAUUGGAUCCCACAGCACCGCCUCCACUGCCGCCCAAGCUGGAAGUUUACUUUAACUUCCCCUUGGAAGCGCCCGCCGGAGACACCCCACUAGUGCCAGCAUAUCAUUUCCUGCACAUGCCGCUUCUGGCAUGACCACGUCUCGGCCUACAGCCGGCGCACGUCCACGCACCUGCUCCACAGCCACAGCAGCCGAUCCGACGGAUGGAGAUCGUGCCGCAUGCGGAAAGCUGCUUAAGCUCCUCAAGAAACCCAAAUUGUUCGUCGUUCCCGUCACUCCUAGUGCUCCAACAGAAGGGACUGAUGAUAAUUUCACCAAGCCGUGGUAUUUCCCCGAUUCUCCUAGUGUUUAGCCUCGGCCGUGCACAAUAUGCACCGAGAUCCCAUAGUCGUGUGCCAUCAUAAUCCAGAGGCAAUCUGAAUCUAUAUAUCAUUUAAGUUGCAAUGUAUUUUCAUUGUUGUUCUCAUGUGUCGCUGCCAUGUAUUGGGAUUACUGUGGUGUUGUUUAUCACCAUGUUGUUUCCUUCUACUAAUCAUGUAAUCUGUUCACUCUUGUCUUGUGUUUUGUUUUGGUGUGGGUGCACUCUUGUCUUAUGUUACCAUAAUGUAUUUUGAAUGAAAAUCAUAUAAUUAGGUUAGUCCAUUAGUUAAUCAAUAUCUUGUUUGGUGUGGUGUUUGAGAUAAUUGAUUUGAGGUGAAGGGAGAAAAUAUUUCUCAAACACCGAUGUUGUUACAAGUUUUGAUGCAAAGCGAAGAAGUAUGAAAUAUUCAAAUUCCAAAUUCAGGAAAUCAUACUCAAGGAUCGAACGACCCUGAAAAUCAUAAAAGUCCAUACUCAUGUCAUCCAAGCGCGAGGUUGUUGUAGUAUAUCAUGAAAAAAGUUUGUUGUAACCUUUAUAAAUGAACUAUAAAUGGCCAGUAACAUUCAAAUCCCAGGCGGCUUCAUUUGUUGAUGUCAUGAAGGCGGCAUGAACGUUGAUCUUUAUCCAGAUUUCUCGGGGGAUCACGGCCCUGAAUUUCGGUACAUCGAUCAGUCUUAACAGUAUUAGAUGUAUCCAAAUGUAUAGAAAACUACAGUAAUUAACUCGUGUGGUGAUAUCUAAAGUAGUGGAAGGUCUUUGGUAUAUUAAUUUUAGGUAAUCAGAAUAAUCUUUAAAAAUGUACAGUAGCGAUCAUUGUACGACCAUAUUUGAAGUACAAAGUUAUAAGUUGUCUUACCAUGAAAUAUUUUUAUAAUAAUAUUUGUGGCAUUCUAUUGUAGUACUUAUCUCUUGGAUUUGCAGUAUAGCAUAUCUUAUUUUCGUCCAUGUACAUGAUCUUGUUGCAUCAUGAGAUUACUAGUGAUUUUAGGUAUUUUCGGAUUGGGUUAUUCCAGGGAUUAGGAUUGCAAACAUAGUUGAUCUAAUAUGACCCACAUCUAGAUGUAUUACACAUACCUUGUGUAAGGUGAUACGUCUCCAACGUAUCUACUUUUCCAAACACUUUUGCGCUUGUUUUGGACUCUAACUUGCAUGAUUUGAAUGAAAAUAACCCGGACUAACGCUGUUUUCAGCAGAACUGCCAUGAUGUUGUUUUAUGUGUAGAAAACAAAAGUUCUUGGAAUGACCUGAAAAUCCACGGAGAUAAGUUUUGGAAAAUAAAAAAAAUACUGGUGAAAGAAUCAAGACCAGGGGGCCACACCCUGUCCACAAGGGUGGGGGCGCGCCCACCCCCUGGGCGCGCCCCCCUGUCUCGUGGGCCCCCUGACGCUCCACAACCUCAACUCCAACUCCAUAUAUUCCGUUUCGCGGAGAAAAAAAUCAGAGAGAAAGUUUCAUCGCGUUUUACGAUACGGAGCCGCCGCCAAGCCCUAAUCUCUCUCGGAAGGGCUGAUCUAGAGUCCGUUUGGGGCUCCGGAGAGGGGGAUUCAUCGCCGUCGUCAUCAUCAACCAUCCUCCAUCACCUCAUGAUGCUCAUAGUCGUGCGUGAGUAAUUCCAUCGUAGGCUUGCUGGACGGUGAUGGGUUGGAUGAGAUUUACCAAAGCCCCCCUGACUGGGCUCGGCGCAUAGGGCCACGUGGAGGAACAUUGGUCCCGGUUCGUGUUUGAACCGGGACUAAUGGGUGGAGGUAUUAGUAACGACCCAUUAGUCCCGGUUCAUGAACCAGGACUAAAGGCCCUUACGAACCGGGACUAUUAGGUGCUUUUCUACUAGUGUUUGUUAGGGUUUGAUCCCUAGUAUCCACUAUGUUCUGAAAUGGAUGUUUCUAUGGCCUUGCUAUGCUUAAUGCUUGUCACUAGGGCCCGAGUGCCAUGAUUUCAGAUCUAAACCUAUUAUGUUUUCAUGAAUAUAUGUAUGUUCUUGAUCCUAUCUUGCAAGUCUAUAGUCACCUAUUAUGUGUUAUGAUCCGUCAACCCCGAAGUGACAAUAAUCGGGAUACUUCUCGGUGAUGACCGUAGUUUGAGGAGUUCAUGUAUUCACUAUGUGCUAAUGCUUUGUUCCAGUUCUCUAUUAAAAGGAGGCCUUAAUAUCCCUUAGUUUCCAAAAGAUGUCAUGCAAAUUCUUUUCCAUAAGCAUGUAUAUAUGACUAUAUUCGGAAUACAUGCCUACAUUACAUUGAUGAACUGGAGCUAGUUCUAUGUCACCCUAUGUUAUAGCUAUUACAUGAGGAAUCGCAUCCGACAUAAUUAUCCAUCACUGAUCCAAUGCCUACGAGCUUUUCACAUCUUGUGCUUCGCUUAUUUACUUUUCCGUUGCUACUGUUACAACUACAACAAAACUAUUAUCCUUACUUUUGCCACUGUUACCAUUAUUAUCAUACUACUUUGCUACUAAAUACUUUGCUACAGAUACCAAGUUAUCCAGGUGUGGUUGAAUUGACAACUCAACUGCUAAUACUCAAUAAUAUCUUUGGCCCCUUGUGUCGAAUCAAUAAAUUUGGGUUGAAUACUCUACCCUCGAAAGCUAUUGCGAUCCCCUACACAUGUGGGUUAUCAAGACUAAUUUCUGGCGCUGUUGCCGGGGAGCAUAGCUCUAUUCUUUGAGUCACUUGGGAUUUAUAUCUGUUGAUCACUAUGAGGAACUUGAAAGACGAAAGAACCAAGAUUUUUCCCUCAACUACGAGGGGAGGUAAGGAACUACCAUCUAGCUCUACACUAGAUUCUCCUUCUGUUAUUAGUAAGCUUGUGACACAUAAACCUGCUACUGCUAUGAAUUCUGAUAUGUCGCUUGUUAUUGAUGAUGCCACUUCUAUUAUGCAUGAUACUUAUGAUGAAACUACUUCUGUGUGUGAUACUACGGUGCCAUUAGGUCAAUUUCUUGAUGAACAACUUGCUAGGGUUAGAGAGAAUGAAAUUAUUGAAGAUGCUAUUAUUGAUGAUAGUGAUGAUGAAAGUUCUCCCCUUGAUUAUGAAUUACCUGUUGUUCCUGAGGGUUAUGUUAUGGAUGAGGAAGCUGCUCGAGCUAUCUUUGCUUCCAAAGAUAGAUAUGAUCUUAAAAAGUUAUUAGCUAAAUGGAAGCAGCAAUCUCUUAAUGCUAGAAUGAAAUCUGACCCUGCUUUUGCUACUUCACCUAUAUGUGUUACUGAUAAGGAUUAUGAAUUCUCUGUUGAUCCUGAGAUUAUUACUUUGGUAGAAUCUGAUCCUUUUUAUGGCCUUGAAUCUGAAACUGUUGUGGCACAUCUUACCAAGUUAAAUGAUUAGCCACCCUGUUUACUAAUGAUGAGAAGUCUCGCUAUUAUUAUAUCCUUAAGAUAUUUCCGUUCUCAUUAAAGGGUGAUGCUAAGACUUGGUUUAAUUCUCUUGAUCUUGGUUGUGUGCGUUGUCCCGAGGAUAUGAUUUAUUACCUCUCUGCAAAAUAUUUCCCUGCUCAUAAGAAACAAGAUGCCUUGCGGGAAAUAUAUAAUUUUGUGCAAAUCAAAGAAGAGAGUCUCCCACAAGCAUGGGGGAGGCUUCUCCGAUAACUUAAUGCUUUGCCUGAUCAUCCUCUUGAGAAAAAUGAAAUACUUGAUAUCUUUUAUAAUGGACUAACAAAUGCUUCCAAUGACUACUUGGAUAGUUGUGAUGGUUGUGUUUUCAGGGAAAGAACAGUCAAUGAAGCUGAAUUCCUAUUGAAUAAUAUGUUGACUAAUGAAAAUAAUUGGACUCUCCCUGAGCCAAUUCCUGAGGCAAUUCCUGAACCAAUUGAGCCAACUCCUGGGCCUAUUCCUAAGCCCACUCCUAAGAAGAGAGGUGUUCUAUUUUUUAGUCCUGGAGACAUGCAAGAGGCAAAGAAAUCAAUGAAAGAAAAAGGUAUUAAAGCUGAAUAUGUUAAGAAUCUACCACCUAUUGAAGAGAUACAUGGUCUUAAUAUACCGUCUGUCGAAGAAACACAUAGUCUUGAUAAGCCGACACAGGUAGUAAAGGUCAAUUCUCUCUUUAGGUAUGAUAAAGUUGAAAUUCCCUCUACUAAAUUUCAUAGCCCAUGCUUAGAUGAAUUUGAUGACUUUAUGGCUAGACAAGAAAGUUUUAAUGCUUAUGUUGGUACAGAAUUAAAGAAUAAUGCUUUCGAAAUAGGAUGCUUGAGUGAUUAUAUGGCUAGAGUUAAAGGUGAACUUAAACUCAUUAGCAAAUAUGCUUCUAUGGUUAUCACUCAAGCUGAGCAAGUACUUAAAGCUCAAAGUGAUUUACUUGAUGAAUUAAAUAAUAAACAUGACUUUGUUGUUAGAGUAGCUACUAGAACUGGUAGAAUGACUGAGGAACCUUUGUAUCCUGAAGGCCACCCUAAGAGAAUCGAGCAGGAUUCUUAGACAAAUAAUUUAGGGCCACCUAGUUCUUCUAAAAAGAAGAAAAAGAAAAAUGAUAAGACUUUGCAUGCUUCUAGUGAACCUAUUGUAGACACACCUGAGAAUCCCAAUGAUAUUUCUAUUUCUGGUGCUGAAACACAGUCAGGUGAUGAACAUGAACCUGGUGAUAAUGUUCAUGAUAAUGUUCAUGUUCAUGCUCAACCUAGCAAUAAUAAUGAAGUAGAGAUUGAACCUGUAGUUGAUCUUGAUAACCCACAAUCAAAGAAUCAACAUUAUGAUAAGAGAGAUUUUGUUGCUAGGAAGCACGGUAGAGAAAGAGAACCAUGGGUUCAGAAACCCAUGCCCUUUCCUCCUAAACCAUCCAAGACAAAGGAUGAUGAGGAUUUUGAUUGCUUUGCUGAAAUGAUUAGACCUAUCUUCUUAUGUAUGCGCUUAACUGAUAUGCUUAAAGUAAAUCCUUAUGCUAACUAUAUGAAGGAUAUCAUUACAAAUAAAAGAAAGAUACCGGAAGCUGAAAUUUCCACCAUGCUUGCUAAUUACACUUUUAAAGGUGGAAUACCAAGGAAACUUGGAGAUCGAGGGGUACCAACCAUACCAUGCUCCAUUAAAAGAAAUUAUGUUAGAACUGCUUUAUGUGAUCUUGGAGUCGGUGUUAGUGUUAUGCCUCUCUCUUUAUAUCGUAGAGUUGAAUUGAAUAAGUUGACACCUACUGAAAUAUCUUUGCAAAUGGCUGAUAAAUCAACUAUUAUACCCGUCGGCAUUUGUGAGGAUAUGCCUGUUGUGGUUGCAAAUGUCACUAUUUUAACGGACAUUGUUAUUCUUGGUAUUCCCGAGGAUGAUAGUAUGUCGAUUAUCCUUGGUAGACCCUUUUUGAAUAAUGCAGGGGCUGUUAUUGAUUGCAACAAAGGCAAUGUCACUUUUCAUGUUAAUGGUAAUGAGCAUACGGUACACUUUCCGAGGAAACAACCUCAGGUUCAUAGCAUCAAUUCUAUUGGAAAAAGUCCAACUAUCAUUAUUGGAGGUUUUGAAUUUCCUCUUCCUACUGUCAAGAAAAAGUAUGAUAUUCUUAUUGUUGGGGAUGUUCAUAUCCCCGUUGAGGUAACCUAGUGUUAUUCAAAAUUUCUCCAGUUCCGUGUUAUUCAGAAUGAGUUUGUUAACAAGACUUGAUCAACCUUGUUAGUGGAUUCAUUUUGAUGAUCAUGAGAUGGAUGAAACUAGAAGGCACAACCUUUUGUAACCUCUUUUUACUUUCUGUUAUUUAAAAUAAAUAAAGCAAAAAUAGUAUUAUCUGUCUGAUUUCUGAUUUAUCCGUGCAAUAAAAAAAUAUCCCAAAAAUAAAAGUGCUCCAAAUGCCCUGCAAAUUUAGUAUGAUUUUUUAUGGAAUAUUUGAGGAUUUUAGGCACUGAAAACACUGCAGGAGGGGCAAGCACUAGGCCACGAGAGUGGAGGGCGUGCCCACACGCGUGGGCGUGCCCCCCUGUCUCGUGGGCCCACGGUGGCCCCCCUCCACUUAUGCCAGCACCCACACACUCCAUCUUCUUCCCCAAAAAAUACCCAUCUAGCUGAAGCACGAGUUCUGGCUCAUUUUGCUGCGAUUUUUGAUCUCCUUGCUCAAAGCUCCAUUCACAAAGCUGCUUUGGGAGAUUGUUGCUUGGUAUGUGACUCCUCGAUUGGUCAAAUUAGUUUUUGUUCUAGUGCUUUAUUCAUUGCAAAUUUUUGCUGCAUAUGUGACCCUAUUCUUGAGUUUGCAUGUCAAAUUUAUGAGGUCCCAAGUAAUUCUAAUGCAUGAUAUAGGCUCUAGGCACUUGUAGGAGUAGUUGCUACCAAUCUUGUUUAGUUUUAUUCACUUUUAUUUUGAAGUUACUAAAAUUUCAGAAAUUUUUCAGAAAAAGAAAUAUGUCUAGGAGAAUGUACCGAGGUGGUUCCUCAAUAAAGAAAGGACUCAGGAUUGCUAUGCGUGAGCAAGACGAUGAACUACCGAGAGACGCCGAAGUGCGAGCUUGUGAGUGGCCAUCAGAUGAUUUUAUGGUCAAUUCAGGCUUUAAGGAUGAAUUUGACACAUAUGUGCAUAAUGCCGAUCUGGAGGAAUUCUUACAAGAUAAGUGUCAUCAGUACUAUCAAUUGACUGAUUCAUUUGUGCGAAGGUUUAAGUAUAAAUGUUCACGUAAUUCUCCGAGUGUCCUGUUUGAUAUCUAUGAUACAUCUUAUACCAUGGACUUAGAGGAUUUUACAACUUCUUGCAAACUUCCGCAAUGGGGCAAUAUUAAUGAUCCCCAAUAAUCUGAAUUUAGAGACUUUCUUGCUAGUAUUACUGUGGGAGAAUCCAGGGAUAUAGCACAAGCUACCAUAGGGAGCAUUCAUUUUCCUGCUAUACAUUAUUUUCCUCUCUUCAUUGUAGAUGCAUUAACGGUAAAGAUUGAAGCAUGUCAUAUGUGUGUCCCUAAUCUUAGUGUCCUCAAGAGUGCCGUGUUAGGUAAUAAAGAUUACAACUUGGGAGCAAUAGUUGCACGUAGGUUGCAUAACAAUGGUAGGGCUGGAGAUUUAUUGGAGGAAUUUAUGCCACCCGUGUGGCUAAUUAUCUUGGUAUAGCCCCAUGAGAGGGGGAUAUGGUGUUGCCUCCUGCUUAUUUAGAUUAUCACGCUAUGGUCAAACAUCAUUUUCUUAAGAGGAAUGAACAAUUCCUCCAGUAUCGACUAAUCUUUGACAGACAUAGCGUUGUCCAUGUUACUCUUCCUGCUCCUUUCCUUUUUGAUUACCAGGAUAAAGGAAGAUAUGUUGUUACCAAGGAGGAAGCAGUUGAACACGAGGGUAGAGCGGAAGCGGCUAGCCAACAUGCCACAGCUCAAGAGGCAUUUGCUGCUGCAUCUCAGUACAACCCCAGUUACAACUUCGGAUACCAGCCAGGCUACCCUUGGCCAUAAACCAACUUAGGCCAAGAGCCUAAGCUUGGGGGAGUACGUAUUUCUCACCGACUAUACAUUCAUGAUCACACAAUAUUCUAGUCGUCGGUGCUCAUACUCUUUCAUUGUAUUAUCCAUGCUGUUUAAUUUUCUUUUUCUAGUUUUCUUCUUGUUUGUUUGAUAAACCUUAAGAAAAACAAAAAAAAUAGUUAGUUUAAUUUCCAUUCUUGUAAUAGAAAUUAAAAUGAAAACCCAAAAAGAUUUCUUGUUCUUCUUCUUGUUGGGAGCUUUCCCGUGUAAAUAGUUUUAUUUUCUUUUCUUUUCUUUGGGGGACGAGAGUAGAAGAUCAUAUUGAAAAUGUUUAGUGGCUCUCAUAUGCAUGAUUGUUUAUUUACUUAGAGCCAUAUUACUUGUCUUCUCUCUUGAGUUGAAUGCUUGCAGAUUCCAGCUUAGUCCAAAGCACGUGCACUAUUACUAUUAUACACAUCGUUCGGUUGUGCAAGUGAAAGGCAAUAAUGACGAUAUGUGAUGGACUGACUGAGAUGAGAAAAGUUGGUAUGAAACCGACCUCUCUUGUUUUUGUAAAUAUGAUGAGUUCAUCGUUCCUGAUUCAACUUAUUAUGAAGUAAACAUAUUUGCAAUGACAUUUAGAGAUUAUAGUUGCUUGUGCCAUGCUUGAUUAGCUAUGGGUUAUAAUGGUUUACCUUGCGUGCCAACAUGCUAUUAAAAUGAUUAUGAUGUGGUAUGAUGAGAUGGUAUCCUCCUUUGAAUAAAUUGAGUGACUCGAAUUGCCACAUGUUCACGCAUGUAGUUGAAACAAAUCAACAUAGCCUUCAUGAUAUUUAUGUUCAUGAUGGAUUAUAUCCUACUCAUGCUUAUACUCUGUGUGAAUUAGUUUUAAUGCAUGUUCAUGACUGCUGUCACUCUCUCAGUUGGUCGCUUUCCAGUCUUUUGCUAGCCUUCAGCUGUACUAAGCAGGAAUACUGCUUGUGCAUCCAAACUCCUUAAACCCCAAAGUUAUUCCAUAUGAGUCCACCAUACCUUCCUAUAUGCGGUAUCUACCUGCCGUUCCAAGUAAAUUUGUAUGUGCCAAACUCCAAACCUUCAAAUGAAAUUAUGUUUUGUAUGCUCGAGCAGCUCAUGUUUUAACUAGGGUUGCGUGUAUCUUCCAUGGUAGGUGUGUUAUUCUCAAGAGGAGUGGACUCCGCUCCUCAUUCAUGAGAAAGGGCCGGUAACCGGGAUGCCCAGUCCCAUGAUCCAAAAAGAUCAAAGCAAAUCAAAAUAAUUAAACAAAACUCCCCCAGGGCUGUUGUUAGUUGGAGGCACUCGUUGUUUCGAGCAAGACAUGGAUUGAUGCUUGUUGGUGGUGGGGGAGUAUAAAAUUUUACCAUUCUGCUUGGGAACUGCCUAUAAUGCAUGUAGUAUGGAAGAUAUAGCCAUCUCAUAGUUGUUGCGUUGACAGUGAAAGUACGCCGCUCAAAGUGUUAUUCAUCUCUAUUUUAAAUCGAGCUAUGGCACCUCUACAAAUCCCUGGUUCCCUGUGCGAAGGGCCUAUCUAUUUACUUUUAUGUUGAGACAUCACCUUCUUAUUAAAAAGCACCCGCUGGAGAGCACACUGUCAUUUGCAUUCAUUAUUAUUGGUUUAUAUUGGGUAUGACUUGACUAGAUCUCUUUUACCAUGAAUUACAAUGUUUGGUCAGUCCUUGAUCUUUAAAGGUUCUCUACAUUUAUGUUUUGCGGUCUCAGAAAGGGCUAGCGAGAUACCAUUUUCUUAUAUCAUGUUAUGAUUGUUUUGAGGAAGUGUUGCCAUCCGAGUUUUAUUAUUAUAGCUCGCUAGCUGAUUAUGCCAUUGAUAUGAGUGAUUGUGAGACCUAAGUGUUAUUGUGAGUAUGGUUAGUUUAUAAUACUUGUUGAAAACCUGAAUGCUGGCUUUACAUGUUUACAGCAACAAGAGCAAAUAGAGUUUGUAAAAGUUUUUCUUUAUCACUUUCAGUUUAUCAACUGAAUUGCUUGAGGACAAGCAAAUGUUUACGCUUGGGGGAGUUGAUGCGUUUCCAAUGUACCUGCUUUUCCAAACACUUUUGCCCUUGUUUUGGACUCUAACUUGCAUGAUUUGAAUGAAACUAACUCGGAUUGAUGCUAUUUUCAGCAGAACCACCAUGAUGUUGUUUUAUGUGUAGAAAACAAAAGUUCUCGGAAUGACCUGAAAAUCCACGGAGAUAAGUUUUGGAAAAUAUAAAAAAUACUGGUGAAAGAAUGAAGACCAGGGGGCCCACACCCUGUCCACGAGGGUGGAGGCGCCCCACAUCCCUGGGCGCGCCCCCUGUCUCGUGGGCCCCAUGACACUCCACCGACAUCAACUCCAACUCCAUAUAUUCCGUUUCACGGAGAGAAAAAUAAGAGAGAAAGUUUCAUCGUGUUUUAUGAUACGGAGCCGCCGCCAAGCCCUAAUCUCUCUUGGGAGGGCUGAUCUGGAGUCCGUUCGGGGCUCCGGAGAGGGGGAUUCGUCGCUGUCGUCGUCAUCAACCAUCCUCCAUCACCAAUUUCAUGAUACUCACCGCCGUGCGUGAGUAAUUCCAUCGUAGGCUUGCUGGACGGUGAUGGGUUGGAUGAGAUUUACCAUGUAAUCAAGUUAGUUUUGUUAGGGUUUGAUCCCUAGUAUCCACUAUGUUCUGAGAUUGAUGUUGCUAUGACUUUGCUAUGCUUAAUGCUUGUCACUAGGGCCCGACUGCCAUGAUUUCAGAUCUGAACCUAUUAUGUUUUCAUGAAUAUAUGUGUGUUCUUGAUCCUAUCUUGCAAGUCUAUAGUCACCUAUUAUGUGUUAUGAUCCGACAACCCCGGAGUGACAAUAAUCGGGAUACUUCUCGGUGAUGACCGUAGUUUGAGGAGUUCAUGUAUUCACUAUGUGCUAAUGCUUUGUUCCGGUUCUCUAUUAAAAGGAGGCCUUAAUAUCGCUUAGUUUCCACUAGGACCCUGCUGCCACGGGAAGGUAGGACAAAAGAUGUCAUGUAAGUUCUUUUCCAUAUGCAUGUAUGACUAUAUUCGGAAUACAUGCCUACAUUACAUUGAUGAACUGGAGCUAGUUCCGUGUCACUCUAUGUUAUAGCUAUUACAUGAGGAAUCGCAUCCGAUAUAAUUAUCCAUCACUGAUCCAAUGCCUACGAGCUUUUCACAUCUUGUGCUUCGCUUAUUUACUUUUCCGUUGCUACUCUUACAACUACUAAAAACUAUUAUCCUUACUUUUGCCACUGUUACCAUUAUUAUAAUACUACUUUGCAACUAAAUACUUUGCUGCAGAUACUAAGUUAUCUAGGUGUGGUUGAAUUGACAACUCAACUGCUAAUACUCAAUAAUAUUAUUUGGCUCCUCUUGCGUCGAAUCAAUAAAUUUGGGUUGAAUACUCUACCCUCGAAAGCUGUUGCGAUCCUCUAUACUUGUGGGUUAUCAUAAGGUUAGUCUAAGAUAAGUUUAGAGGAUAACCGAUGAUGUUCUUGAAAGAUUCAGUCCUACUGGGUAUGGAGGAUCAAAAAGAUAAUUUUUCUCUCAUUCUGUAUAGUUGUUUUUUCCAGUUGAACCUCUCUGGUUCAAUGCACUUUUGUAAAAAAAAUUUGAAAAGCAAUACAAAUACGCAGCAGAAUCCUACCGUUUCCCUAAAAAAAGCAACAAGAUGAUUGAAUUUCGCACCAGGUUACCAGAUAACCUAGCUACUAGGUCAAAAUCGCAGCUAACCUUCCCCGCAAAGAAAAACUUUGCUAUCUUGACACUCAAUAAUAAAAUUGCAUCUUUCUUGUAUCUCAUGCUUUCUUUGUCAAAAUUCACAUAUGCCACUUUUGGCCACUUUUUGGCAAUAGAUUUGGUUGUUGCCACCCAAAUCAAUUGCGUAGAAACCUAAAACUCAAUUGCAGAAAGCUUCACAUGUGUGCAUAGCGGUGCCAAACAAAGUCAUUUAGAUAGAAACCCUAUAACUGAAAACCCAUUGUUGUGUGAAAAGCUUCGCAGACAUUAAACCCAUGUGCAUUGGUGAGCGUUCUAUCCACAUCUGGUUUGCCAAUUGUUCUUUAUAUCAGUACUAGCCUUGCAUCCAACUAAUUUAUGACAUGUGUAAUUUUUGAAUGGUUCUGUCACACACACGCAUGCACACACACACACACACACACACACACACACACACACACACACACACACACGCACGCGCCCGCACACACACACAACAGAUUUAUAUUUUGAAUACUGUUGCCGUCAAAUGUUCGUAUUGAAGCAUAGUCUACUCUAUUUUGGUUCUUCAAAUGUUCGUCUUUAUUGCCUCGAGAAAUCAAAUUACUCAAAUACUGAGGUGUUACAAUUUCUAAAGUAAAGAAAGACGUAUGAAAUAUUGCAAAUUAAAUUUCAGGAAAGACAAAACAGUCCUAACUUAUCUACCAUAUCGCGCAGACUCAUAAGAAACUAAGUAAAUGUUUUUUAGGAAACAACAGGACUCUCCUGCAUAUUAUUAGUAUUAUGUUUUGUAAAAAAAACAUCUAAGUAAAUGUCCACUACUAGAAAAAAGGCUACUAGCAGCGCGGAUAAAAUGGCUACUAGCAGCGCGGGUACCCGCGCUACUAGUAUCGCACUACAGCUAAUAGUUAGUAGUAGUGUGGGGUAAACCCGCGCUACUACUAACAUUUUACUAGUAGCGCGGAUGUCACCCGCGCUACUACCAAUGAAAUAGUAGUAGCGCGUCUAUAGUACCACACGCUACUAGUAUCCUGAAUACUAGUAGCGCUCCAUUUCACCCCCACGCUACUACUAACUAAUUAGGAAUUAGAAAAAAUAAAAUCCAUCAAUUCCAUUUUAUGCAUACAAUUCUAACAACUAAAACAAGCCCAGAUUUGUUAUAAACCAGCAGCAUUACACAUCAUUCCAAAUCAAAGAUUUAUAGUAAACCAGGAGCAUUAGAGCAUAUCCAUACAUCUACACUUAUUGCCUAGUCACUUAUCCCAGCUAGUGCAAACACAGUUGGAAGCAAACAAAAAUGCAUAAAAACACCAAACAGUGGCAUUCUGUCCCUCCAAAUGAUUUGCUCCCUCUCCAUCCUUGCAAUUAUCUUCUUCUCCCUUAUGUGCUUCUCCCAUUUAUAAAUCCAAGAUUCCUGUAAAGAGCAAAGAACAAAUAAAAUUAAAUUUCAGCAGACAUAUAUUUCCUUGCAUGUUGUGAUAUACAGUAGCUACAGGAAUAAAUAUACGAAAACAAAAAGUGAGUGAUUUCUAUUAACAAGAGAUCGCCUAUGUAAUAGCUACAAACAAAUCAAAUUAAUGUCUAGAUAAUAUAUAUUGCCAACCAAGCCUAGAUGAACUAUAUAUUGCCAGGUAAUAGGACAUAUCUAAUUUUCACAUUAAUUGCCUUUAGUUUUCUUCAAAACUAAAUAUACUUAAUUAAACUUAGAUCAUUUCAUAUAGAUGUUCAAAGGAUAAUACGGCUAAAAGAAUCCAAUUUCUUUGUUUUUUUGAAGUAGUUUAAAAGGAAAGCAUUAACACAUAAUAGAAAUGAUUAUCUGCCAUAGGGUGUUGCUGGAUAGCUAAAAAGCUCACAACCCUGGAAAGAAGAAUGGCGCGACAAAGGCGUGCGUUCCCUUCUAGUGACUACCAUUUCUCCCGUGCGGGUUUCCUUAAAACUUCUACGGCUUCAUAACAACCACUAGGCAAUAAAAUUGCCGUAUGGAUACAUAUUUUCCUACCAUUUGGUAGACAAUAUGAAGAUGAUAUAUUGUGGAAAAAUAGGAAGAGAGUUAAUCUACAUGCGGAAACUAUGCAUCCACAAACUACAUUAAUCUACAUGCGGAAACUAUGCAUCCACAAACUACAUUAAUCUACAUGCGGAAAAAUAGGAAGAGAGUUAGGGCAAGCAAGUUGUUACGCACCUGUGAACAGUCACAUUGUUGUGGUCCAUCGCGGUCUGUCUCUCUCUCUCUCCUGUGAAUUUCAUCGAGUAACUCAAGAAAAUAUGAUAUUCUGCUGCUGCUUACCCAAAAUAUACUCGCAACUCGACAGCAUCUAGAGUAGCUCCCAGGCCUCAAUCUGCCAAAAGCAACGACGACCACAGUUGAACCACGCAUGCAUCAAUUCAACAGUACUAGCCUUUUACAUUACAAUAAACAUUGAUUUUGGUUCAUCACAAGACAAGAUAGUGUGUGUUCAUAAACGUUGAUUUUGAAUCUUCGUUUAUUGAACCUGGGUUACUUGUUGCCAAAGCUUCAUUGAAGAAUGGUACACUAAAGAACUGAAGCACAGCGCGACUCACUUAAGUUCCGUUAGCAGAUGGCCUGGAUGGGAUAAGUGAAGACUGAUGGCUACGUCGCCGCUGCCGGAGUUGAUGCCAUCAAACUGGAAUUACAAAAUGAUGGCCGUAAUGCAAAUACAGGCACAGAAUGCAUGAACCUGGGUUACUUGCUGUCAAGAGAGACCACAGCCAAAGCUUCACUGAAGAAAGGUGGUACUCUGAAGAACGGAAGCACAUCGCGGCUGAGUUAAGUUCAGUUAGUGGAUGGCCCAGAUGGGAUAAGUGAAGACCCGAUGGUAGGGUUGCAAAAGCAGAGGAGGGGCUACUCUGUUUCGGGCAACAACAAUGCCUUUUAGUUUAGCAUUUUUCAGGUACGUGACAAGACAAGAUAGGUACUUAUAAUAUUACAGAUAUAGAACUGGCAAAUGAUCUUCAUAUUAAGCAGAUACCACUUUCUAAGGUGCAAACAUCUAAGGAAACUUAGUUGGUGCUAAUCAAUCAUCCAGAAACUACCUCUGUCCCUUAAAAAACAGUGAGAACAAUGAAGCAGCGAUUCUACAAACAAAUGUGGAUACUCAACUUCAGCAAGUCAAUUCAGUUGUUAAAUAUACGUAUGGCACAAUCAAAAGAAAUAAUGGGAUCAGACUAAAUCCACUUUAGAGAGAAAAGUUCAUUGAAUCUUGGCUCACCUCUGUUCUUCCUGUUGUCUAUGCUUCUGCCCCACCAGCAAACUGUGACAUGGAGGACACAUAGCAAUGGCUUAGUACAAGCACCACAUUAAGACUAUAUGACAAGUCCUAUAAUAAUAUCCUUAUUACUAGUUUCUGCACAUGUAAUAAACAGUUAUUCAAAAUGAAUUGGAUCAUGCACUUCUGUUCUGAAUUUAACACCACGGGGCACUUCGGACCCAGCAGCAAACACAACAGAUCUGCAGGCUGCAUCAGCAACAACAACAGAUGGUCACUUUAGAAUUUCAUUUCCUAGUGCAGACACUACAUCAGCCAUCAGGUGUAGUUUGGCAUCGAAUUUUCCUAGUGCAGACACUACAUCAGCCAUCAAAUGUUAGUCCAUGCUCUGAUAAGCCGAUGAACACACUGAAAAUGGCAGCGAGCUGAGCCCGUGGAUGCGCCUGCUUACCAGGUCGUAGGUGGCGGGCUCGACGUGGCCGGGGGACCCCUCCUCGCCGGUGUGCAGCGGGGCGCCGCAGCCAUAGCAACAGGCGACGCUGGAGGGCGUCUUCUUCGCCAGGCCCCUCCGCUUCUCCUUGCGGCCGCGGCGCCUCUCGGCGUCCUCCUACGGCGCGCGCGUGCGGGCGCCCAUCGCGGCCGCGGCCACGAGCUGCCGCCCCAGGUACACAUCGCCCCGCGUCGGCGCCGCAGGGCCGACCCCGUCCGCCGAAGGAGACGGCGAGGGGGACGGGGCGCUGGGGGAGGUGGCGAGCGUGGGUGGAGAGGGAGAGGGAGGCGGUGGCGGUGGCGGACGGGUGGUACUUGGUGGGACGGCGGGCGGUGGCGCUGGGGAUUUGGGGAAAGGGAGAGGAAGAGCGGGCGGAGUGGUCAGGCGAGGCGGAGGGGAAUUUGAGGCGGAGGGGAACUUGGCUGGUAACGGUGCCUCCGCGAGAUACGUGUCUAUACAUGCGUUGGUGGUUCUAUACUCGUAGCACUGGGUUUAAACCCCAAGCUGCUACUACGACCUGUGGCGACAGGCACGAUGCAGAUCACAUAGUAGUAGCGUGGGGUUUAUAAACUGCUCUACUACUAUCACCUUAGUAGUAGUGUGGGUUUAUACCCCACGCUACUACUACUGCUUGUCCCCGUGAGCACGCUGGAGACCACUUAGUAGUAGCGUGGGUUUAUAACCCACGCUACUACUAUCAACUUAGUAGUAGCGUGGGUUUAUAACCCGCGUUACUACUAAUUAGUAGUAGCGUUUGUUUUUAAACCGCGCUGCUGAUAAAAUUCUGUGUAUAAGGUUUUCCCUAGUAGUGGGUCUCUCUUAAUUUUGUCCUACACUACUAAGCGGGAAGUUGCGUCGUACACAACUUUGGCAUAAUUGAUCCACAAACUCUAUAAAGUAUACACUACUACAAAACGAGCUAGCAGUGGUGGAUGACAAGUAUAUGCGUGCCACCGAAACAUUUAGCCAAUGACUAACAUGGUAAGAAUUUAUUAGUGGAGGGAAGCAUGUUUUGCUCGUUAGUGCACAUCCAAUACCUGUUGUCAGCCCUCUUUUAUACCCACCACUAUUGUCAGCCAUCUUUUGUACCCCCCAUUGUCUAGACGAAAUAGCGGUGGCAUGUACCUAUCAGUGCCCGCCAAUAAUGUGACCCCACCUAUAAGCCUUUUCCCAGUAGUGAUAGCAUUUUCAUCUGUUAGGAGGAUUCACCACUAUAAUAGAAUAAGAUACAAGGAUCAAGCACCUAAAUAUCAUCAAAGUCCAUACUCUCAUACUUACAAAUAGGUUGUUUUAAUAUAGAUGAACAAUGUUCAACCUUUAGAUGUGAACUAAAAUGACCACUAACUAGCAAUCAAUGAUGGCUUCACUAGUUUCAGUCUGUACAGCGGUAUGAAAGUUGAUCUAUAUACAUAUUUCUCGGGUUGGUCGCAUCCUUGAAUUCUGGUAGAUCGGUCAUUCUUAACAUCACCAGAAAUAUGAAAAUGAUUGAAAAAACUUAUAGUAUCUCCUAUAAGGUAAUAUCUACAGUACAGUACGGUCUUCAAGAUACUAAUUUUAUUCAUCUCUGAGAGCCUUCUGUCACAAUCUACCCAGCAACGGACGACUAGGAGGCUCUCUUCACCCGACUGUAGAGAUCAUGCGCCUUGGUUCCACAUGUCAUGGACACACGCUGACUAUAGAGAUCACGCGCCCUUGGGCCACCCAUCAUCGAGCUUCCAACUGGGUCGCCCGGUUGCGAGCCGUUCGGUCAGAUCAGAUGGCCCGGAGCCGCCCCACGAGGCUCCUGCCGCAAGCCAACUGGCAAUGGAUGGGCAGGAGCCUUUCCUCACCCUCAAAAAGCCCAGGAUGGCGCGCACUUUAGCAUUCUUUAUAUAGGAAUAAUGGGUUAAUUGAUUCAAAAUGAUUUACCGGAAUCUUUGUGAUUUAAAUAAUUGAUAACGAUCAUUUUUGGACUAUCCUCCACUUAUAGUUCAUAACGUUUUUGCAGGCUCAUCACAGUUUUUAUAUGUUUGGUGUAUACAAUGUAAUAAUGCGUCAAUUCUCCAUCAUUAUUUACGGGAAUAUUAUGGAAGAUGUUGUUUUUUCCUCUUUAACUUGACGAAGUAGUAAGAAAAUAGUAUUUAUACCCAUAUUAGUUGUUAUAUUUAAUUUUUUUUGAUAUAUUUAGAUAUGUGUUGUCUAUGAAGUGUUCUCGUUCUUUUUGACAAGUACUAUUGUAUGUUAUGGAUUCUUGAUGUGGCAAACAAAUUGUAUUCCUUUAGUGAUGUUGCUUAAAUGAGUACAAUGUGAUUAAGCCUUUUAAAAUUGUACUCUAUUGGACAAUGUUAUUUGUUCAUCUUUUAGGAAGUGUUUACCAUUAUGGCUCAUACAAAUAAAAUUAUGAAAAAUUGAUCCUAAAAAAGGCAUGAUUAAAUUCUUUUCUACAAUUGUGAUAUUUUAUUUAAAACAAAAAUUGUAUUGUUUACUAGCCAUAAUGAGAACAUCCAGGAAAUCAUAAAAAGAAGUUAACCAUUUCAAAGUUUGAUCACAAUAAAUAAAGAUGGUGCCCUCGCAUAUGCGAGGAACACUUUGCAAGUGUCAUCUAAAAGAAAACUUGGUAAUUGUCUAUUACGUUUGAGAAAAAUUCAAUUUUUCUAUAUUCCUAAAAAGUUCAUUCCCACUAAAAGCAAAGUAUUCUUAAAAAGUUAAUCCUCACCACAAGCAAUUUUCUCAACAUGCGCAACCCUCCACCUCAAAAAGUGUUCAAUGUCAGCAUUCACUAUUUUUUAGCCAUGCAUCACAUCAACUACCUUUAAGUCUUACAACAUGCACUCACCAACCUCACCAAGACAUGAAUAUUUGCCACAUCACAAUUAGUCAUGUGCUUAUCGAAGUAAUGCAUCUUAGGAAAACUCAUGUCAUUAGCAUGCCAUCUUAUUGAUGUGGUACAGAAUACUAACUCAAACUGACAUUAUAUAUUGAUCUUUAUGGUGUGGAUUAAAGAGUAAAAAUAUGAAUUGACGAAUGCAAUACGUGCAUACAAGUAUUGGCUAGUGUGUCCUCUAUCUGUAAAUACUAAGGGCAUCGAGGUGUCUUGGAGUAGCAAGCCAUCCACGAUGUACCCAUUUGUGGAUGCAUUGGAUUGUCAGAAAUCCCGCCAACUGGAUGCAAAGCAGGGGGAGGUGAGCAGGCUUACGAACCCCCACAACGUACUAGUUCAGCACCCCGGUCCAAUCAAAAUAUUCUCUCGAGCACGCGCCAUCUCCGGCGCAACUGCAUCUCCACUCUGCAUGCUGCAUUCAGGCCGACCUAGAGGGGAUGCGACCGGUCACUAGAGCCAUCAUUGAAUGGGAGUGCUGCCCGAGUGCCCCACCCCGUCACGUCAUGGUCUCCACGCCUCUUCAAUGCCGGAGAGACGUGACCGGAUGGGGUGAUGAGAUGACUAUCUACAGCAUUGAAGUCGGCUGCUCAUCUAUCUGUGUGUCGACAUUAAACAGACGUGACAGCCGAGAAACCACUCCAGUGUCCGCACUGAAACAACUUGAUGUUUGGCUUGGUCGAUGCCCUUUAUUUAUACAUGGCCGCGCACAACAUGAUCCGCACCACACCACGUCCAUUUUUGUUCCUCUGUGCACCACCUUUGCCACGACAAGCUCUAGAGCAAAGUGGGAGACCCUCUCGGCAGAGAAGAAGCACAAGUUGGCCAGGCUUGCGGCUGACUAGCAGCACCGUCAUGUGUGACGAAUAGAGGCUGGUUCGCCAGAGGUGAAACACGACGACGUGACGAUGAGCCGGCGCCCCCGCUCACACAGGUCCAUGGCAAAACCACACUUCAACAUCAUCAUGACGGAGGAGCAGCCGACACCACCAGUGUUGAUGUUUUGGCUGGCGCCGGAGGAGCAAGGCUAAAACCUUUCCAACCUCCCGCACUACCGGCAGGCUGAGGGCCAAAAUCUAUGGCGACUUUGCAAGCAGGGAGGCCACGGCGGCCAUGGCCUCGGAGGAGCUGAACUUCGUCGAACAACAGGUAGCGCUCUACGGGAGCACGUGCAGCGCUCGUGCCGGCUGCAACGCCAUAACGUUGGAGGCGGGCACGACGGCUUAGGCGAUCGCAAACGGGAACGGUUACAUUGGCAGCUCCGCGUCACCCGCGGUUCCCGUCGGUCCACAAGGACAACGAGUCCGGCACGUUCCACAUCCAUCUUGGACGUCAAAUUGACUGACGACAUCCAAGCAACGCAAUUCGACAAGGAAGAGUAGGACAUAGGAGAAGAAGGGGUCCGUAUCCCAUGUGGGCAUGCCCGUGUCCCAUUUCUUACUCUUCAUCGCCGGUGAGCCACAACUUCACUUCAUGGAGCUCAGGCCCGGCAAAGAUGCCGGACAUGGGGAAGACGGGACAUGGAACAAGGACGCCUCCACGACUGCGAAGAUUUAGACUAGAUUAACAUUUUAUGUUAAAAAAUGUCAUGUACACUUUUUAAAAUGAAAUAUGCAAAAAAUGUCAUGAAUUUAGACCGGUUUAAAGGAUCAUCCAGUUUGUUCAAAUACCGUUUAAAGUGUGUCCGGACGUUUGAUGGAUAGGGUUGAAUGGCCAACUCCUGUUUCACUGUCCGUGGACAGAUACUAAUGUCCGUUUUGGGGGAUAGCAUUGAAGAUACCCUAGAGCCCUUUUUCUUGAAAAACUCUAGAAUGCUAUAAGACUUUUUGGAGAUACAUUUAAGGAAAUGAUAAAAAUAGAAAUACCGAAUAUUAAUCUGAUAAUCUGACUUGAGAUGUUUUUUUAUCAGAAAAAAUAAUUUAAUUUAUUUUGAAAAUUACUUAAACCGUUAAAUUCCUAACUUGGCAAUGAUGCUUAGCCACGUUGGAAAGAAAUGCAAUGGAAGAAAAGACAACAUUCGUUUAAGAAAAGACAAACUUCACACAAUAUAUGUAUAAGUAGUAGAAAAGUGUGGUUCCCAUCAGCUAAGCACCCGUAAUCUAGGUCUGAUCACCUCAUCCUCAUCCGGGGCAUCAGACGAUAAGCUAGACUGACAUGAAAUGUGCCCGUAUCCGGUGCCUUUCAGGUACGAGAGCACGCGCUCGACCGAGGAGACGCAUGCAUCCGCGCGAGAACAGAAACGGCAAAGCGAUGAAAGCAGUAAAAUCAGCAAUGCAAGCUGUACUAGUGUACUUAAUCCCUUUACGUACACGCCAUGGUAUAUAUCUUUUGUCGUGUUCCGUUCUAAGCGAGGACGCGCGAGAAAGCAGCCGCAUGACCAGCAACGUGUAUACGAGUAUAAGCUAUACUCUCCGUCCCAUAAUAUAAGAACGUUUUUAUACUAGUAUCAAAAAGCGUUCUUAUAUUAUGGGACACAGGGAGUAGGAGAUAUACAACCAAAACAAAAGUUAAAAAUAACAAUGCAAGCUUUACGUGCACGCCAUCAUAUGUAUUUUUUGUCAGUCUUUAUAACCACUCUUCAUUCCUGGUGAGGCGGCGUGGUUCCAAUGAAGCUGAAACGUACGUACGCGACGCACGGCAUGAUGCCGGCUGGGUAAGCUGCGCAAAACCCGCUAUUAAAAUCCAUCAUCUUGCACACAUCCGACAUCCACCUCAAAGGGCAUCCACCUCCGUUUGACUGUCGUAAUGGCCAUGGCAGCCGCAGCGGCGGGUGAGAACAGCAAGUUAACUGGAGUGAGAAAGAAGGGGGCGGGCAAGUUCGCGGCAACGAUCAAGCACCCGGUGACGAAGACACAGUUGUGGCUGGGGACGUACUCUUCCCCCGAGGUCACCGCGUGCGCCUACGACCUCGCGGCUAGGGAGUUGAAGGGCAUAAAGGCAAAGCUCAACUUCCCCUACCCUCCGCCGGCCAGACUGGUUAAGGAGGUGAUCGCUUCACCGAGGCACCGCUGCCAUGGUCACGACACACCGCUCUUUGAAGUCGUUAUAAGGGAAUCAUGGAACAUCUCAACCAGCCCACUUGUUUCAGUAGGCAUUGUUGCUAUUUUUAUGAGUAAGGAAUCUUUCAUGUGAAAAUCAAAUAAUGUUUACACAAGAACAGCAAUAAGUACUCUCCACAAAACCAAGGAAUUAAGAGAGAGAACGGUUAUACAAAUCUGGGUGAAGGAAUCAACCCGAAAUUAAACAAUCAAUCGACCACUUCACCAUUCUAUAACUUAAAUUGGCGUUUAACUUGUUAUAUUACAACAUGGGCAGAUUCAGUGUCAGAAUAUGGUGCCCACAAAUAUUUGGAACGCAGUCCACAACCUAGUCCAGCACACAUCUAGUCUUCAUGUCUACUAUAGUCAAUAUAUAAAUAAAUCGAGACACUUCCACUCUAAAAAGUUAAAAACAGAUGAAAACAUGCGCAAUACAACUAGGCCAUGAGCAAUUGAAAAAAAACCUUAGUCAUGAAUUCAAUGCCACUGGUGGCCGCAAAAGCGGCUGAGCGAGCAUGCGGAACAAUAGAGGGUUAGGUCUGUGAGGUAGCGAGUGGAGUUCAGUAGCUGCAGGUGACAUGAGGUCGUGUGUUGUCGCUUGGUGUGAGCUCACGGCUAUUGUGUAAAACUAUUGUUAAACUAUCUGUAUAAUACUUUUGGUAAAUUCGCAUCCGAUAUGCCAGAAUUAUGAUGCAUCAGGACUUCAAUAACUUUUUGUAACGUGGUUGACAGAAAAAAAAUUGCUACCCGUUGUGAUGUUGUCUAUGAUUGCCCCCAUAUUGGUCAAUUACUCAAAUCCUAGAUCCGCCGCUUUAUUACAAUCCUAUUAUAGCUACAAAAAACUUGCUUCAUAUAUCCCAUAAGGCCAUAACCGUACAGCCAGGAUACUAAAAUAGCAGCCAGCGGCAAAAAAGAAAGAUGUUAAUCAUACCUACUCACAUUGCAAAUACGAAAAUCACUUGAUAGAUGAAGGGUACAAAAGUUUAACGUGUUUUUUGAGGGACAUGUUGUGUCCAUAAAAUAUGCUAGCAGUAUUAUUUGAAGAUGAAGGACACGUUGGUGCUACAAAAAUCCCUUGAUGGAAUCGUAAUGAACACAACCAUCCUAGGAUUGAGAUUAUCAAUUCGGUAAAAUAUACCCAUCGUAGCCUUGCAUUUACUGGUCAGUAGGAAAGCAGGUUGCUAAAUUAAUAACAACGGAUAAGUGACACAUUUAGCUCAAAUUAAAGCAAGAGAGACUGACACAAGAAAGUAAACUGAAGAGGGGGCUUACAUGUGCCUCAUUGUUCUCCUCCACCUCCUGCAGCGGCUCCUCCAACUGCUUCAUAAAUACCAAAAAAGAUAAUAAUAACUUGUUAGUUAGUACCAAGUUCAACCUGUGCAAAUGCAAACUUAAUCAUGUUAACACUAAUAUAACAUGGGCAUGCUUUAUGUAAGGUAGUCUCAAUCCUAGGAUGGUUGGUCCAUCAAUUAAUUCCUAAUUUUCUAUUCAUGAUUAAUCAUAUGAAACACUAUAAUGGUGAAGCACUUCAAUAAAUUCACAGCCAAACAAGAUGAGAAAUCUAUCUAUUAAUUCCUCAGUCCCAAAAUAAGCGUCGUUGCUUUGGUAUAAUGGCCAAAUGUCUCUAUUUUUUGUUCGAUUUUCUGGAAUAUUGUUCCUUUUUCCUCUCUAUUGUGCUUUUAGCCUAUACUCCAUCCGUCCCAAAAUAAGUGUCGCUGAUUUUAUGAGGCAAUGCUCAACUGCUAUUCCCAUGUUGUUCUGUGAAAUGUAUAGCUAAUGGGUCCGUCAUUAUGGCAUUCCCUAUGAUGACAAUUUUAUUAAAAGAUGAAGGCUAAUUUGAUCCUACUAAAACAAUUCGAUGCCAUCAUAAUGAGCCAAACCAUCCUAUGAUUGAGGUCGUCAAUUCGAUCAAAUAUGCCCAUCAUAGAGCCUUGCAUUUGGCGGUCAGAAGGAAAGCGGACUGGUAAUUAGCAACAAAGAAUACAGUUACACACUUGCAUCGAAGCAUGAGAGACUCAAGAAACUAAAUGGAGAGAGAGCUUACCAGAGGCUCAUCCUCCUCCUCCUCCUCUGCCUGCAUCAGCUCCUGCAAAUACUCAUAAAUAUCAAAAUAAUAAUAAUAAUAAUAAUAAUAAUAAUAAUAAUAAUAAUAAUAAUAAUAAUAAUACAGUUACACACUUGCAUGAAAGCAUGAGAGUCUAUCACAAGAAAGUACAGAGAGAGGGAGCUUACUAGAGGCUGAUCCUCCUCCAGCCCCACCUCCAGCAGCUCCUGCAAAUACUCAAAUAAAAAAAUGUGUUACUUUGUACCCACUUCAACCUGUUUAAAAACAAACUAAAGCAUGUUAAGACUAAUAUAACAUGGACAUGCUUAAUGUAUCCAAGGUAGAGUCCCAAUCCUAGGAUGGUUGGUCCACCAACUAAGUCCUAAAUUUCUAUUCAUACUUUACUCAUAUGAAACAGGCAGUAUAAUGAUGAAGCAUUUCAAUAAAUUCACAGCCAACAAGAUGAGGAAUCUAUUAUGUACUAAAAGCACAAAAGGUGAAAGAACAAUAUUCUAGAAAGUCCAGCAAAAAUUAGAGACAUCUACGCAUUUAUGUACUUCAUUCUCAAUUAACCGUUAAACAACAGCCAUUGGAUCCCACAGCACCGCCUCCACUGCCGCCCAAGCUGGAAGUUUACUUUCCAUUCCCCUUUGAAGCACCCGCCAGCGACACCCCACCGGUGCCAGCAUAUCCUUUCCUGCACAUGCCGCUUCCGGCACGAGCACUUCUCAGCCUACAGCCGACGCGCGUGCACGCACCUGCUCCACAGCCACAGCAGCCGAUCCGACGGAUGGAGAUCAUGGCGCAUGCAGAAAGCUGCUUAAGCUCCUCAAGUAAACCCCUAGAGGCUCCAUCUCGCCACCUAGUGUUCAAGAAACCCAAGUUGUCCGUCGUUCUCGUCGCUCCUAGUGCUCCAACAGAAGGGACUGAUGAUAAUUUCACCAAGCCGUGGUAUUUCCCCGAUUCUCCUACUGUUUAGCCUCGGCCGUGCACAAUAUGCACCGAGAUCCCAUAGUCGUGUGCCAUCAUAAUCCAGAGGCAAUCUGAAUCUAUAUUGUUGGAAAUAUGCCAUAGAGGCAAUAAUAAAAUGGUUAUUAUUAUAUUUCUUUGUUCAUGAUAAUAGUCUAUUAUUCAUGCUAUAAUUGUGUUAUCCGGAAAUUGUAAUACACGUGUGAAUACAUAGACCACAACGUGUCCCUAGUGAGCCUCUAGUUGACUAGCUCGUUGAUCAACAGAUAGUCAUGGUCUCCUCACUAUGGACAUUGGAUGUCAUUGAUAACGGGAUCAUAUUAUUGGGAGAAUGAUGUGAUGGACAAGACCCAAUCCUAAGCAUAGCUCAAAGAUCGUGUAGUUCGUUUAGCUAGAGCUUUUCCAAAUGUCAAGUAUCAUUUACUUAGACCAUGAGAUUGUGCAACUCCCGGAUACCGUAGGAGUGCUUUGAGUGUGACAAACGUCACAACGUAACUGGAUGACUAUAAAGGUACACUACGGGUAUCUCCGAAAGUUUCUGUUGGGUUGGCAUGAAUUGAGACUGGGAUUUGUCACUUCGUAUGACGGAGAGGUAUCUCUGGGUCCACUCGGUAAUGCAUGAUCAUAAUGAGCUCAAUGUGACCAAGUGUCUGGUCACGGGAUCAUGCAUUACGGUACGAGUAAAGUGACUUGCCGGUAACGAGAUUAAACGAGGUAUUGGGAUACCGAUGAUCGAAUCUCGGGCAUGUAACAUACCGAUUGACCAAGGGAAUUGUAUACGGGAUUUAUUGAAUCCUCGACAUCGUGGUUCAUCCGAUGAGAUCAUCGAGGAGCAUGUGGGAGCCAACAUGGGUAUCCAGAUCCCGCUGUUGGUUAUUGACCGGAGAGGCGUCUCAGUCAUGUCUGCAUGUCUCCCGAACCCGUAGGGUCUACACACUUAAGGUUCGGUGACGCUAGGGUUGUAGAGAUAUUAGUAUGCAGUAACCCGAAAGUUGUUCGGAGUGCCGGAUGAGAUGCCGGACAUCACGAGGAGUUCCGGAAUGGUCUGGAGGUAAAGAAUUAUAUAUAGGAAGUCAGGUUUCGGCCAUCGGGAAAGUUUCGGGGGUCACCGGUAUUGUACCGGGACCACCGGAAGGGUCCCGGGGGUCCAUCGGGUGGGGCCACCUAUCCCGGAGGGCCCCAUGGGCUGAAGUGUGAGGGGAACCAGCCCCUGGUGGGCUGGUGCGCCCCCCUUGGGCCCCCUGCGCCUAGGGUUGGGAAACCCUAGGGGUGGGGGCGCCUCCACCUGGCUUGGGGGGCAACCACCCCCUGGCCGCCGCCCCCCUUGGAGAUCCCAUCUCCUAGGGCCGGCGCCCCCCCUAGGGGCCCUAUAUAAAGAGGAGGGAGGGAGGUAAGCCACACCCAUGCUCUUGGCGCCUCCCUCUCCCCUUGCUACACCUCUCCCUCUCGCAGAAGCUUUGCGAAGCCCUGCCUUGAUCGCUGCUGCAUCCACCACCACGCCGUCGUGCUGCUGGAUCUUCAUCAACCUCUCAUUCCCCCUUGCUGGAUCAAGAAGGAGGAGCCAUCUUCCCAACCGUACGUGUGUUGAAUGCGGAGGUGUUGUCCGUUCAGCACUAGGAUCAUCGGUGAUUUGCAUCACGACGAGUAUGACUCCCUCAACCCCGUUCUCUUGAACGCUUCUGCUCGCGAUCUACAAGGGUAUGUAGAUGCACUCCUCUCUCUCAUUGCUAGAUGAACUCAUAGAUUGAUCUUGGUGAAAGCGUAGAAAUUUUUUAUUUUCUGCAACGUUCCCCAACAGUGGCAUCAUGAGCUAGGUCUAUGCGUAGUUCUCUUUGCACGAGUAGAACAGAAUUUGCUGUGGGCGUAGAUAUUGUCAACUUUCUUGCCACUACUAGUCUUAUUUUGCUUCAGCGGUAUCGUGGGAUGAAGCGGCCCGGACCGACCUUACACGUACGCUUACGUGAGACAGAUUCCACCGACUGACAUGCACUAGUUGCAUAAGGUGGCUAGCGGGUGUCUGUCUCUCCCACUUUAGUUGGAGCGUAUUCGAUGAAAAGGGUCCUUAUGAAGGGUAAAUAGAAGUUGUCAUAUCGCGUUCUGGAUUUUACGUAGGUCAGAAAACGUUCUUGCUAGAACCCUAUUGCAGCCACGUAAAAACAUGCAACAACAAUUGGAGGACGUCUAACUUGUUUUUGCAACAUGUGCCUUGUGAUGUGAUAUGGCCAAAAGUUGUGAUGAAUGAUAUAUAUGUGAUGUAUGAGAUCAUGUUCUUGUAAUAGGAAUCACGACUUGCAUGUCGAUGAGUAUGACAACCGGCAGGAGCCAUAGGAGUUGUCUUAAUUAUUGUAUGACCUGCGUGUCAAUGAUUCAACGCCAUGGAAUUACUUUACUUUAUUGCUAAACUGUCGUGGAAUUGUCACGGUAGAUGUCCUUAGUGUCAGGACUUAGUGGCGAGGCCAACACAUCUAUGUGGUAGCUUGAGAGGGGUUGAGUGGGACGAGAGACGCAGGGCGGAUCAACACGCAGACAAGGGUUUAGACAGCUUCGGGUCCCGGGAAACAUUAUCCGGUAAUAACCCUACAUGCUGUUUGUGGCUAGGUCUUAUUAUGCUCAUGAGAGGAGUCGCCGUAAGCCGGCUCCCCCUUUGUGUCUAGCCCUGGAUAUUGUUUCUUGUUCCUUAUCCCUCUUUGGGGAGCCCUGCCCCUCCUUAUAUAAGUUAGAGGGGCGGGUUACAUGUGGAGUCCUAGUAGGACUAGCCUAUCUUGUACUACAAGCCGGAUUCAAGUCCGGGUCUUGAUUCCUUAUAAGGGAGAUACUCCUCACGCCUUUCCUCUUAAGCCGGCCUAUCAUAACGUAAGCCGGCCUUCUGGGCCUUGAGCCUCCUGAGCCCUCGGGUCUUGUCGCUCCUCUGAUCCACUUGCCAGGUCACUCAUAAGUCGCCAGGAUCGGGCGGGUCACUUAGUGUGUCGUCCAGUCAGGGCGGGUCAUUAGUGAGUCGCCAAGUCCGGCCGGGUUAUACUUCCAGUCGGGUUACACCGCGGGUAUAUCCCCAACAUUAGCCCCCAACUUUAGCUUGGAUUUAUCCAUGGUAAACUUACGCUGCAAAAUAAACACAAGAACAAAUUUGACAGGUUGUGCUCCGGGUUAAGAAUUCUUGUAAACCGGCACCUGAACAUCCUUAAGUCCUUGUCAUUUCCUUCUUCUAGAAAAUCCGGGUCAAUAGACCAGCUUCACAAUCAAUUUGAUGAUGUUGGUUUCUCACAGAAAAAUAUUAUGAAGAAUAAUCCACUUGAGUCGGCUUCCAAGGCGCCGGGUUAAAUAAUUUUGGUCUUCAAAUACUCAUCUGAUAUUCAGCCGGCUUGAAGAUAUAAAACUUGCCGGUUUAUCAUUACCCAAAAACUCCGGGUUACAAAAGACUGAUGAUGUCGAGUCAUAAUUGUUGUUGACACCGGGUCAUGUAAUCGAUCUUCCUGAUUUGCUCAAAACUAAUAAUUUGAAGAUGUUCCUCUUUAUAUAUGCAUAAUACCUGUAGCCCCCAAGUCUUAAGAGGAGAACAUGGUGAUAGCUUAAGACUUGCUCCAAUAUAAGUGUUGCAACCAAAGAAGAAAUCUGGUUUGUUCAUCUCAAUCAUUAGUCAUAAACUGAAUAUUCCACAUAGGUAGCCCCCAAGUUCCGGGUUGUCAUGCUUGCAGCAACCUGGGACUUGUAAUUGCCUUAUGGUCAUAAAAACAUCAACCAGUGUAGCCUCCAAGGGCCGGGUCAUUAUGCAAUAAUGAGCAGGGACUUCAUAAAUAUGAUCAUGUAGAUUUGAACAGCAACGUGUAGCCCCCAAGGGCCGGCUCAGUAAGAUAAUAUUGAGCUGGUACUUUAUAUACACUUCUUUGAAAAGAACAUCAUAUAAUGUAACCCCCAUCAUGGGGCGUGAACCCACGUCCACAAGGUUGAGAGCUUUGUGCUUUACCAAUUGAGCAGUGGAUCUCUUCAAUAAUAGAUGAAAAAUUGUGUACCUUGAAUUGUUGACAAGAGCAAUUGGUAGCCCCCAAGGGCCGGCUCAUUUAAAAUGUGAUGAGUCAGGUCUUCAAUAAAUUGAGCAAAAAUUGACAUGGGACUUGUAUAUUCGAUGUAAUCUCGAUUUGAAUAAUGUAGACCUCAAGUGCCGGGUUGUAAGCCUGCAGCAGCGACUCGGGUCUAUUCCUUUCAUUGUAGAAUAAAUCAUAUCCAUUGAUAAAAUAAUAGCCAUUGCGCUGAAGCGACUUUGAAAACCUCAAUCAUAACACUAGUUAUUGAUAAUCACAAUAGAAAUCUAGCCACGUUGGCUAUUUAAGAUUUGAUCAAUAUAAUCCGGUAUGAAAACCUCAAUCAUUCAAUAUCAUCAUGAAAAUCCAGCUAGUUUUGGCUAUUAAAGAUGUAAAUACCUCAUCGGUUGACAAGUAAAUCCGGAGUUUAAAUACAUGGCGGCUCUUGGCCGAUGACGACUUAAUGUGCAUUCAUUGUAAGCCGGAUUUUUUGUAACCCGGUGGCCUAUAGCCCUUGAGAAAAUCAAUAAUUGAUAACCCUUUUGAGAUACCAAUGUCAAUGAUGAGCUUGGACUGAAGCAUUUAUAUAAGUCAUAAUUCUGCAAAUCUUGUACAGAGUUUAAACAACAUAUGCCCUGGCGACUUAACAUCAAGAACCAAGGCAGGUAACCACCCAAAUGUACUCUUAUCCUGCACACAAGUAGAUUACAGGAUCCCUAUGAUCCUUUGAAUGAUACCGCCGGUUUAUGUGACCCGAACAGUGAAGUUGACUCUGUAAGAGCCGACACAUAUGAUAUUUGUGACAACUCAAAAACUUGCGAUUGUAUAAAAACAGAUAAAAAUUUUGAGGCUUCUGAUUCGAAUACGAUCUGUAAACCGUCCCAAAGGGGUUGAGCUAAGAUUCGAAUACGAUCAUAUAGCCUAUCCUGUGUCGAUCAAAGUGGGUAUCGACAGCUAUGUUCUCUUUGGUUCGAAUAUGACCUAUGUUUGAACAGGAAAACCCCCAAAUGACCACUGUAAUAUUGAAAUUGUACUGCCGGGUUGUAUGACCUGGCUAAUAAGGGUGAUAACCCAAUCCUUAGAAGCCAAUGCUUUCAUAUAAAUGAUGGUUGUCAUAAGCUGGCGACUUAUAGUCAAAAGUCAAGCCGGUUAAUCAUAAAACACUUAUAUACAUUUGAGAUAUAAUCCCCAAAAGGUCUCAAGUUAAGUAAUUGUGGCUACAAUAAACUUUAUCAGAGAUAGAAUAAAACUUUUUGAGGCUUCUGAUUCGGAUACGAUCAGUAAACCUUUCCAAAGGGGUUAAGGUAAGAUUCGAAUACGAUCAUAUAGCCCCCAGUGGCUUGGCGAUGCCGAUCAAGUGGGUAUCGACAGCUAUGUUCUCUUUGGUUCGAAUACGACCUAUGUUUGAACAGGAAGCCCCCAAGUGACCAUAAGAGUUGUUUAACGACGCUGAUUCGAAUACGAUCCACGUCGAUUCCCAAAGGGGUUGAGAUAUGAUUCGGAUACGAUCAAGAAGCCCCCAAGUAGGUUCAGCAGUUUGCUAAUCAAAAGGGUAUCGACAGCUAUGUUCUCUUUGGUUCGAAUACGACCUAUGUUUGAACAGGAAGCCCCCAAGUGACCGUAUAAAUUUUGGCAUUGCGCCGAUCAAGAGGGUACUGAUGGCUAUGCCCGAUGAGCAGGAAGCCCCCAAAUGACCAUAAUAAGAUAAGCCGUAAAGCAGGAUACCCAUGUUUUGAACCAGAAUUUCUUAAACCGGAUACUGAGAUCCUCAAAGCUUUGUAAGGGACAAAUUUACCUUGAUCCGGAUGUUGAACCGGUUUUGAGAGCUUCAAAGCUUUGCGGGAGAGAGAUGUCUCUUGAACCGGAUUUUAAACCGGAAUUUUUAUUUUGGACCGACAAUUUUCUGACGGCCUUUAAAUUUUCAUCAGUAUGGUAGUGUCCUCCGGAACCGGGUUAUCAUCCCCUCCCAUGACCCGAAGUUCCCGAGUCAUGUCACUGUAGCCCCCGAGUUUUAAGACUACUCGAGGAGUUGGCUUGAGACUCUCCAUAUUUGACCGUGAUAUAAACCGGUACGAGUCAUUCAACAUCUCAGUGACAUAACUUGUCCUGCACUGGAGAACUUGCAAGCCAGAGUAAUUGCUCUUUUAAAGAAAGCAAUAUAUAAUAUAAAAUAUACUGGAUGGAUUUCACCUGAUGUGUUGAGCCGGAAUUAAUCCGUCGCAGAGUUGAUGAUCACUGCGGUAAAGUUGAAAUCAAUUACGGGCGAGUCGCCCACGGGAGCGGAUAGAUGAGUCGGCCGCGGUGUUGUAAGCCGGUGCGGACGAGCAAGUUGUCCUCCUUAUUGUAAACCGGCGUGGUCAUAAAAGACGGCCAGUGCAUUGUAAACCGGCGCGGUCGCGAGAGACGGCCCUGGCGUUGUAAGCCGGCGCUAUCAAGAGAGACGGCCAUGGCGUUGUAAGCCGGUGCAGGAGUCCAUUGAGUAAUGACGACCAUCUGCGCCAAAAGAUGUUGGCGUGUCUCCACCUCCGCGGUAUAAUAUGAAUUUUUAUCAUAAAUUAUUUGCCCUGCAUAAACAAUAUUGCAGACCAAGGCAAAGAUAAACUUGUUUUUUGACAAAAACAACAUGUGAUAAUGAAAACAAACUUGGAUGGAUAUCACCUGAUGCGUCAGGCCAGUAGUUAUCCAUCGCGGAGUUGAUGAUCACCGCGGUGAAGCUGAAAUUAAUCACGGGUGAACCGGCCGUGGCGUCGUAAGCCGAUGCGGUCGGCCGAGUCAAUCGCAGGAGCAGUAAACCACUCGGACGCCGAGUCGGCCACGGGGGUGGACGGGUAAGUCGCCUGUCACAUUGUAAGCCGGCGCAGACGUGUGAAUCGGCUGGCGCGUUGAUGUAGAUCGAACCGCAGGGGCGGCGGCUUGCACCCACCUGUUGAACAGUAAGCGGUCGCCGAUGCCGUAAAUAUGCUACCGCACACUCCAUGAAUAUGGCAUUACACCAUCUUUAUGAUGAAUCAUUGUCCUGCACAUAAAGGUGUAUAUACCAAAGUGAUUGUUUUUUGACAAAAAACAAUAUGCGCUAAUAAAAUAAUCUUAGAUGGAUAUCACCUGAUUUGUUCGGAUGGCCGAUAAUCCAUUCAAUGCAACGGAAAACGGCUCAGAUAGACCGGCAACCCAUGGUGGGUCAACAUAGCAGACGCGAAUCAACGCAGCCCCGGCGGCUCGUCGCACGACAGAUGCAGCUCAAGCAUAAAUCGCGGCGGGCGGCUCAAAAGCGGAAACCAGUAAAAGCGUCGGCAGCUCAAUGCACAGUCGUGGAGAUGGCAACUGGUAGCCUAAGGUGCGGCAAUUGUCCUGGCAGUUUUUGUCAGACAAACGCCUACACCUGGAUACUUCUGUCAUUAGAUUCCCUUGUGUAGCUGGCCUUAGCAGAAGUUGUAUUGAUCUGAGACUGCUUUGUUUGAUACAUGGAGCGACGGCAGAAUCCGGUGAUCUGAUUGCAAGUUGUUUGGGCAGAACUGACUCGGGGAGGAGCUGUAGCGUUGACAAGGUCCGACCGAUGGGAUGUGAACAACAACCAUGGGAAAAGAUUUGUCCAAGUCUUUGAUCACUGAUUGAACUUGCGUUUGGCUUUUCAGAAAAAAUAACUUUCCACAGUACAGGUCCCUCCACGCUCAUUAAGGAAAUCGAUGUAAUCUUUGGUCACUUCCAAAUAUAGUAUCCAAUUGUAUUCCACUGAUUUGGCGAUUUGAAAGCAAGUCGUGGCACAGCGCGGCGCGCGACGGCAACAACUUAAGAAAAAAAACGAGGCUUUGUCGGCGGAGGCCGCGGUCGGCUUGGAACAGAGGUUUGGGGCGAUUCGGAGUGAAGACGACCGGCGAGGGUGAAGGCCGGCCGACCCGAAGCGACUCAGCAUGACGGGCGAACGCGGUGGUCAGCCCGGGGUCAACCACAGCGGGAGUAGGCAGCGAGCCGGCGAGCAGCUGGAGGCUCUGGCUUGUUGUCGUAACAGAUGGCAAUUGCUGGCGGCCGGCGGCUUGCAGGCCGUGGCUGUGGAGGCAGCGCGGGGUUAGUUUUGACCUGGAGACAGCGCGACAAGGCCGGCUUGGGUCGGUUUAGCAGCGGUCGGGGCGGUGCGCAUGAUGAGGGCAGUCCGGGUGGCUCAAGGAUGCUGAAGGCGACUCAAGGCACGGACGUUGACCUUGUAGCGGUAGGCGGCUCGCACUGCUGACGGAGUUGAGGACGAGACGGAGACAAGUCCGUGGCUUGAUCCACUUCCCCUCGUGGCCUAGACAUUGUAUCUGAUGUAUCUUUAGUGAAGGUUGGACGUACUGUGUGCAUGUACGCGGUUACAUAGUUUUCUCCCAAUCUGCUCAUAGGUAGCUAAUUAGAACUUGAGUUUCUUCAUUGCUUGAAUAAAUACUCGGAACUAUCACUUGAGUUCUUUGCGUAGGGACAAAUCCUUGUGGGAUUUCUUGAAUUCCGUGCAUGGAGCCAUCUGCCGCUUAGAAAACAUAGAUGCUGCUUGCAAUCUGACUGCUAUUGCUUUGAUUAUCAAACAGAUGGCUUCAUGUGACACAAUAACUAGCACUUUAAUAUUACUUACAGCCACGUAGCAGACCGUCUUUUGGAUUCCUUCAAACAAGUAGUAGCAACAGUGAUCUAUCAAAUCCCCUGGUCAGUUGCUGUCGCCUUUAAAGCUGUAACCAGUGAAAGUUGUAUGGCAGCGUAACUUCGUGUUAUGGGAAAACAGUAGGAUUCGGCGACCCGGACAAACUGCCUGGUCGCACGCAGGAAACACCACGACAGAGAAUCGGACUCGACGGACCGCUUUAGCGAUACGUGCGGUGAUGCACGUAAUCCCAAUCUUCUCAAUCUAAAAUUUCGUCCAUAAAAACCUUCUCGCCCAUGAGUUGUAGCAGAUGAACGAUGACCUUGAUAAGUCAUCCAAAGCAUCCAUCGAAAUUGCGGUCUCAGUCUUGGCGGGUCUCCAUGGUGCGUGCAGUGGCCGCUUAGCACGCAACCCUAAAAACCACAUAAUCUUAAUUUCACGCUCGCUAUUCCGAUUGCUUGUCGAUGACUCAGAUCUUUCGGAAACCUUUCUUUAUCUGGAAGAUUAGGAACUUCUUGAUCCCUAGAAAAAUAUCCCUCCAAGAACUCAUCACCACCGUGCGUCAGCCCCACGGUGGGCGUUAACUGUCGUGGAAUUGUCACGGCAGAUGUCCUUAGUGCCAGGACUUAGUCGCGAGGCCAACACAUCUAUGUGGUAGCUUGAGAGGGGUUGAGUGGGACGAGAGACGCAGGACGGAUCAACACGCAGACAAGGGUUUAGACAGCUUCGGGUCCCGGGAAACAUCAUCCGGUAAUAACCCUACAUGCUGUUUGUGGCUAUGUCUCAUUAUGCUCAUGAGAGGAGUUGCCGUAAGCCGGCUCCCUCUUUGUGUCUAGCCCUAGAUAUUGUUUCUUGUUCCUUGUCCCUCUUUGGGGAGCCCUGCCCCUCCUUAUAUAAGUUAGAGGGGCGGGUUACAUGUGGAGUCCUAGUAGGACUAGCCUAUCUUGUACUACAAGCCAGAUUCAAGUCUGGGUCUUGAUUCCUCAUAAGGGAGAUACUCCUCACGCAUUUCCUCUUAAGCCGGCCUAUCAUAACGUAAGCCGGCCUUCUGGGCCUUGAGCCUCCUGGGUCCCCGGGUCUUGUCGCUCCUCUGAUCCACUUGCCAGGUCACUGAUAAGUCGCCAGGAUCGGGCGGGUCACUUAGUGUAUCGUCCAGUCAGGGCGGGUCAUUAGUGAGUUGCCAAGUCCGGCCGGGUUAUACUUCGGGCCGGGUUACACCGCGGGGUAUAUCCCCGACAUAAACUGUUAGCCAUAGUAGUAGAAGUAAUAGUUGGCGAGCAACUUCAUGGAGACACGAUGAUGGAGAUCAUGAUGAUGGAGAUCAUGGUGUCAUGCCGGUGACGAAGAUGAUGAUGUAGCCCCGAAGAUGGAGAUCAAAGGAGCUAUAUGAUAUUGGUCAUAUCAUGUCACUAUUUGAUUGCAUGUGAUGUUUAUCAUGUUUUUGCAUCUUGUUUACUUAGAACAACGGUAGUAAAUAGGAUGAUCCCUCAUAAUAAUUUCAAGAAAGUGUUCCCCCUAACUGUGCGUUGUUUCGAAGCACUACGUGAUGAUCGGGUGUGAUAGAUUCUAACGUUCACAUAAAACGGGUGUAAGACAGAUUUACACAUGCAUAAACACUUAGGUUAACUUGACGAGCCUAGCAUGUACAAACAUGGCCUCAGAACACAAGAGACCGAAAGGUCGAACAUGGGUCGUAUGGAAGAUAUGAUCAACAUGGAGAUGUUCACUGAUGAUGAUUAGUCUGUCUCACGUGAUGAUCGGACACAGCCUAGUCGACUCGGAUCAUGUAUCACUUAGAUGACUAGAGGGAUGUCUAAUCUGAGUGGGAGUUCAUUAAAUAAUUUGAUUAGAUGAACUUAAUUAUCAUGAACUUAGUCUAAAGACCUUUGCAUAAAUGCCUUGUAGAUCAAAUGGCCAACGCUCAUGUCAACAUGAACUUCAACGCGUUCCUAGAGAAAACCAAGCUGAAAGAUGAUGGCAGCAACUAUACGGACUGGGUCCAGAACCUGAGGAUCAUCCUCAUAGCUGCCAAGAAAGCAUAUGUCCUAGAAGGACCGCUAGGUGAAGCACCCAUCCCAGAGAACCAAGACGUUACGAACGCUUGGCAGUCACGUGUUGAUGAUUACUCCCUCGUUCAGUGCGGCAUACUUUACAGCUUAGAACCGGGGCUCCAAAAGCGUUUUGACUAACACGGAGCAUAUGAGAUGUUCGAGGAGCUGAAAAUGGUUUUCCAAGCUCAUGCCCGGGUCGAGAGAUAUGAAGUCUCCGACAAGUUCUAUAGUUGUAAGAUGGAGGAAAAUAGUUCUGUCAGUGAGCACAUACUCAAAAUGUCUGGGUUGCACAACCGCUUGUCCCAGCUGGACAUUAACCUCCUGGACGAGGCGGUCAUUGACAGAAUCCUUCAGUCGCUCCCACCAAACUACAAGAGCUUUGUGAUGAACUACAAUAUGCAAGAAAUGGAGAAAACUAUUCUUGAAGUAUUUUCAAUGCUGAAAUCAGCGGAGUAGAAAUCAAAAAGGAACAUCAAGUGUUGAUGGUCAAUAAAACCACUAAGUUCAAGAAGGGCAAGGGUAAGAAGAACUUCAAGAAGAACGGCAAGGGAGUUGCCGCGCCCAGUAAGACAGUUGCCGGGAAGAAGUCAAAGAAUGGACCCAAGCCUGAGACUGAGUGCUUUUAUUGCAAGGGAAGCGGACAGUGGAAGCGGAACUGCCCCAAAUACUUAGCAGACAAGAAGGCCGGCAACACUAAAGGUAUAUGUGAUAUACAUGUAAUUGAUGUGUACCUUACCAGUGCUCGUAGUAGCUCCUGGGUAUUUGAUACCGGUGCCGUUGCUCAUAUUUGUAACUCAAAGCAGGAGCUGCGGAAUAAGCGGAGACUGGCGAAGGACGAGGUGACGAUGCGCUUCGGGAAUGGUUCCAAGGUCGAUGUGAUCGCUGUCGGCACGCUACCUCUACAUUUACCUACGAGAUUAGUUUUAAACCUCAAUAAUUGUUAUUUAGUGCCAGCUUUGAGCAUGAACAUUGUAUCUGGAUCUCGUUUAAUGCGAGAUGACUACUCAUUUAAAUCCGAGAAUAAUGGUUGUUAUAUUUAUAUGAGAGAUAUGUUUUAUGGUCAUGCCCCGCUGGUCAAUGGUUUAUUCUUAAUGAAUCUCGAACGUAAUGUUACACAUAUUCAUACUGUGAAUACCAAAAGAUGUAAGUUUGAUAACGAUAGUCUCACAUACUUGUGGCACUGCCGCCUUGGUCACAUUGGUGUCAGGCGCAUGAAGAAGCUCCAUGCUGAUGGACUUUUAGAGUCUCUCGAUUAUGAAUCAUUUGACACAUGCGAACCAUGCCUCAUGGGCAAAAUGACCAAGACCCGUUCUCCGGAACAAUGGAGCGAGCGACCAACUUAUUGGAAAUCAUACAUACUGAUGUGUGCAGUCAAAUGAGCGUUGAGGCUCGCGGAGGAUAUCGUUAUGUUCUCACUCUCACUGAUGACUUAAGUAGAUAUGGGUAUGUCUACUUGAUGAAACACAAGUCUGAGACCUUUGAAAAGUUCAAGGAAUUUCAGAAUGAGGUAGAGAAUCAACGUGACCGAAAAAUAAAGUUCUUACGAUCAGAUCGUGGAGGAGAAUAUUUAAGUCACGCAUUUGGUACGCACUUAAGGAAAUGUGGAAUCGUUUUACAACUCAUGCCGCCUGGAACACCUCAGCGUCGUAAUCGCACUCUAUUGGAUAUGUUGCGAUCUAUGAUGUCUCUUACCGAUUUACCGCUAUCAUUUUGGGGAUACGCUCUAGAGAGAGCUACAUUCACUUUAGAUAGGGCACCAUCUAAAUCCGUUGAGACGACACUGUAUGAAUUAUGGUUUGGGAAGAAACCUAAGUUGUCGUUUCUAAAAGUUUGGGGAUGUGAUGCUUAUGUCAAGAAACUUCAACCUGAAAAGCUCAAACCCAAGUCGGAAAAAUGCGUCUUCAUAGGAUACCCCAAGGAAACCAUUGGGUAUACCUUCUACAUUAGAUCCGAAGGCAAGAUCUUUGUUGCCAAGAACGGAUCCUUUCUGGAGAAAGAGUUUCUCUCGAGAGAAGUAAGUAGGAGGAAAGUGGAACUAGAUGAAGUACUACCUCUUGAACCGGUAAGUAGCGCAGCUCAGGAAGAUGUUUCUGUGGUGCCUGCACCAACUGAAGAGGAAGUUAAUGAUGAUGAUCAAGGUACUUCGGAUCAAGUUACUACUGAACUUCUUAGGUCCAGGAGGACACGUUCCACACGAGAGUGGUAUGGCAACCCUGUCCUGGAAAUCAUGUUGUUAGACAACGGUGAACCUUCGAACUAUGAAGAAGCGAUGGCGGACCUAGAUUCCAACAAAUGGCUUGAAGCCAUGCAAUCCGAGAUAGGAUCCAUGUAUGAAAAGAAGUAUGGACUUUGACAGACUUGCCCGAUGAUCGGCGAGCGAUAGAAAACAAAUGGAUCUUUAAGAAGAAGACGGACAUAGAUGGUAAUGUUACCAUCUAUAAAGCUCGACUUGUCGCUAAGGGUUAUCGACAAUUUCAAGGGGUUUACUAUGAUGAGACAUUCUCUCCCGUAGCGAAGCUAAAGUCCGUCCGAAUCAUGUUAGCAAUUGCCGCAUACUAUGAUUAUGAGAUAUGGCAAAUGGACGUCAAAACGGCAUUCCUUAACAGCCAUCUUAAGGAAGAACUGUAUAUGAUGCAGCCGGAAGCUCCAGCGAUCCAUUUAUGGGCUGGUGCAAGCAUCUCGGAGUUGGAACAUUCGCUUUGAUGAGAUGAUCAAAGCGUUUGGGUUUAUGCAGACAUACGGAGAAGCCUGCGUUUACAAGAAAGUGAGUGGGAGCUCUGUAGCAUUUCUCAUAUUAUAUGUAGAUGACAUACUUUUGAUGGGAAAUGAUAUAGAACUUUUGGAUAGCAUUAAGGCCUACUUGAAUAAGUGUUUUUCAAUGAAGGACCUUGGAGAAGCUGCUUACAUACUAGGCAUCAAGAUCUAUAGGGAUAGAUCGAGACGCCUCAUAGGUCUUUCACAAAGCACAUACCUCGAUAAGAUAUUGAAGAAGUUCAAUAUGGAUCAGUCUAAGAAGGGGUUCUUGCCUGUGUUGCAAGGUGUGAAAUUGAGCUCAGCUCAACGCCCGAACACGAUAGAAGAUAGAGAAAAGAUGAGAGUCAUCCCCUAUGCCUCAGCUAUAGGGUCUAUUAUGUAUGCCAUGCUGUGUACUAGACCUGAUGUAAACCUUGCCGUAAGUUUGGUAGGAAGGUAGCAAAGUAAUCCCGGCAUGGAACACUGGACAGCGGUCAAGAACAUCCUAAAGUACCUGAAAAGGACUAAGGAUAUGUUUCUCGUUUAUGGAGGUGACGAAGAGCUCGUCGUAAAGGGUUACGUCGAUGCUAGCUUCAACACAGAUCUGGAUGACUCUAAGUCACAAACCGGAUACGUGUAUAUUUUGAAUGAUGGGGCAGUAAGCUGUCGCAGUUGCAAGCAAAGCGUCGUGGUGGGAUCUAUAUGUGAAGCAGAGUACAUGGCAGCCUCGGAGGUAGCGCAUGAAGCAAUCUGGGUGAAGGAGUUCAUCACCAACCUAGGAGUCAUACCCAAUGCGUCGGGGCCGAUCGCACUCUUCUGUGACAACACUGGAGCUAUUGCACUUGCCAAGGAGCCCAGGUUUCACAAGAAGACCAGGCAUAUCAAGCGUUGCUUCAACUCCAUUCGUGAAAAUGUUCAAGACGGAGACAUAGAUAUUUGUAAAGUACAUACGGACCUGAAUGUAGAAGAUCCGUUGACUAAACCUCUCCCUAGGGCAAAACAUGAUCAACACCAGAACUCUAUGGGUGUUCGAUUCAUCACAAUGUAACGAGAUGAUUGACUCUAGUGCAAGUGGGAGACUGUUGGAAAUAUGCCCUAGAGGCAAUAAUAAAAUGGUUAUUAUUAUAUUUCUUUGUUCAUGAUAAUAGUCUAUUAUUCAUGCUAUAAUUGUGUUAUCCAGAAAUCGUAAUACACGUGUGAAUACAUAGACUACAACGUAUCCCUAGUGAUCCUCUAGUUGACUAGCUCGUUGAUCAACAGAUAGUCAUGGUUUACUGACUAUGGACAUUGGAUGUCAUUGAUAACGAGAUCACAUCAUUGGGAGAAUGGUGUGAUGGACAAGACCCAAUCCUAAGCAUAGCUCAAAGAUCGUGUAGUUCGUUUAGCUAGAGCUUUUCCAAAUGUCAAAUAUCAUUUCCUUAGACCAUGAGAUUGUGCAACUCCCGGAUACUGUAGGAGUGCUUUGAGUGUGCCAAACAUCACAAUGUAACUGGGUGACUAUAAAGGUACACUACGGGUAUCUCCAAAAGUGUCUGUUGGGUUGGCACGAAUCGAGAUUGGGAUUUGUCAUUCCGUAUGACGAAGAGGUAUCUCUGGGCCCACUCGGUAAUGCAUCAUCAUAAUGAGCUCAAUGUGACCAAGUGUCUGGUCACGGGAUCAUGCAUUAUGGUACGAGUAAAGUGACUUGCCGGUAAUGAGAUUAAACGAGGUAUUGGGAUACCGACGAUCGAAUCAAGGGCAUCUAACGUACCGAUUGACAAAGGGAAUUGUAUACAGGAUUGAUUGAAUCCUCGACAUCGUGGUUCAUCCGAUGAGAUCAUCGCGGAGCAUGUGGGAGCCAACAUGGGUAUCCAGAUCCCGCUGUUGGUUAUUGACCGGAGAGGCGUCUCAGUCAUGUCUCCAUGUCUCCUGAACCCGUAGGGUCUACACACUACUAGGAAAAAGCCUACUAAUGGCGCACUGGUUUUGCCUACUAAUGGCGCAUUACCAGUGCGCCAUUAGUAGCAUGCUACUAGUAUUUUUUACUAAUGGCGCACCACUGGUGCGCCAUUAGUAUCUGGUAUACUAAUGGCACACCAGGCAGUGCGCCAUUAGUAUGUAACUCCAUGCGCCAUUUGUAUGCCUCCUGGGGGGCCAUAUGUAACCAUGUGCUUUGUCACUCUAAUGGCGCACUCUGCCUUGAUGCGCCAUUAGUAUCCUUUGGCAUACUAAUGGCGCACUCUACCUUGAUGCGCUAUUAGUAUGAAUAUUUGGUUUUUUUUUGCUUUUCUGAUUUUUGCACAGGAUACAAAAUAUAUUAUUGGACAGAAUAUUGACAGCAGCAUACAGCAACAUCAGAUUCAUCGAAUACAAUAAAAGAUUAGUCUCCGAAUACAAUUCAUCAUAUUAGUCUUCGAAUUCAAAAGUCCGAACAAAGAUAAAACAUUACAAGUCUCAAGACCGCGAGUAUCGAGUUUGUCUUCACAUUACAAGUCGAUAUCGAUCAUCUAAACUACCAUCACAUAAAAGAGAACUGCGGUCACCAUGAUGAGCAUCAUCGCGAUCAAACUGGUCUUCAUCCGGUUCCUCCAACGCUCCCUCCUCUCUCCCGCUAGAUAGCGGGCGUAUCUAGAUUCGGCCUCCGCCCUAGUGGUGUAUCCUUUGUAACUGUUACCGCUGAAACGGUGAACCUGUCUCCGACACUCCUCCCAGUCGUCGUAGACUCCGGGAACCUUACCCUUGUACAUGACAUACGACGACAUCUCUAUGCACAAGCCAAACAACAGACAACAGAUAAUACAUAAGCAAUAUGUAAGUAUGCAACAAAAGGAUUGGAAGAGAAAAGCAAGACAUUAAUAGCACGAUUCAUGAUCCUACUAAUAAAUAGCAUCGAUUACAUCUAAGUUGAAUGACUGUCCAAACCAAAGAGACAUAUGAAUUCAUUAAAGUUUAAUUACAACAUGAGCCAAUCAAUGUUUCAGAACUACACAUCACUUCUUUCGACUCGACUCAUCGGACAGGAGCGUGGAUGAAGCCGUCGUCUGUCGUGAUGGUCAUGAAAUCGCGGUCGUUGUCACCCUGCAUUUGUAGCGUUCCAUCUAUCUCAUUGUUGGACGGUUGAUAUCUGAGGUAGAACUGCCCCGAGGUAUGAAGGACAUCUUGAUGGAUGAUGUCCGCAAACUCCGACUGGAUGCAAAAGAAUUCUUGUCUGAGGUCCGCGUCCUGGGUUGCCGACAACCUCGCGGCCCAAUCUUUGAGACUAUCUGGUAGCAGAAGUUGAUGAUGGUCCCUUACGAUCGCCCGCAUGUGAUGGAGGGCGUAGUAGGCAUCCUUCUGACCGCCAGGCGGCUGCUUGACGCAGCAGAAAUUCGUAUUGUGUGAGAAGGUGUGCUUGCCGUACUUACGAACUGCCCUGGUGAAGUUGCCUCCAGAUUUGGCGUAGCCGGGGAGAACAUCAUCAAGAACUUUCUUGACAUUUGUGUAGUCUAUCUUGGAGUUACGGUUCGGGUCGAAAUACGUGGCCAUGGAAUAUUUCGGGCUUAAGAGGAUGAGUGUGCAAUGUGUGUCACUGCACAGAACACGGAAUGUUAGAAAAAAAAGAACGAUCAAAAUCUAAGAAAUCAUAUGUUACGGGGCGGUUAAGGGAUGACUUACUCGGGAAAGUAAGCCACAAGGAAGUUAUCCUUAUCUGCGUUUGCUAGAAUGACGCCUUCGAGGUGUGAACUCGCAACUUGGUGGUCCCCAGCGCUGCUCAAGUGCUUGGCACGCAUGUAGAAGGGGUCGACUAUCACGAUGCCCGGGGUCUUGUCUCUAAUGAUCCGCAUCUCCAUACUCAGCGAAAACAGCCGAACGAAGGUGUAGUGCAGCGGAUGAAGGUUAAACAUAGCAAAGAUGUCAUCAAACCGCAGGACGAUCGUACCCCCGAUGUCGCCAUCCACAAAGCCCUUGCCCUCUGGCACCUUGGCCACGAAAACCGGGUAUGCCACAUCAUUCUCUCUGAGACGUCGCUUCUCCAAAGAAAGAACACUGUCGUGCAGACUCCGCAUAGCACCGGUUGGAGCAUUCAGCAUAUUUGGCGGUAGCAUCGCCCUACCCGCCACAUGCACCCUCCUUAAGAUAUCCUUAGGUGAAGGUGGCCCGUCCUGAGCACGGAUCGAACUCGGUGCCGGCUGGCUCGCACUGGCGCCCUUGUUACUCUUUCGCUUCCGUCCCUUCUUCUUGAUCUCCUAUAAUGGGACCGAGUUCUGCUCACAAACCGCCUUCUUGAGUGUGUUGGGGCUGAUAAUAUUUCGCACCUCAGCUAUCUGAGGCUCGGUGAAGGUGGGAGCUGGAGGCGUGUCCUGAGAACUGAAUGCCAGACGACGCCUGUUGCAAUUGGAUUUCUCCGUCGUACCAGCUAGAUCGCGGUCGUCUUGGUUGGGUUCUUGAGAAAGAGGCCAGCAGAACUCGUCAGUGUACCCAUGUUCGGCAAAGUACUUAUCAACUUUGGUAAAUGUACCGUCGUCGUUGUCGUUGCCGUCCGGAUCCUGUGCCAUAGGGCUGUCCGGAUCCUGUGACAUAGGGAUGUCCGGUAGGUCCGGUAGCGUUGCAAUGUUCUUGCCAUGGCUUGGUGCCGGCACGACUGGCGGUCUUGUUUGUGGGGUGGUGUCCCCCGCCCCCAAACGAAUCUGGCUCUUUGGCCAAAGCAGGGGCCAGUUUACGCAGGCGCUGAGGGUCAUCUCAUAUUCUUCAUCGGCCCCAGCGGGUCGAAUCGGAGGUAACAUCUCGUCGCAGCCUGGCAGCACCCGAACCACUUCAACCCUAUACACUAUGGGUGGCAUCGGAUUACCGUGGAACAUGGGGUUGCCCGGUUGAACGAUUCUGCCCUUUGCGACAUCGACCAACUCGGCGCCCAUGAAGUGCAGAAGAGUGCAAGGAACGUCGGUGGUGCCCUGCGAAAACAUGUACAGGGCGUCAGGGAUGCCCAGUCAAAGGCAAGGAGAUGAAGUCAUCGGCCGAGACGCUUAGUUACCGUGAUGCCGUCGAGCUCGACUAAUGUUGAGGCACCGCCAACGGCGGAUGUGCAACUGACGGAGGGGGCGCUUUCUGGCGAGGUGCCGGACGGCGUACACCCGGGUGCAUUAAGCUCCAAUGCCCGUGCCGGCGCCGGAGACACGAAUACCGCCUCCGCCGGAGACACCAAUGGCACCGCCGCCGGAGACACCAAUGGCGCCGCCGGACACCAAUGGCGCCGCCUGUGCGCUGUGCGAGUUGCUGGCUGUGAAGCUGGGAACCAGGGGAGGCCCCUGUUGGCCGCCCGCAAUCCACGUCGUCAGCCCAUGAAUCAACGUAGGCACCAUGGCGUUGAGCUUCGUUCCCAGUUAUUGUUCCACUUGCUCUUGGACAAGCUCCAGAAUCCGCGCCACUUGUGCCUUGAGUUCUUCAACCUCACGCGUCUGGCUUUCCGAGCUGGUCUUUUUCUCCUUCCGCACACCAGCGGUAUAGUAUGACCCCCAUUUUGUGGACAAGCCUUUGCCGGCCACACGACCAGCUGACGUCGGCUUAGUGAGCUUAUCCUUGUUUUUCAUUACGUUCAACGCCCUAUUUAAAGGGGUGUCGAAAGGGGAGCUUUGAGAUGACCCCGCGCUACUGCUUUCAGUGUCCUAUGAAAGAAACGUGAACCAUUUAGAAAUAUUGGGGAUUAAUUAGAGUGCAACCAUAUGGAGCUAAUUACGCGGGGGUGUAUUCCUUACCAGAACAAGCUCAAGUGCCCUGGUCUUCGGAUCCGUGGUAAGCUCCUUUGUUAUCGGGUCCUCCUUGUACCGGGCCCUGACAUAGUUCCUGGUCUGCUUGUUACUGCUGUAUUUCUCGAAGCGGGGCGGUAGGCCUUUCUCGGCACGCUCCGCGUCCUCCUUGUCCCAUAUAGGCUCCACCACUCUGUAACAGCCGGGACCGAGUUUGUGUUCCCCUAAGUUCAACUCCCGCAUUUCUUUCCCCCACUGACUUGAUUCGGAGGUUGCACUGCUCUCGCACUUUAUCUUGAACUCCUUGUAGUCAUCUUCGCUCAUCAUAGGAUAUUUCGCCUUUAUCUUCUCAUAACUAUCACCUUUAUCAAUCAUUCUCUUCACCACGCUUCUCCAAGUAGACAGGGCUGUGCUCAUCCUCGUGAGGGCGGCACUGUUCACUUUAUUCCCUGAGAGGCGUGUAUUUUCAAAAUCGGCGGGGAACUUGUAUCGUUCGUGCAGCUUCGUGAAGAGGAGGUUGCGCAAAUUCCCUCGGUCCUUAUGCCUAAGGUUCUCGGUGUUGACCGAGACGGUGCUCUGGAGAAUGCACCCAAGCUGAAGCGAGUACCCCUUGACUAUAUGUUUGGGCUCCGUUGGAUUCCCGUCGGAGUCCACUUGAGUGAAUUCCUCCUUGAGGGUGCGGAGCACAUUCAGGCGCCGGUCCUUCCUUUGCUUCUUCGGUUGGCGGUCAUCUGUGUGUGCGCCGCCAUCAUCAGUGCUGGCAUCCUCGGCGGCACCAUCAGUGGUGUCAUCCCCGACGCCACUAGGGGUUGUGUAAUCAGGAUCGGUGUCUUCCGCGGCGUUCUCAUAGCGGUGAGGUUGUUCCUCCAUCUCCUGGGAUAGCUCCCAUAAUUGCUUGCCGCCCGAACCACCGGCCUCAUCGUUGUGGGCCAUGUUUUGCUCUAAAUAGGAAAAAAGUUUGCUCAAAAAGUUGGUUAUUGUCAAGGAACAAGAUCAUGGUCUCAUCAUUUAGGGUUUGUCGACACCGAGGCACCCUAAAAGCCUAAGCUUUCAUCAUUUAGGGUUUGUCGACGCCGAGGCACCCUAAAAGCCUAAGCGUACAUCAUUUAGGUUCUCAUCGACACCGAGGCAUCCGGGGCAGCCAAGUUAAGUUUUCAUCAUUUAGGGUUUAUCGAUGCCGAGGCACCCUAGGUUGGGCCUAAUCACUUGGCACUAAUCACUUGGCUCUAUUGCCACCUAUGAUUUAAUACAACAAGAAUAAAGGGGCAGUUGAUCUUACCUAAUUAAGUACUAAGAUACCCCGGCCCAUGCAUUAGUAGCAAGUACCUCAUAUGUUCGAUUUUUAGCAAAAUCAUGCUAAAAUUCAUGGAAAAUUUCAGCAUGACCUUUGCUGAAAAUAGGACAUAUGGAGUACCCGAAUUUGCCGGAACGGAAGUUAAUCGACAUUCCGGCAAACUCAAGGGCCUCUCGGGGUACCUACAAAAUCAUCACGACACGAAGGGCCUCUCAAGGGCCUCAAGCAGCAGCGGCGUCUCCCAGGACCCCAUUUUUUUGCUAAAUUUCUUUGAGCAACAAUCAGAGCAGAAAAUUAAAAAUCACUUGAAACCUGAUCACUCGGACCACACCACAUGCCACAGCAUACAUAGUACAUAGACUUGACAAUUCAGUUGCAAUCAUGUAGUAAUGGAUUGUUCUACCUAGCAGGUUGUUGGAAAUGGAUUGUUCUACCUAGCAGGUUGUUGCAAAUUCAGUUGCUUUUUUCAUUAGGGCUGGCAACCAGACAUGGUCAAGUUUCAAUUAAGAUUAUCUAUUGGUUCAAUACUGGCAACAAGACUUGUUCUACAAAAUCAAUUAUCUAUUGAGUAGUUCUUGUUCUCAUCCAGUAGCAACAUCUUUCAUACAUGAUCAGUAGUCAUGUACCAAAUUUUUAUUUAAACUGAAUUUGCAAAUCACCAAGAGCUCUACUAGUUUCAGACUAGAUUUACACUAAAUACACUAGAGUAUUUGACCAGUAGUCAGUAACAUUUACACUAGACUGAAGAAAUUGCUGCAUCACUAGACUGAAGAAAUUGUGUUGUCAGUUAGGGACUGAAGAAAAUGUGUUGCAGAUUUUGAUUUGCUUGCUGAUCUUCGGUUAACUCCAUAGAAGAGUUUUGUACUGAUUCAGUUAACUGACAGCAAGUAACAGCAUGUUCUAACAGCAAUAGUUUCAGAGUACUACUCCAAAAUCCUCCAAGUUGUAGCUCACCUAAAUGGUUGAAUUCAAAGAACUACAGUGGCCUUCAGUGAUUGAGAGCUUAAAAUUUCCAACAAUCUGAACAAACAAAGUAAAAAAGGAUCAGUAUCUCAUUUCAGCUGAUUUAUUCUUCAUAAGCAUAGGCUUUGUUUGUUGGAAACUAGCCUGUGAAACUGAAAUUUAACAGUAAACUGAAUUACUGUCAUUUAACAGUAAACUGAAUUACUGUCAUUUAACAGUAAACUGAAAUUUAACAGUAAACUGAAUUACUGGCAUUUAACAGUAAACUGAAUUGGUCUUGUGGCCUCAUCCACUAACUAAUGCAAUUCUUGCAUUGCACACUGCCUUACAGCUGGUAAAAAGAGCUUUGAUAGGCUAGUGCAUGGAAGAUAGACACAAAUGUCUUUUCUGCAUCGAAGCAUGGACACAAAUGUUGAUAUUCUUAGUGAGUGUUUUUUUCUCUUUCGCCAUUGAUAGGCUAGUGCAUGGAAGCUAGAACUCCAAGUACUUGUUUGUGGUAUGGCAGUAACCAGUAGCUUACCAAUUCAUGGUGUUUGAGGUAUGGAGAAAGAACAUGUCUACAACUAUCAGACCAUCACAAGUAUCAACAGAACAUGUGUACAACCAUGUAACAAAUCAUGUCUAGUUGAUCUGAUGUAACAAAUCUGACCAUCACAAAAAUCAAAAGAACAUCUAUACACCAUCAUUCAGGCCGUCACAAGCAUAACAAAGCAAUGGUGUUUUCUUCAGUUACCUUUGAUCUGGCUGCUUGGAAUCCACUGACUUUCAGAUCCGUUGACCAAUCCACUAACCUGCUGUUCAUCAAAAGGAAAAAUAAAUGAGCAUACGUGGUGAGUAGAAGGGAUUGGGGAUUUAGGGUUUCUGUAUGGGGUUAGAACUAGUCAAGUCUGAAUAUUACACAAGCCUGAACAUUACACAAUUCAAACUACAGAACAUACGCUUUAUUCAGUGAUCUUUCUAAACAAGCUACAUAACACACACUGUAUUCAAACUUGCUGCUAUUUAAGCAAGUUUUUGUAAGAAAACUGAUUAGGACACCCAAAAAACUUGCUGCAUUUCAAUCAGACCAAAUGUUUCACUUAAUUUUAGGAGUUAACUGAAUUUACAUUUAAUUAAGUUAACCAAAAUUACACUGAAUUUUACUGUGAAUUAAAAUUCAGUGAGUACAUUCAGGUGCGCAUGCAUUUCGAACCCGUGUCCCCGGGGCCAGCAAUUCUACCAGGCCGGACGGACGAUUCGAUUCGAACAACGAGGGUAGGGAAAGAUGAUUGCUGAAUUUGAAAUCGCCUACCUGGGCUUGAGGGAGGUGUGGGCGGCGAGGUCACGGGAGGAGUACUUCCUUGGCUCGCCGGCUGCUGCGGAGGUGACUGGUGGUGGAGGACGGCAGGGGCAGUUGGGCGGCGUCGGGUUCGGCCGGCUGGGUGCGCCGCGGCGGCGGGCCGACAGCGGUGGCGGCGGCUAGGAACCCUAGCUGUCGCGCUCGAGAGGGAGGUUGACGCAGGCGGGGCCGUGGGGGGAGGGGGACGGCGAGGGCGCGGGCGCGGNNNNNNNNNNNNNNNNNNNNNNNNNNNNNNNNNNNNNNNNNNNNNNNNNNNNNNNNNNNNNNNNNNNNNNNNNNNNNNNNNNNNNNNNNNNNNNNNNNNNNNNNNNNNNNNNNNNNNNNNNNNNNNNNNNNNNNNNNNNNNNNNNNNNNNNNNNNNNNNNNNNNNNNNNNNNNNNNNNNNNNNNNNNNNNNNNNNNNNNNNNNNNNNNNNNNNNNNNNNNNNNNNNNNNNNNNNNNNNNNNNNNNNNNNNNNNNNNNNNNNNNNNNNNNNNNNNNNNNNNNNNNNNNNNNNNNNNNNNNNNNNNNNNNNNNNNNNNNNNNNNNNNNNNNNNNNNNNNNNNNNNNNNNNNNNNNNNNNNNNNNNNNNNNNNNNNNNNNNNNNNNNNNNNNNNNNAAUAUCAUCGGCGGCGGCGGUGGAGAGGGGGAGGGUGCAGGGGGUGCCCGUUGGCGGCGGUGGAGCGGGGGAGGGUGCGGGGGGCCGGGUGCUCGGCGGCGGCGGUGGAGCGGGGGAGGGUUGCGGUGGGUCGGCGGCGGCGGUGGAGCUAGCGGGGGAGGGUGCGGGUGGGAUCGAGAUCGAGAUCAAGUGUCCUCAUGAAUUCAAAAAGUGCCCAUGAAAUUUAAAAAUAUUCAUGAUAUCAAAAAGUGCCCAUGAAAUACAAUCGAGAAAUGAAGACUACGAUUUAAAUACAAUCGAUCUUAGCUAGCUAUCUGUUCACAAUCUUCUUGCCCUUCUUUUUCGCAAAUGGAGUUCUUCUGUGGAACGGACGUCCUUUAGGUAGGGUGGUCCUGCUUCUUCUUGUGGUGUGUGCUGCUACUUCAUCGUCGUCGUCAUGUUCGAUCUUCGGGUCUCCGUACUUGUCGAAGUCUUGCUCAUUGGCUACUCCAUCCAUUUCGAUCAUCUUCCUUUUGCCUCUCCUCACAACAACACGGCUGGGCUUUGGCAGGUCGGUAAUGAAGAAGCAUUGGUCCACUUGGGAAGCCAGUACCCAUGGCUCAUUUUUUGCGGUGACGUUUGCGCCCGCGGUCUUGGAUUUGGCUUUGGGUAUAACCAUGGUGGUGAAAUAUAGGUCUUAUUUUAGGACGCUCUUGGCCCAUCUGACACGGAACAUCGGCACCUUCUCUCUACCGUAGCUCAGCUCCCAUAUCUCCUCGAUCCUUCCGUAGUAUCUGUCCUUGUCCUUACCGGUGUAGGAUUCCAUCAUUACCCCGGGGUUCUGAUAACCAUCGCUCUUCAUGUCCUUGUCCUCAGUGUAGAAUGUGUAGCCGUUGAUAUCGUACGCCUCAUAGGUCAUCAGGUUGUGCUCGGCGCCCUGUGACAAGGCGAAUAUGAGUUGUUCUUCCGCGGAAGAAUCUUCAUGUAAAGGGUACGACAGAAGCUUCUGCUUGAACCAACGCGUGAAACAUGAGUUGUGCUCUUUGAGUAUAUCUCCGUCCGUCCUCUGUUGGCCUCGGUCAUUGUACGUCUUCUCAAUAAAGGUUUUGUGCUCUACCACCCAAGGAUCGACCACGUCUAUGUGUUGUAGCGCCACUAGGUUUGCUCUUUCAAAGUCGGCGAGUCAACCCUCGAAGUCGACAUGCAUUUCGCGGUGACCCUCACGGUGACCCCAUCCAGCGAGCCUGCCUAGGUGCCUGUUGACAGGCAGACCAAUGGGGUUCUCGAUGCCUAGAUAAUUCAUGCAGUAGGAGAUGCACUCUUCGGUCAGAAAGCCCCUGGCUAUACUUCCCUCUGUACGUGACAUGUUGCGAACGUAUCCUUUGAUGACACCAUUCAUCCUUUCAAACGGCAUCAUGCUGUGCAGGAACGUCGGCCCGAGUUGGAUGAUAUCCUCCACGAUAUGGACCACCAGAUGCACCAUAACGUCGAAGAAUGCGGGCGGGAAGUACAUCUCAAGCUCGCAUAGUAUCACCACGAUCUCUUCCUGUAGCCUUCUGAGUUGCCUCACGCCAAUCGACUUCCGAGAGAUGACGUCGAAAAAGUUGCAUAGGCCAAAUAGCGUUUCACGGACGUGCGCGUCCAUGAUCCCAUGGAUUGCAACCGGAAUUAUCUGCGUCAUCAGCACGUGACAGUCGUGAGACUACAUCCCGCUGAACUUCUGCUUCGCUGGGUCUAGGUAUCUGCUUAUCUUCCCCGCGUAACCGUAAGGAAGUUUUACUCCUAGGAGGCAGGUGAAAAACUGUUCGAUCUCCUCCUGACAUAGAGUGAAGCACGCAGGAGUGUAGUCAUUUCCGGUCUUCUUGGCCUUUUUGCCUUUGCGACGACUUUCUGUGUCCUGCUUCGCCUCAUCAUCAUCAUCAUCAUCAUCAUCAUCAUCAUCAUCAUCAUCAUCAUCAUUAGCGUGAAGCUCCUGCCUGAUGCCCAUUGAUUUCAAGUCUACCCUUGCUUUCGGCCCAUCUUUGGUCCUCUCUGGCAUGUUGAGCAGGGUACCAAGCAGACUCUCGCACACGUUCUUCGUGAUAUGCAUGACAUCAAGGCUGUGAGGCACACGGUGGAUCUUCCAGUACGGCAAGUCCCAGAAAACAGACCUCGUUUUCCAUACCUUCAGCAGCGGCUCUGGGGCCUUUCGCUUUUUUCCCGGCUCUGGCGCCUUUCGCUUCUUUCCCGCCAGUGGGCAGUCUUUCCAAUUUUUCAACAGCUCGUCUAUUUCCUCGCCGCUCCUCGUACACGGGCGUUUUCGGGGUUCGGUUUCACCAUCGAACAGAUCCUUGCGUUUCCUCCACGGGUCAUCAUCGCGAAGCCACCUUCGAUGUCCCAUGAACACGGUUUUCGAAGACCCGGAAUCUCUAUCUAGCCGGCGAUACAUUGUGUCAUCCAUGCACCUUACGCAUCCAGAAAAUCCGUGGACUACCUGCCCCGCGAGAUAUCCGUAACCGAGAUAGUCGUGCACCGUCGUGAGCAGUGCGGCUCUCAUAGGGAAAUAUUGUUUCUCUGCAGCAUCCCACGUAUUGGCUGGCGUCUUCCACAGCGUGUCUAGCUCCUCCUUCAGCAGCCCCAGAUACAUAUUGAUGUCGUUCCCUGGUUGUUUCGGCCCUUCAAUUAGCAUACUCAUGUGAAUGUACUUCCUCUUCAUGCACAACCAGGGGGGAAGGUUGUACAUCCAAACAAACACAGGCCAGGUGCUAUGUGUGCUUCUCUGGCUGCCAAAUGGAUUGACUCCAUCGGUGCUCGCGCCCAGCAUGAUGUUCUUUGGAUCCUUCCCAAAUUCUGGGUGUUCGAAGUUCAACGCUUACCACUGGCUUCCAUCCCUAGGGUGACUUAGCAUCUUGUCUUUUUUAUUUAUCUCCGGAUCAUUUCCGUCAUCUUCCCGCUUAUUCUCCUCCCUAUCCGCAUGCCAACGCAGGAGCUUUGCUACCUUAGGGUCCGCGAAAUACCGCUGCAGACGAGGAGUGAUCGGAAAGUAACACACCGAUUUUCAAGGAGCUUUCUUCCUCUUCUUGUAUCGAGUGACGCCGCACACCGGACAUAUGGUAGACUCCGCAUGCUCGUCCCGAUAAAUGAUGCAAUUGUUCAUGCACACAUGGUAUUUCACGUGCGGUAAAUCCAGAGGACACACGAUUUUCUUCGCCUCCUCGAAACUGGUCGGGCACUUGUUCCCCUUGGGAAGACGUUCGUGCCAGAAUGACAUGUUCUCGUCGAAGUAUGCGUCGGUCUUUUUGUGUUUUACCUUCAUCUCAAGAGCCAUGAGCGGUACUUUCAGGCGGGUAUCCUCGGGCCUGCAUCCUUCAUACAAUGGAGUAACCGCAUCUAUCUCCAGUUGAUCCAGCUUGGCUUUCUCUCAGGCGGCAGCUCUUGCGUUAUCCGUCUGCUUGAGAAGCAGCUCUUGAAUAUGAGGGUCCUGUACCCAGCCUCCAUCGUCGUAUGCUCCGGCAUCUUCAUCUUCAUGAUCAUGCCCUUCGUCUUGAUCUUCCUCAUCAUCAUGUACGACAUCUUCUACAUGAUGACUGUGUACAACAUCACCGCCGUGAUCAUGUCCAGAAGAUUCUUCGUCUUCUCGCCCGCCCUCGCCGCGGUGGUACUUGUCUUGUUGCCCUUCCUCAUUUCUUGCCCGGCCCCCAUGGACGACUUCAUAGUCAUCUUCAUCACCUUGACACCGAUAGCCAUGCAUGAAACCACGCAAGAGCAGGUGGUCCCGCACCUGCCCGGAAUCCGGGUCUGCAAUAAGGCUCUUCAGCUUGCAUCUUCGACAUGGACAUCUUAUCUCCGUCUCGUUCUUUUGAAGCAUCUCGGCCUUCACGGAGCUCAAAAACCUAUUCACGAUGCCUUCGGUCAUCGUGCGGACCAUGGUCGCCUGCGGGGUAGAGCAAAACGAUAUUUUAGAACCAAGAAAAAAUUUGGCAUGACCUUCCCUAAAAAUAGGACCAAAAAGAAUGCAUAGUGCCAAAAUUCUCGCCGAAACGGAAAUGAAUCAACAUUCUGGCAAAAUAUUGGCAACUAUCGCAUUUCAAAUACCGGUACCUGCAAACACAAACAUAUAUGCAACACCACAAACACAAGCAACACCACAAACAUACAUCGAUCUAGCUAGGCCACAAAAAGUGCAUGUGCACGUUGUUGGAGCGAGCUAGGGAGAAAAAAAGUAGAUCUACAUCAUGAAGAUAGCUUUCCCCUUACUUACCUAUCAAAAAAGGUAAUUUCACCACUUAAUUUUCAUGAAUCUACGGUGGAAAUGAGGCGAGGAGGGGGAGGCAGCCGAAAGCUUGGAUAAGGAGGUGGAGGGAAUAAAGUGGGGAAAGUGAGUGGGUAGGUGUGGGGCUGUCCAAAAUAUCUUGUUGGGGUCCCAGGUUACUAAUGGCGCACCAGCAGCAAAUGCGCCAUUAGUAACCCUGGUUACUAAUGGCGCACCUACUGGUGGUGCGCCAUUAGUAGUGUUGCAGAAAAGUAAAUAUAUNNNNNNNNNNNNNNNNNNNNNNNNNNNNNNNNNNNNNNNNNNNNNNNNNNNNNNNNNNNNNNNNNNNNNNNNNNNNNNNNNNNNNNNNNNNNNNNNNNNNNNNNNNNNNNNNNNNNNNNNNNNNNNNNNNNNNNNNNNNNNNNNNNNNNNNNNNNNNNNNNNNNNNNNNNNNNNNNNNNNNNNNNNNNNNNNNNNNNNNNNNNNNNNNNNNNNNNNNNNNNNNNNNNNNNNNNNNNNNNNNNNNNNNNNNNNNNNNNNNNNNNNNNNNNNNNNNNNNNNNNNNNNNNNNNNNNNNNNNNNNNNNNNNNNNNNNNNNNNNNNNNNNNNNNNNNNNNNNNNNNNNNNNNNNNNNNNNNNNNNNNNNNNNNNNNNNNNNNNNNNNNNNNNNNNNNNNNNNNNNNNNNNNNNNNNNNNNNNNNNNNNNNNNNNNNNNNNNNNNNNNNNNNNNNNNNNNNNNNNNNNNNNNNNNNNGUCUAAACUAGUAAUGGUGCACCUAGCCUGUGUGCGCCAUUAGUAGUUUUGCAAAAAAAAGAAUAAAAAAAACAACAGUAAUGGCGCACGAUCUGCCUCGUGCGCCAUUACUAGUUAGAACUAGUAAUGGCGCACUUUGACCGGAUGCGCCAUUAGUAUGUAUGAAAAAAUGAAAAAAAAAAUUUAUACUAGUGGCGCACCAUGUCUCUGGUGCGCCAUUAGUGCCUUCCACACUAAUGGCGCAUCACCGACUAGUGCGCCAUUAGUAUAUAGUAGUGGCGCACUGGUUCCUCGGUGCGCCAUUAGUAUCAAUCCUAUCUAUAGCCCUUUUCCUAGUAGUGACACACUUAAGGUUCGGUGACGCUAGGGUUGUAGAGAUAUUAGUAUGCAGUAACCCGAGAGUUGUUCGGAGUCUCGGAUGAGAUCCCGGACGUCACGAGGAGUUCCGGAAUGGUCCGGAGGUAAAGAAUUAUAUAUAGGAAGUCACGUUUCGGCCAUCGGGGAAGUUUCGGGGGUCACCGGUAUUGUACCGGGACCACCGGAAGGGUCCCGGGGGUCCACCGGGUGGGGCCACCUAUCCUGGAGGGGCCCAUGGGCUGAAGUGGGAGGGGAACCAGCCCCUGGUGGGCUGGUGCGCCCCCCCUUGGGCCCCCCUGCGCCUAGUGUUGGGAAACCCUAGGGGUGGGGGCGCCUCCACCUGCUUGGGGGGCAAGCCACCCCCCUGGCCCCCCCCCCCCUUGGAGAUCCCAUCUCCUAGGGCCGGUGCCCCCCCCUAGGGGCCCUAUAUAGAGAGGGGGGGGUGGAGGGCAGUCGCACCCAUGCUCUUCGCGCCUCCCUCUCCCCUUGCUACACCUCUCCCUCUCGCAGAAGCUUGGCGAAGCCCUGCCGAGAUCGCUGCUGCAUCCACCACCACACCGUCGUGCUGCUGGAUCUUCAUCAACCUCUCCUUCCCCCUUGCUGGAUCAAGAAGGUGGAGACGUCUUCCCAACUGUACGUGUGUUGAACGCAGAGGUGAAUCAUCGGUGAUUUGGAUCACGACGAGUACGACUCCCUCAACCCCGUUCUCUUGAACGCUUCCGCUCGCGAUCUACAAGGUUAUGUAGAUGCACUCCUCUCUCUCGUUGCUAGAUGAACUCAUAGAUUGAUCUUGGUGAAAGCGUAGAAUUUUUUUAUUUUCUGCAACGUUCCCCAACAUAUAUAUCAUUUAAGUUACAAUGUAUUUUCAUUGUUGUUCUCAUGUGUCGCUGCCAUGUAUUGGGUUUACUGUGGUGUUCUUUAUCACAAUGUAAUCUGUUCACUCGUCUUGUGUUUUGUUUUGGUGUGGGUGCACUCUUUGUCUUAUGUUACCAUAAUGUAUUUUGAAUGAAAAUAAUAUAAUCAGGUUAGUCCAUUAGUUAAUCAAUAUCUUGUUUUGUGUGGUGUUUUAGAUAAUUGAUUUGAGGUGAAGGGAGAAAAUAUUUCUCAAACACCGAUGUUGUUACAUGUUUUGAUGCAAAGCAAAGAAGUAUGAAAUAUGCAAAUUCCAAAUUCAGGAAAUCGUACUCAAAGAUCGAACGACCCUGAAAAUCAUAAAAGUCCAUCCUCAUGUCAUCCAAGCUUGAGGUUGUUGUAGUAUAUCAUGAACAAAGUUUGUUGUAACCUUUAUAACUGAACUAUAAAUAGCCACUAACAUUCAAAUCCCAGGCGGCUUCAUUUGUUGAUGUCAUGAAGGCGGCAUGAACGUUGAUCUUUAUCCAGAUUUCUCGGGGGAUCACGGCCCUGAAUUUCGGUACAUCGAUCAGUCUUAAUAGUAUUAGAUGUAUCCAAAUGUAUAGAAAACUACAGUAAUUAACUCGUGUGGUGAUAUCUAAAGUAGUGGAAGGUCUUCGGUAUAUUAAUUUUAUGUAAUAAGAAUAAUCUUUAAAAAUAUAUAGUAGCGAUGAUUGUACGACCAUAUUUGAAGUACAAAGUUAUUAGUUGUCUUAACAUGAAAUAUUUUUAUAAUAAUAUUUGUGGCAUUCUGUUGUAGUACUUAUCUCUUGGAUUUGCAUUAUAGCAUAUCUUAUUUCCAUCCAUGUACAUGAUCUUGUUGCAUCAUGAAAUUACUAGUGAUUUUAGUUACUUUUCGAUUGGUUUAUUCAAGGGAUUAGGAUUGCAAACGUAGUUGAUCUAAUACGACCCACAUCUAGAUGUAUUACACAUGCCUUGUGAAAGGUUAGUCUAAGAUAAGUUUAGAGGAUAACCGAUGAUGUUCUUGAAAGAUUCAGUCCUACUGGGUAUGGAGGAUCAAAAAAAUGAUUUUUCUCUCAUUCCGUAUAGUUGUUUUUUCCAGUUGAACCUCUCUGGUUCAAUGCACUUUUAUAAAAAAAAUUGAAAAGCAAUACAAAUACACAGCAGAAUCCUGCAGUUUCCCUAAAAAAAAAAGCAACAAGAUGAUUGAAUUUUGCACCAGGUUACCAGAUAACAUAGCUACUAGGUCAAAAUCGUUGCUAACCUUCCCCGCAAAAAAAAGCUUUGCUAUCUUGACACUCAAUAAUAAAAUUGCAUCUUUCUUGUAUCUCAUGCUUUCUUUGUCAAAAUUCACAUGCCACUUUUGGCCACUUUUUGGCAAUAAAUUUGGUUGUUGCCACCCAAACCAAUUGCGUAGAACCAUAAAACUCAAUUGCAGAAAGCUUCACAUGUGUGCAUAGCGGUGCCAAACAAAGUAGUUUAGAUAGAAACCCUAUAACUCAAAACACAUUGUUGUGUGAAAAGCUUCGCAGACAUUAAACCCAUGUGCAUUGGUGAGCGUUCUAUGCACAUCUGGUUUGUCAGUUGUUCUUUAUAUCAGUACCAGCCUUGCAUCCAACUAAUUUAUGACACGUGUAAUUUAUGACUGGUUUUGUCACACACACGCAUGCACGAACACCCACACGCACGCAGGCACGCACGCACACACACACAUACACACACACACACACACACACACACAAACAGCGGAUUUAUAUUUUGAAUACUAUUGCCAUCAAAUGUUCGUAUUGAAGCAUAGUCUACUCUAUUUUGGUUCUUCAAAGUUAGCAGGAUAACGCAUUAUAACUUAAGUAUUUAUUGCCUGGAGAAAUCAAAUUACUCAAAUACCUAGGUGUUUCAAUUUGUAAAGUAAAGGAAUACGUAUGAAAUAUUGCAAAUUAAAUUUCAGGAAAGACAAAACAGUCCUAACUUAUCUACCAUAUCGCACAGACUCGUAAGCAACUAAGUAAAUGUUUUUUGGGAAACAACAGGACUCUGCUGCAUAUUAUUAGUAUUAUGUUUUGUAAAAAAUACAACUAAGUAAAUGUCUCUCUUAAUUUUGUCCUACACUACUAAGCGGGAAGAUGCGUCGUACACAACUUUGGCAUAAUUGAUCCACAAACUAUAUAAAGUAUACACUACUACAAAACGAGCUAGCAGUGGUGGAUGACAAGUAUAUGCGUGCCACCGAAACAUUUAGCCCAUGACUAACAUGGUAAGAAUUUAUUAGUGGAGGGCGGCAUGUUUUGCCUGCUAAUGCACAUCCAAUACCUGUUGUCAGCCCUCUUUUGUACCCACCCCUGUUGUCAGCCCUCUUUUGUACCCACCACUGUCUAGAUGAAAUAGUGGUGGCAUGUACCUAUCGGUGCCCGCCAAUAAUGUGACCCCACCUAUAAGCCUUUUCCCAGCAGUGAUAGCAUUUUAAUAUGUUAUUAGGAUUCACCACUAUAAUAGAAUAAGAUCCAAGAAUCAAGCACCUAAAUAUCAUCAAAGUCCAUACUCUCAUACUUACAAAUAGGUUCUUUUAAUAUAGACGAGCAAGGUUCAACCUUUAGAUGUGAACUAAAAUGACCACUAACUAGCAAUCAAUGAUGGCUUCACUAGUUUCAGCGGUAUGAACGUUGAUCUAUAUACAUAUUUCUCAGGGUGGUCGCAUCCUUGAAUUCUGGUACAUCGGUCAUUCUUAACAUCACCAUAAAUAUGAAAAUGAUUGAAAAAACUUGUAGUAUCUCCUAUAAGGUAAUAUCUAUAGUACAUUACGGUCUUGAAGAUACUAAUUUUAUUCAUCUCCGAGAGCCUUCUGUCACAAUCUACCCACCAACGGACGACUGGGAGGCUUUCUUCGCCCGACUGUACAGAUCAUGCGCCUUGGUUCCACAUGUCAUGGACACACGCUGACUAUAGCGAUCACGCGCCCUUGGGCCACCCAUCAUCGAGCUUCCAACUGGGUCGCCCGGUUGCGAGCCGUCCGGGCAGAUCAGAUGGCCCGGAGCCGCCCCACGAGCCUCCUGUCGUAAGCCAACUGGCAAUGGAUGGGCAGGAUCCUUUCCUCACCCUCGAAAAGCCUAGGAAGGCGCGCACUUUAGCAUUCUUUAUAUAGGAAUAAUGGGUUAAUUGAUUCAACAUGAUUUACCGGAAUCUUUGUGAUUUAAAAAAUUGAUAAUGAUCAUUUUUGGACUAUCCCCAAUUAUAGUUCAUAACGUUUUUGCAGGCUCAUCGCAGUUUUUUUAUGUUUGAUGUAUACAAUGUAAUAAUGCGUCAAUUCUCCAUCAUUAUUUAUGGGAAUAUUAUGGAAGAUGUUGUUUUUUCCUCUUUAACUUGACGAAAUAGUAUGAAAAUAAUAUUUAUACCCAUAUUAGUUGUUAUAUUUUAUUUUAUUUUUGAUAUAAUUAAAUAUGUAUUGUCUAUGAAGUGUUCUCAUUCUUUUUGACAAGUACUAUUGUAUGUUAUGGAUUCUUGAUGUGGCAAACAAAUUGUAUUCCUUUAGUGGUGCUGCUUAAAUGAGUACAAUGUGAUUAAGCCUUUUAAAAUUGUACUGUAUUGGACAAUGUUAUUUGUUCAUCUUUUAGGAAGUGUUUACCAUUAUGGCUCAUACAAAUAAAAUUAUGAAAAAAUGAUCCUUAAAAAGGCAUGAUUAAAUUCUUUUCUACAAUUGUGAUAUUUUAUUUAACACAAAGAUUGUAUUGUUUACUUACCAUACUAAGGGCAUCGAGGUGUCUUGGAGUAGCAAGCCAUCCAUGAUGUACCCAUUGAUGUGUGGAUGCAUUGGCUUGUCAGAAAUCCCACCAACUGGAUGCAAAGCAGGGGGAGGUGAGCAGGCUUACGAACCCCCACAACGUACUACUUCAGCACCCCGGUCCAAUCAAAAUAUUCUCUCGAGCACGCGCCAUCUCCGGCGCAACUGCAUCUCCACUCUCCACGCUGCAUUCAGGCCGGCCUAGAGGGGACGCGACCGGUCACUAGAGCCAUCAUUGAAUGGGAGUGCUGCCCGAGUGCGCCACCCCCGUCACGUAUGGUCUCCACGCCUGUUCAAUGCCGGAGAGACGUGACCGGAUGGGGUGAUGAGAUGACUAUCUACCGCAUUGAAGUCGGUUGCUCAUCUAUCUGUGUGUCGACAUUAAACAGACGUGAUAGCCGAGAAACCCACUCGAGUGUCCGCACUGAAACAACUUGAUGUUUGACUUGGUCGAUGCCCUUUAUUUAUACAUGGCCGCGCACAACAUGAUCCGCACCACACCACGUCCAUUUUUAUUCCUCUGUGCACCACCUUUGCCACGACAAGCUCUAGAGCAAAGUGGGAGACCCUCUCAGCGGAGAAGAAGCACGAGUUGGCCAGGCUUGCGGCUGACUAGCAGCACCGUCAUGUGUGACGAAAAGAGGCUGGUUCGCCGGAGGUGAGAGACGACGACGUGACGAUGAGCCGGCGCCCCCGCUCACACAGGUCCAUGGCGAAACCACACUUCAGCAUCGUCAUGAUGGAGGAGCAGCCGACACCACCAGUGUUGAUGUUUUGGCUGGCGCCGGAGGAGCAAGGCUACAGCCUUUCCAACCUCCCGCAUUACCGGCAGGCUGAGGGCCAAAAUCUAUGGCGACUUUGCAAGCAGGGAGGCCACGGCGGCCAUGGCUUCGGAGGAGCCGAACUUCGUCGAACAACAGGUAGCGCUCUACGGGAGCACGUGCAGCGCUCGUGCCGGCUGCAACGCUAUAACGGUGGAGGCGGGCACGACGGCUUAGGCGAUCGGGAACGGGAACGGUUACAUAGGCAGCUCCGCGUCACCCGUGGUUCCCGUCGGGCCACAAGGACAACGAGUCUGGCCCGUUCCACGUCCAUCUUGGACCUCAAAUUGACUGACGACAUCCAAGCAACGCAAUUCGACAAGGAAAAGUAGGACAUGGGAGAAGAAGGGGUUCGUAUCCCAUGUGGGCAUGCCCGUGUCCCAUUUCUUACUCUUCAUCGCCGGUGAGCCACAACUUCACUUCGUGGAGCUCAGGCCCGGCAAAGAUGCCGGACAUGGGAAAGACGGGACAUGGAACAAGGACGCCUCCACGGCUGGCGAAGAUUUAGACUAGAUUAACAUUUUAUGUUAAAAAAUGUCAUGUACACUUUUUAAAAUGAAAUAUGCAAAAAAUGUCAUGAAUUUAGACCGGUUUAAAGGAUCAUCCAGUUUGUUCAAAUACCGUUUAAAGUGUGUCCGGACGUUUGAUGGAUAGGGUUGAAUGGCCGACUCCUGUAUCACUGUCCGUGGACAGAUACUAACGUCCGUUUUGGGGGAUAGCAUUGAAGAUACCUAGUGCCUUUUUUCUUCAAAAACUCUAGAAUGCUAUAAGACUUUUUGGAGAUACAUUUAUGGAAAUGAUAAAAAUAGAAAUACCGAAUAUUAAUCUGACAAUCUGACUUGAGAUGUUUUUUUAUCAGAAAAUAAUAAUUUAAUUUAUUUUGAAAAUUACUUAAACCGUUAAAUUCCUAACUUAGCAAUGAUGCUUAGCCACGUUGGAAAGAAAUGCAAUGGAAGAAAAGACAACAUUCGUUUAAGAAAAGACAAACUUCACACAAUAUAUGUAUAAGCAGCAGAAAAGUGUGGUUCCCAUCAGCUAAACACACGUAAUCUAGGUCUGAUCACCUCAUCCUCAUCCGGGGCAUCAGACGAUAAGCUAGACUGACAUGAAACGUGCCCGUAUCCGGUGACUUUCAGGUACGAGAGCGCACGCUCGACCGUGGAGACGCAUGCAUCCGCGCGAGAACAGAACGGCAAAGCGAUGAAAGCAGUAAAAUCAGCAAUACAAGCUGUACUAGUGUACUUAAUCCCUUUACGUACACGCCAUGAUAUAUAUCUUUUGUCGUGUUCCGUUCCAAGCGAGGACGCGCGAGAAAGCAGCCGCAUGACCAGCAAUCAUGUAUACGAGUAUAAGCUAUACUCUCCAUCCGAUAAUAAAAGAACGUUUUUAUACUAGUAUCAAAAAUGUUAUUAUAUUAUGGGACAGAGGGAGUAGGAGAUAUACAACCAAAACAAAAGUUAAAAGUAACAAUGCAAGCUUUACGUGCACGCCAUCAUAUGUAUUUUUUGUCAGUCUUUAUAACCACUCUCCAUUCAUGGUGAGGCGGCGUGGUUCCAAUGAAGCUGAAACAUACGUACGCGACGCACGGCAUGAUGCCGGCUGGGUAAGCUGCGCAAAACCCGCUAUUAAUAUCCAUCGUCUUGCACACAUCCGGCAUCCACCUCAAAGGGCAUCUACCUCCGUUCGACUGUCGUAAAGGCCAUGGCAGCCGCAGUAGUGGGUGAGAACAGCAAGUUAACUGGAGUGAGAAAGAAGGGGGAGGGCAAGUUCACGGCAACGAUCAAGCACCCGGUGACGAAGACACAGUUGUGGCUGGGGACGUACUCUUCCCCCGAGGUCACCGCGUGCGCCUACGACCUCGCGGCUAGGGAGUUGAAGGGCAUAAAGGCAAAGCUCAACUUCCCCUACCCUCCGCCGGCCAGACUGGUUAAGUAGGUGAUCGCAGCACCGAGGCACCGCUGCCAUGGUCACGACACACCGCUCUUUGAAGUCGUUAUAAGGGAACCAUGGAACAUCUCAACCAGCCCACUUGUUUCAGUAGGCAUUGUUGCUGUUUUUAUGAGUAAGAAAACUUUCAUGUGAAAAUCAAAUAAUGUUUACACAAGAACAGCAAUAAGUACUCUCCACAAAACCAAGGAAUUAAGAGAGAGAACGGUUGUACAAAUCUGGGUGAAGGAAUCAACCCGAAAUUAAACAAUCAAUCGACCACUUCACCAUUCUAUAACAUAAAUGGGCGUUUAACUUGUUAUAUUACAACAUGGGCAGAUUCAGUGUUAGAAUAUGGUGCCCACAAAUAUUUGGAACGCAGUCCACAACCUAGUCCAGCACACAUCUAGUCUUCAUGUCUACUAUAGUCAAUAUAUAAAUAAAUCGAGACACUUCCACUGUAAAAAGUUAAAAACAGAUGAAAACAUGCGCAAUACAACUAGGCCAUGAGCAAUUGAAAAAACCAUAGUCAUGAAUUCAAUGCCACUGGUGGCGGCAAAAGCGGCUGAGCGAGCAUGCGGAACAAUAGAGGGUUAGGUCUGUGAGGUAGCGAGUGGAGUUCAGUAGCUGCAGGUGACAUGAGGUCGUGUGUUGUCGCUUGGUGUGAGCUCACGGCCAUUGUGUAAAACUAUUGUUAAACAAUCUGUAUAAUACUUUUGGUAAAUUCUCAUCCGCUAUGCCAGAAUUAUGAUGCAUCAGGACUUCAAUAACUAUUUGUAACGUGGUUGACGGAAAAAAAUUGCUAUCCGUUGUGAUGUUGUCUAUGAAUGCCCCCAUAUUGGUCAAUUACUCAAAUCCUAGAUCCGCCGCUUUAUUACAAUCCUAUUAUAGCUACAAAAACUUGCUUCAUAUAUCCCAUAACGGUACAGCCAGGAUACUAAAGUAGCAGCCAGCGGCAAAAAAGAAAGAUGUUAAUCAUACCUACUCACAUUGCAAAUACGAAAAUCACUUGAUAGAUGAAGGGGUACAAUAGUUUAACGUUGUUUUUUGAGGGACAAGUUGUGUCCAUAAAAUAUGCUAGCAGUAUUAUUUGAAGAUGAAGGACACGUUGGUGCUACAAAAAUCCCUUGAUGGAAUCGUAAUGAACACAACCAUCCUAGGAUUGAGAUUAUCAAUUCGAUAAAAUAUACCCAUCGUAGCCUUGCAUUCACUGGUGAGUAGGAAAGCAGGUUGCUAAAUUAAUAACAACAGAUAAGUGACACAUUUAGCUCAAAUUAAAGCAAGAGAGACUGACACAAGAAAGUAAACUGAAGAGGGGGCUUACAUGCGCCUCAUUGUUCUCCUCCACCUCCUCCUGCAGCGGCUCCUCCAACUGCUUCAUAAAUACCAAAAAAGAUAAUAAUAACUUGUUAGUUUGUACCAACUUCAACCUGUGCAAAUGCAAACUUAAGCAUGUUAACACUAAUAUAACAUGGGCAUGCUUUAUGUAAGGUAGUCUCAAUCCUAGGAUGGUUGGUCCAUCAAUUAAUUCCUAAUUUUCUAUUCAUGAUUUAAUCAUAUAAAACAGUAUAAUGAUGAAGCACUUCAAUAAAUUCACAGCCAAACAAGAUGAGAAAUCUAUCUAUUACUCCCUCAGUCCCAAAAUAAGGGUCGCUACUUUGGUAAAAUGGCCAAAUGUCUCUAUGUUUUGUUGGAUUUUCUGAAUAUUGUUCCUUUUUCCUCUCUAUUGUGCUUUUAGCCUAUACUCCAUCCGUCCCAAAAUAAGUGUCGCUGAUUUUAUGAGGCAAUGCUCAACUGCUAUUCCCAUCUUGUUUUGUGAAAUGUAUAGCUAAUGGGUCCGUCAUUAUGGCAUUCCCUAUGAUGACAAUUUUAUUAAAAGAGAAUGAGCCAAACCAUCCUAUGAUUGAGGUCGCCAAUUCAAUCAAAUAUGCCCAUCGUAGAGCCUUGCAUUUGGCGGUCAGAAGGAAAGCGGACUGGUAAUUAGCAACAAAGAAUACAGUUACACACUUGCAUCGAAGCAUGAGAGACACAAGAAACUAAAUGGAGAGAGAGCUUACCAGAGGCUCAUCCUCCUCCUCCUCCUCUGCCUGCAUCAGCUCCUGCAAAUACUCGUAAAUAUCAAAAUAAUAAUAAUAAUAAUAAUAGUACUAAUAAUAAUAAUAAUAAUAAUAAUAAUAAUAAUAAUAAUAAUAAUAAUACAGUUACACACUAGCAUGGAAGCAUGAGAGUCUAUCACAAGAAAGUACAGAGAGAGGGAGCUUACUAGAGGCUGAUCCUCCUCCAGCCCCACCUGCAUCGGUGCUCGCGCCCAGCACGAUGUUCCUUGGAUCCUUCCCAAAUUCUGGGUAUUUGAAGUUCAACGCUUGCCACUAGCUUGCAUCUUAGGGUGACUCAGCAUCUUGUCUUUUUUAUUUAUCUAUGUAUCAUUUCCGUCAUCUUCCCGCUUAUUCUCCUCCCUAUCCGCAUGCCAACGCAGGAGCUUUGCUACCUUAGGGUCCGCGAAAUACCGCUGCAGACAAGGAGUGAUCGGAAAGUACCACACCGAUUUUCGAGGAGCUUUCUUCCUCUUCUUGUAUCGAGUGACGCCGCACACCGGACAUAUGGUAGACUCCGCGUGCUCGUCCCGAUAAAUGAUGCAAUUGUUCAUGCACACAAGGUAUUUCACGUGCUGUAAAUCCAGAGGACACACAAUUUUCUUCGCCUCCUCGAAACUGGUCGGGCACUUGUUCCCCUUGGGAAGACGUUCGUGCCAGAAUGACAUGUUCUCGUCGAAGUAUGCGUCGGUCAUUUUGUGUUUUACCUUCAUCUCCAGAGCCAUGAGCGUUACUUUCAGGCGGGUAUCCUCGGGCCUGCAUCCUUCAUACAAUGGAGUAACCGCGUCUAUCUCCAGUUGAUCCAGCUUGGCUUUCUCUCAGGCGGCAGCUCUUGCGUUAUCCGUCUGCUUGAGAAGCAGAUCUUGAAUAUGAGGGUCCUGUACCCACCCUCCAUCGUCGUCUGCUCCGGCAUCUUCAUCUUCAUGAUCAUGCCCUUCAUCUUGAUCUUCCUCAUCAUCAUGUACGACAUCUUCUACAUGAUGACUGUGUACAGCAUCACCGCCGUGAUCAUGUCCUGGAGAUUCUUCGUCUUCUCGCCCGCCCUCGCCGCGGUGGUACUCAAACUAAGUCCUAAAUUUCUAUUCAUACUUUAGUCAAAUGAAACAAGCAGUAUAAUGAUGAAGCAUUUCAAUAAAUUCACAGCCAACAAGAUGAGGAAUCUAUUAUGUACUAAAAGCACAAAAGGUGAAAGAACAAUAUUCUAGAAAGUCCAGCAAAAAUUAGAGACAUCUACGCAUUUCUGUACUUCAUACUCAAUUAACCAUUAAACAACAGCCAUUGGAUCCCACAGCACCGCCUCCACUGCCGCCCAAGGUGGAAGUUUACUUUCCAUUCCCCUUUGAAGCACCCGCCAGCGACACCCCACUGGUGCUAGCAUAUCCUUUCAUGCACAUGCCGCUUCUGGCACGAGCACGUCUCGGCCUACAGCCAACGCGCGUGCACGCACCUGCUCCACAGCCACAGCAGCCGAUCCAACGGAUGGAGAUCGUGGCGCAUGCAGAAAGCUGCUUAAGCUCCUCCAGUAAACACCUAGGGGCUCCGUCUCGCCACCUGGUGUUCAAGAAACCAAAGUUGUUCGUCGUUCCCGUCACUCCUAGUGCUCAAACAGAAGGGACUGAUGAUAAUUUCACCAAGCCGUGGUAUUUCCCUGAUUCUCCUACUGUUUAGCCUCGGCCGUGCGCAAUAUGCACCGAGAUCCCAUAGUCGUGUGCCAUCAUAAUCUAGAGGCAAUCUGAAUCUAUAUAUCAUUUAAGUUACAAUGUAUUUUCAUUGUUGUUCUCAUGUGUCGCUGCCAUGUGUUGGGUUUACUAUGGUGUUGUUUAUCACCAUGUUGUUUCCUUCUACCAAUCAUGUAAUCUGUUCACUCUUGUCUUGUGUUUUGUUUUGGUGUGGGUGCACUCUUUGUCUUAUGUUACCAUAAUGUAUUUUGAAUGAAAAUAAUAUAAUCAGGUUAGUCCAUUAGUUAAUCAAUAUCUUGUUUGGUGUGGUGUUCGAGAUAAUUGAUUUGAGGUGAAGGGAGAAAAUAUUUCUCAAACACCGAUGUUGUUAUAUGUUUUGAUGCAAAGCAAAGAAGUAUGAAAUAUGCAAAUUCCAAAUUCAGGAAAUCAUACUCAAAGAUCGAACGACCCUGAAAAUCAUAAAAGUCCAUACUCAUGUCAUCCAAGCGUGAGGUUGUUGUAGUAUAUCAUGAACAAAGUUUGUUGUAACCUUUUUAACUGAACUAUAAAUGGCCACUAACAUUCAAAUCCCAGGCGGCUUCAUUUGUUGAUGUCAUGAAGGCGGCAUGAAUGUUGAUCUUUAUCCAGAUUUCUCGGGGGAUCACGGCCCUGAAUUUUGGUACAUCGAUCGGUCUUAACAGUAUUAGAUGUAUCCAAAUGUAUAGAAAACUACAGUAAUUAACUCGCGUGGUGAUAUCUAAAGUAGUGGAAGGUCUUCGGUAUAUUAAUUUUAUGUAAUAAGAAUAAUCUUUAAAAAUAUAUAGUAGCGAUGAUUGUACGACCAUAUUUGAAGUACAACGUUAUUAGUUGUCUUAACAUGAAAUAUUUUUAUAAUAAUAUUUGUGGCAUUCUGUUGUAGUACUUAUCUCUUGAUUUGCAUUAUAGCAUAUCUUAUUUUCGUCCAUGUACAUGAUCUUGUUGCAUCAUGAAAUUACUAGUGAUUUUAGGUACUUUCCGAUUGGUUUAUUCGAGGGAUUAGGAUUGCAAACGUAGUUGAUCUAAUAUGACCCACAUCUAGAUGUAUUACACAUGCCUUGUGUAUGGUUAGUCUAAGAUAAGUUUAGAGGAUAACCGAUGAUGUUCUUGAAAGACUCAGUCCUACUGGGUAUGGAGGAUCAAAAAGAUGAUUUUUCUCUCAUUCCGUAUAGUUGUUUUUUCCAGUUGAACCUCUCUGGUUCAAUGCACUUUUUAUAAAAAAAUGAAAAGCAAUACAAAUAUGCAGCAGAAUCCUGCCGUUUCCCUAAAAAAAGCAACAAGAUGAUUGAAUUUUGCACCAGGUUACCAGAUAACAUAGCUACUAGGUCAAAAUCGUUGCUAACCUUCCCCGCAAAAAAAAAAGCUUUGCUAUCUUGACACUCAAUAAUAAAAUUGCAUCUUUCUUGUAUAUCAUGCUUUCUUUGUCAAAAUUCACAUGCCACUUUUGGCCACUUUUUGGCAAUAAAUUUGGUUGUUGCCACCCAAACCAAUUGCGUAGAACCCUAAAACUCAAUUGCAAAAAGCUUCACAUGUGUGCAUAGCGGUGCCAAACAAAGUCGUUUAGAUAGAAACCCUAUAACUCAAAACCCAUUGUUGUGUGAAAAGCUUCGCAGACAUUAAACCCAUGUGCAUUGGUGAGCGUUCUAUGCACAUCUGGUUUGUCAAUUGUUCUUUAUAUCAGUACCAGCCUUGCAUCCAACUAAUUUAUGACACGUGUAAUUUUUGAAUGGUUUUGUCACACACACGCAUGCACGCACACCGACACGCACGCAGGCACACACGCGCGCGCGCGCACACACACACAGCGGAUUUAUAUUUGGAAUACUAUUGCCAUCAAAUGUUCAUAUUGAAGCAUAGUCUACUCUAUUUUGGUUCUUCGAAGUUAGCAGCAUAACGCAUUAUAACUUAAGUAUUUAUUGCCUGGAGAAAUCAAAUUACUCAAAUACCUAGGUGUUUUUGUAAAGUAAAGGAAUACGUAUGAAAUAUUGCAAAUUAAAUUUCAGGAAAGACAAGUCCUAACUUAUCUACCAUAUCGCGCAGACUCGUAAGCAACUAAGUAAAUAUUUUUUAGGAAACAACAGGACUCUGCUGCAUAUUCUUAGUAUUAUGUUUUAUAAAAAAUACAACUAAGUAAAUGUCUCUCUUAAUUUUGUCCUACACUACUAAGCGGGAAGUUGCGUCAUACACAACUUUGGCAUAAUUGAUCCACAAACUCUGUAAAGUAUACACUACUACAAAACGAGCUAGCAGUGGUGGAUGACAAGUAUAUGUGUGCCACCGAAACAUUUAGCCCAUCACUAACAUGGUAAGAAUUUAUUAGUGGAGGGUGGCAUGUUUUGCCCGCUAGUGCACAUCCAAUACCUGUUGUCAGCCCUCUUCUGUACCCACCCCUGUUGUCAGCCCUCUUUUGUACCCACCACUGUCUAGACGAAAUAGCGGUGGCAUGUACCUAUCGGUGCCCGCCAAUAAUGUGCCCCACCUAUAAGCAUUUUCCAUGUAGUGAUAUCAUUUUAAUCUGUUAUUAGGAUUCACCACUAUAAUAGAAUAAGAUCCAAGAAUCAAGCACCUCAAUAUCAUCAAAUUCCAUACUCUCAUACUUACAAAUAGGUUGUUUUAAUAUAGAUGAACAAGGUUCAACAUUUAGAUGUGAACGAAAAUGACCACUAACUAGCAAUCAAUGAUGGCUUCACUAGUUUCAGCGGUAUGAAAGUUGAUCUAUAUACAUAUUUCUCAGGGUGGUCGCAUCCUUGAAUUCUGGUACAUCGGUCAUUCUUAACAUCACCAUAAAUAUGAAAAUGAUUGAAAAAACUUGUAGUAUCUCCUAUAACGUAAUAUCUACAGUACAUUACGGUCUUGAAGAUACUAAUUUUAUUCAUCUCUGGGAGCCUUCUGUCACAAUCUACCCAGCAACGGACGACUGGGAGGCUUUCUUCGCCCGACUGUAGAGAUCAUGCGCCUUGGUUCCACAUGUCAUGGAUACACGCUGACUAUAGAGAUCACGCGCCCUUGGGCCACCCGUCAUCGAGCUUCCAACUGGGUCGCCCGGUUGCGAGCCGUCCAGGCAGAUCAGAUGGCCCGGAGCCGCCCCACGAGGCUCCUGUCGCUAGCCAACUGGCAAUGGAUGGGCAGGAGCCUUUCCUCACCCUCGAAAAGCCUAGGAAGGCCCGCACUUUAGCAUUCUUUAUAUAGGAAUAAUGGGUUAAUUGAUUCAACAUGAUUUACCGGAAUCUUUAUGAUUUAAAAAAUUGAUAACGAUCAUUUUUGGACUAUCCCCAAUUAUAGUUCAUAACGUGUUUGCAGGCUCAUCACAGUUUUUUUAUGUUUGAUGUAUACAAUGUAAUAAGCGUCAAUUCUCCAUCAUUAUUUAUGGGAAUAUUAUGGAAGAUGUUGUUUUUUCCUCUUUAACUUGACGAAGUAGUAUGAAAAUAAUAUUUAUACCCAUAUUAGUUGUUAUAUUUUAUUUUAUUUUUGAUAUAAUUAAAUAUGUAUUGUCUAUGAAGUGUUCUCAUUCUUUUUGACAAGUACUAUUGUAUGUUAUGGAUUCUUGAUGUGGCAAACAAAUUGUAUUCCUUUAGUGGUGCUGCUUAAAUGAGUACAAUGUGAUUAAGCCUUUUAAAAUUGUACUCUAUUGGACAAUGUUAUUUGUUCAUCUUUUAGGAAGUGUUUACCAUUAUGGCUCAUACAAAUAAAAUUAUGAAAAAAUGAUCCUUAAAAAGGCAUGAUUAAAUUCUUUUCUACAAUUGUGAUAUUUUAUUUAACACAAAGAUUGUAUUGUUUACUUACCAUACUAAGGGCAUCGAGGUGUCUUGGAGUAGCAAGCCAUCCAUGAUGUACCCAUUGAUGUGUGGAUGCAUUGGCUUGUCAGAAAUCCCGCCAACUGGAUGCAAAGCAGGGGGAGGUGAGCAGGCUUACGAACCCCCACAACGUACUAGUUCAGCACCCCGGUCCAAUCAAAAUAUUCUCUCGAGCACGCGCCAUCUCCGGCGCAACUGCAUCUCCACUAUCCACGCUGCAUUCAGGCCGGCCUAGAGGGGACGCGACCGGUCACUAGAGCCAUCAUUGAAUGGGAGUGCUGCCCGAGUGCGCCACCCCCGUCACGUCAUGGUCUCCACGCCUGUUCAAUGCCGGAGAGACGUGACCGGAUGGGGUGAUGAGAUGACUAUCUACCGCAUUGAAGUCGGGUGCUCAUCUAUCUGUGUGUCGACAUUAAACAGACGUGAUAGCCGAGAAACCCACUCCAGUGUCCGCACUGAAACAACUUGAUGUUUGACUUGGUCGAUGCCCUUUAUUUAUACAUGGCCGCGCACAACAUGAUCCGCACCACACCACGUCCAUUUUUAUUCCUCUGUGCACCACCUUUGCCACGACAAGCUCUAGAGCAAAGUGGGAGACCCUCUCAGCGGAGAAGAAGCACGAGUUGGCCAGGCUUGCGGCUGACUAGCAGCACCGUCAUGUGUGACGAAUAGAGGCUGGUUCGCCGGAGGUGAGAGACGACGACGUGACGAUGAGCCGGCGCCCCCGCUCACACAGGUCCAUGGUGAAACCACACUUCAACAUCGCCAUGAUGGAGGAGCAGCCGACACCACUAGUGUUGAUGUUUUGGCUGGCGCCGGAGGAGCAAGGCUACAACCUUUCCAACCUCCCGCAUUACCGGCAGGCUGAGGGCCAAAAUCUAUGGCGACGUUGCAAGCAGGGAGGCCACGGCGGCCAUGGCUUCGGAGGAGCCGAACUUCGUCGAACAACAGGUAGCGCUCUACGGGAGCACGUGCAGCGCUCGUGCCGGCUGCAACGCUAUAACGGUGGAGGUGGGCAUGACGGCUUAGGCGAUCGGGAACGGGAACGGUUACAUAGGCAGCUCCGCGUCACCCGUGGUUCCCGUCGGGCCACAAGGACAACGAGUCUGGCCCGUUCCACGUCCAUCUUGGACCUCAAAUUGACUGACGACAUCCAAGCAACGCAAUUCGACAAGGAAAAGUAGGACAUGGGAGAAGAAGGGGUUCGUAUCCCAUGUGGGCAUGCCCGUGUCCCAUUUCUUACUCUUCAUCGCCGGUCAGCCACAACUUCACUUCGUGGAGCUCAGGCCCGGCAAAGAUGCCGGACAUGGGGAAGACGGGACAUGGAACAAGGACGCCUCCACGGCUGGCGAAGAUUUAGACUAGAUUAACAUUUUAUGUUAAAAAAUGUCAUGUACACUUUUUAAAAUGAAAUAUGCAAAAAAUGUCAUGAAUUUAGACCGGUUUAAAGGAUCAUCCAGUUUGUUCAAAUACCGUUUAAAGUGUGUCCGGACGUUUGAUGGAUAGGGUUGAAUGGCCGACUCCUGUAUCACUGUCCGUGGACAGAUAUUAAUGUCCAUUUUGGGGGAUAGCAUUGAAGAUACCCUAGAGCCUAUUUUCUUGAAAAACUCUAUAAUGCUAUAAGACUUUUUGGAGAUACAUUUAUGGAAAUGAUAAAAAUAGAAAUACCGAAUAUUAAUCUGACAAUCUGACUUGAGAUGUUUUUUUAUCAGAAAAACUAAUUUAAUUUAUUUUGAAAAUUACUUAAACCGUUAAAUUCCUAACUUAGCAAUGAUGCUUAGCCACGUUGGAAAGAAAUGCAAUGGGAGAAAAGACAACAUUCGUUUAAGAAAAGACAAACUUCACACAAUAUAUGUAUAAGCAGCAGAAAAGUGUGGUUCCCAUCAGCUAAACACACGUAAUCUAGGUCUGAUCACCUCAUCCUCAUCCGGGGCAUCAGACGAUAAGCUAGACUGACAUGAAAAGUGCCCGUAUCCGGUGACUUUCAGGUACGAGAGCGCACGCUCGACCGAGGAGACGCAUGCAUCCGCGCGAGAACAGAACGGCAAAGCGAUGAAAGCAGUAAAAUCAGCAAUGCAAGCUGUACUAGUGUACUUAAUCCCUUUACGUACACGCCAUGAUAUAUAUCUUUUGUCGUGUUCCGUUCCAAGCGAGGACGCGCGAGAAAGCAGCCGCAUGACCAGCAAUCGUGUAUACGAGUAUAAGCUAUACUCUCCAUCCGAUAAUAUAAGAACGUUUUUAUACUAGUAUCAAAAAUGUUAUUAUAUUAUGGGACAGAGGGAGUAGGAGAUAUACAACCAAAACAAAAGUUAAAAGUAACAAUGCAAGCUUUACGUGCACGCCAUCAUAUGUAUUUUUUGUCAGUCUUUAUAACCACUCUCCAUUCCUGGUGAGGCGGCGUGGUUCCAAUGAAGCUGAAACAUACGUACGCGACGCACGGCAUGAUGCCGGCUGGGUAAGCUGCACAAAACCCGCUAUUAAUAUCCAUCGUCUUGCACACAUCCGGCAUCCACCUCAAAGGGAAUCUACCUCCGUUCGACUGUCGUAAAGGCCAUGGCAGCCGCAGCAGUGGGUGAGAACAGCAAGUUAACUGGAGUGAGAAAGAAGGGGGAGGGCAAGUUCACGGCAACGAUCAAGCACCCGGUGACGAAGACACAGUUGUGGCUGGGGACGUACUCUUCCCCCGAGGUCACCGCGUGCGCCUACGACCUCGCGGCUAGGGAGUUGAAGGGCAUAAAGGCAAAGCUCAACUUCCCCUACCCUCCGCCGGCCAGACUGGUUAAGGAGGUGAUCGCAGCACCGAGGCACCGCUGCCAUGGUCACGACACACCGCUCUUUGAAGUCGUUAUAAGGGAACCAUGGAACAUCUCAACCAGCCCACUUGUUUCAGUAGGCAUUGUUGCUGUUUUAUGAGUAAGAAAACUUUCAUGUGAAAAUCAAAUAAUGUUUACACAAGAACAGCAAUAAGUACUCUCCACAAAACCAAGGAAUUAAGAGAGAGAACGGUUGUACAAAUCUGGGUGAAGGAAUCAACCUGAAAUUAAACAAUCAAUCGACCACUUCACUAUUCUAUAACUUAAAUUGGCGUUUAACGUGUUAUAUUACAACAUGGGCAGAUUCAGUGUUAGAAUAUGGUGCCCACAAAUAUUUGGAACGCAGUCCACAACCUAGUCCAGCACACAUCUAGUCUUCAUGUCUACUAUAGUCAAUAUAUAAAUAAAUCGAGACACUUCCACUGUAAAAAGUUAAAAACAGAUGAAAACAUGCGCAAUACAACUAGGCCAUGAGCAAUUGAAAAAAACCUUAGUCAUGAAUUCAAUGCCACUGGUGGCGGCAAAAGCGGCUGAGCGAGCAUGCGGAACAAUAGAGGGUUAGGUCUGUGAGGUAGCGAGUGGAGUUCAGUAGCUGCAGGUGACAUGAGGUCGUGUGUUGUCGCUUGGUGUGAGCUCACGGCCAUUGUGUAAAACUAUUGUUAAACAAUCUGUAUAAUACUUUUGGUAAAUUCUCAUCCGAUAUGCCAGAAUUCUGAUGCAUCAGGACUUCAAUAACUAUUUGUAACGUGGUUGACCGAAAAAAAUUGCUACCCGUUGUGAUGUUGUCUAUGAUUGCCCCCAUAUUGGUCAAUAACUCAAAUCCUAGAUCCGCCGCUUUAUUACAAUCCUAUUAUAGCUACAAAAAACUUGCUUCAUAUAUCCCAUAACGGUACAGCCAGGAUACUAAAAUAGCAGCCAGCGGCAAAAAAGAAAGAUGUUAAUCAUACCUACUCACAUUGCAAAUACAAAAAUCACUUGAUAGAUGAAGGGGUACAAAAGUUUAACGUGUUUUUUGAAGGACAUGUUGUGUCCUUAAAAUAUGCUAGCAGUAUUAUUUGAAGAUGAAGGACACGUUGGUGCCACAAAAAUUCCUUGAUGGAAUCGUAAUGAACACAACCAUCCUAGGAUUGAGAUUAUCGAUUCAAUAAAAUAUACCCAUCGUAGCCUUGCAUUUACUGGUCAGUAGGAAAGCAGGUUGCUAAAUUAACAACAACAGAUAAGUGACACAUUUAGCUCAAAUUAAAGCAAGAGAGACUGACACAAGAAAGUAAACUGAAGAGGGGGCUUACAUGCGCCUCAUUGUUCUCCUCCACCUCCUCCUGCAGCGGCUCCUCCAACUGCUUCAUAAAUACCGAAAAAGAUAAUAAUAACUUGUUAGUUUGUACCAACUUCAACCUGUGCAAAUGCAAACUUAAGCAUGUUAACACUAAUAUAACAUGGCAUGCUUUAUGUAAGGUAGUCUGAAUCCUAGAAUGGUUGGUCCAUCAAUUAAUUCCUAAUUUUCUAUUCAUGAUUUAAUCAUAUAAAACAGUAUAAUGAUGAAGCACUUCAAUAAAUUCACAGCCAAACAAGAUGAGAAAUCUAUCUAUUACUCCCUCAGUCCCAAAAUAAGGGUCGCUGCUUUGGUAAAAUGGCCAAAUGUCUCUAUGUUUUGUUGGAUUUUCUGGAAUAUUGUUCCUUUUCCUCUCUAUUGUGCUUUUAGCCUAUACUCCAUCCGUCCCAAAAUAAGUGUCGCUGAUUUUAUGAGGCAAUGCUCAACUGCUAUUCCCAUCUUGUUUUGUGAAAUGUAUAGCUAAUGGGUCCGUCAUUAUGGCAUUCCCUAUGAUGACAAUUUUAUUAAAAGAGAAUGAGCCAAACCAUCCUAUGAUUGAGGUCGCCAAUUCGAUCAAAUAUGCCCAUCGUAGAGCCUUGCAUUUGGCGGUCAGAAGGAAAGCGGACUGGUAAUUAGCAACAAAGAAUACAGUUACACACUUGCAUCGAAGCAUGAGAGACACAAGAAACUAAAUGGAGAGAGAGCUUACCAGAGGCUCAUCCUCCUCCUCCUCUCUGCCUGCAUCAGCUCCUGCAAAUACUCAUAAAUAUCAAAAUAAUAAUAAUAAUAAUAAUAGUACUAAUAAUAAUAGUAAUAAUAAUAAUAAUAAUAAUAAUAAUAAUAAUAAUAAUAAUAAUAAUAAUACAGUUACACACUUGCAUGAAAGCAUGAGAGUCUAUCACAAGAAAGUACAGAGAGAGGGAGCUUACUAGAGGCUGAUCCUCCUCCAGCCCCACCUGCAUCGGUGCUCGCGCCCAGCACGAUGUUCCUUGGAUCCUUCCCAAAUUCUGGGUAUUUGAAGUUCAACGCUUGCCACUGGCUUGCAUCCUUAGGGUGACUCAGCAUCUUGUCUUUUUUAUUUAUCUCCGGAUCAUUUCCGUCAUCUUCCCGCUUAUUCUCCUCCUUAUCCGCAUGCCAACGCAGGAGCUUUGCUACCUUAGGGUCCGCGAAAUACCGCUGCAGACAAGGAGUGAUCGGAAAGUACCACACCGAUUUUCGAGGAGCUUUCUUCCUCUUCUUGUAUCGAGUGACGCCGCACAGCGGACAUAUGGUAGACUCCGCGUGCUCGUCCCGAUAAAUGAUGCAAUUGUUCAUGCACACAUGGUAUUUCAUGUGCUGCAAAUUCAGAGGACACAUGAUUUUCUUCGCCUCCUCGAAACUGGUCGGGCACUUGUUCCCCUUGGGAAGACGUUCGUGUCAGAAUGACAUGUUCUCGUCGAAGUAUGCGUCGGUCAUUUUGUGUUUUACCUUCAUCUCCAGAGCCAUGAGCGUUACUUUCAGGCGGGUAUCCUCGGGCCUGCAUCCUUCAUACAAUGGAGUAACCGCGUCUAUCUCCAGUUGAUCCAGCUUGGCUUUCUCUCAGGCGGCAGCUCUUACGUUAUCCGUCUGCUUGAGAAGCAGCUCUUGAAUAUGAGGGUCCUGUACCCAGCCUCCAUCGUCGUCUGCUCCGGCAUCUUCAUCUUCAUGAUCAUGCCCUUCGUCUUGAUCUUCCUCAUCAUCAUGUACGACAUCUUCUACAUGAUCACUGUGUACAGCAUCACCACCGUGAUCAUGUCCUGGAGAUUCUUCGUCUUCUCACCCGCCCUCGCCGCGGUGGUACUCAAACUAAGUCCUAAAUUUCUAUUCAUACUUUAGUCAAUUGAAACAAGCAGUAUAAUGAUGAAGCAUUUCAAUAAAUUCACAGCCAACAAGAUGAGGAAUCUAUUAUGUACUAAAAGCACAAAAGGUGAAAGAACAAUAUUCUAGAAAGUCCAGCAAAAAUUAGAGACAUCUACGCAUUUCUGUACUUCAGACUCAAUUAACCAUUAAACAACAGCCAUUGGAUCCCACAGCACCGCCUCCACUGCCGCCCAAGCUGGAAAUUUACUUUCCAUUCCCCUUUGAAGCACCCGCCAGCGACACCCCACCGGUGCCAGCAUAUCCUUUCAUGCACAUGCCGCUUCCGGCACGAGCACGUCUCGGCCUACAGCCAACGCGCGUGCACGCACCUGCUCCACAGCCACAGCAGCCGAUCCGACGGAUGGAGAUCGUGGCGCAUGCAGAAAGCUGCUUAAGCUCCUCAAGUAAACACCUAGGGGCUCCGUCUCGCCACCUGGUGUUCAAGAAACCAAAGUUGUCCGUCGUUCCCGUCACUCCUAGUGCUCCAACAGAAGGGACUGAUGAUAAUUUCACCAAGCCGUGGUAUUUCCCUGAUUCUCCUACUGUUUAGCCUCGGCCGUGCGCAAUAUGCACCGAGAUCCCAUAGUCGUGUGCCAUCAUAAUCCAGAGGCAAUCUGAUUCUAUAUAUCAUUUAAGUUACAAUGUAUUUUCAUUGUUGUUCUCAUGUGUCGCUGCCAUGUAUUGGGUUUACUAUGGUGUUGUUUAUCACCAUGUUGUUUCCUUCUACCAAUCAUGUAAUCUGUUCACUCUUGUCUUGUGUUUUGUUUUGGUGUGGGUGCACUCUUUGCCUUAUGUUACCAUAAUGUAUUUUGAAUGAAAAUAAUAUAAUCAGGUUAGUCCAUUAGUUAAUCAAUAUCUUGUUUGGUGUGGUGUUUGAGAUAAUUGAUUUGAGGUGAAGGGAGAAAAUAUUUCUCAAACACCGAUGUUGUUAUAUGUUUUGAUGCAAAGCAAAGAAGUAUGAAAUAUGCAAAUUCCAAAUUCAGGAAAUCAUACUCAAAGAUCGAACGACCCUGAAAAUCAUAAAAGUCCAUACUCAUGUCAUCCAAGCGUGAGGUUGUUGUCGUAUAUCAUGAACAAAGUUUGUUGUAACCUUUAUAACUGAACUAUAAAUGGCCACUAACAUUCAAAUCCCAGGCGGCUUCAUUUGUUGAUGUCAUGAAGGUGGCAUGAACGUUGAUCUUUAUCCAGAUUUCUCGGGGGAUCACGGCCCUGAAUUUCGGUACAUCGAUCAGUCUUAACAGUAUUAGAUGUAUCCAAAUGUAUAGAAAACUACAGUAAUUGACUCGUGUGGUGAUAUCUAAAGUAGUGGAAGGUCUUCGGUAUAUUAAUUUUAUGUAAUAAGAAUAAUCUUUAAAAAUAUAUAGUAGCGAUGAUUGUACGACCAUAUUUGAAGUACAACAUUAUUAGUUGUCUUAACAUGAAAUAUUUUUAUAAUAAUAUUUGUGGCAUUCUGUUGUAGUACUUAUCUCUUGAUUUGCAUUAUAGCAUAUCUUAUUUUCGUCCAUGUACAUGAUCUUGUUGCAUCAUGAAAUUACUAGUGAUUUUAGGUACUUUCCGAUUGGUUUAUUCGAGGGAUUAGGAUUGCAAACGUAGUUGAUCUAAUAUGACCCACAUCUAGAUGUAUUACACAUGCCUUGUGUAAGGUUAGUCUAAGAUAAGUUUAGAGGAUAACUGAUGAUGUUCUUGAAAGAUUCAGUCCUACUGGGUAUGGAGGAUCAAAAAGAUGAUUUUUCUCUCAUACCGUAUAGUUGUUUUUUCCAGUUGAACCUCUCUGGUUCAAUGCAGUUUUUAUAAAAAAAUGAAAAGCAAUACAAAUAUGGAGCAGAAUCCUGCCGUUUCCCUAAAAAAAAGCAACAAGAUGAUUGAAUUUUGCACCAGGUUACCAGAUAACAUAGCUACUAGGUCAAAAUCGUUGCUAACCUUCCCCGCAAAAAAAAAAGCUUUGCUAUCUUGACAAUCAAUAAUAAAAUUGCAUCUUUCUUGUAUCUCAUGCUUUCUUUGUCAAAAUUCACAUGCCACUUUUGGCCACUUUUUGGCAAUAAAUUUGGUUGUUGCCACCCAAACCAAUUGCGUAGAACCCUAAAACUCAAUUGCAGAAAGCUUCACAUGUGUGCAUAGCGGUGCCAAACAAAGUCGUUUAGAUAGAAACCUUAUAACUCAAAAUCCAUUGUUGUGUGAAAAGCUUCGCAGACAUUAAACCCAUGUGCAUUGGUGAGCGUUCUAUGCACAUCUGGUUUGUCAAUUGUUCUUUAUAUCAGUACCAGCCUUGCAUCCAACUAAUUUAUGACACGUGUAAUUUUUGAAUGGUUUUUUCACACACACGCAUGCACGCACACCCACACGCACGCAGGCACGCACGCGCGCGCGCUCACACACACACACACACAGCGGAUUUAUAUUUGGAAUACUAUUGCCAUCAAAUGUUCGUAUUGAAGCAUAGUCUACUCUAUUUUGGUUCUUCGAAGUUAGCAGCAUAACGCAUUAUAACUUAAGUAUUUAUUGCCUGGAGAAAUCAAAUUACUCAAAUACCUAGGUGUUUUUGUAAAGUAAAGGAAUACGUAUGAAAUAUUGCAAAUUAAAUUUCAGGAAAGACAAGUCCUAACUUAUCUACCAUAUCGCGCAGACUCGUAAGCAACUAAGUAAAUGUUUUUUAGGAAACAACAGGACUCUGCUGCAUAUUCUUAGUAUUAUGUUUUAUAAAAAAUACAACUAAGUAAAUGUCUCUCUUAAUUUUGUCCUACACUACUAAGCGGGAAGUUGCGUCAUACACAACUUUGGCAUAAUUGAUCCACAAACUCUAUAAAGUAUACACUACUACAAAACGAGCUAGCAGUGGUGGAUGACAAGUAUAUGUGUGCCACCGAAACAUUUAGCCCAUGACUAACAUGGUAAGAAUUUAUUAGUGGAGGGCGGCAUGUUUUGCCCGCUAGUGCACAUCCAAUACCUGUUGUCAGCCCUCUUCUGUACCCACCCCUGUUGUCAGCCCUCUUUUGUACCCACCACUGUUUAGACGAAAUAGCGGUGGCAUGUAUCUAUCGGUGCCCGCCAAUAAUGUGCCCCACCUAUAAGCCUUUUCCCAGUAGUGAUAGCAUUUUAAUCUGUUAUUAGGAUUCACCACUAUAAUAGAAUAAGAUCCAAGAAUCAAGCACCUAAAUAUCAUCAAAUUCCAUACUCUCAUACUUACAAAUAGGUUGUUUUAAUAUAGAUGAACAAGGUUCAACCUUUAGAUGUGAACGAAAAUGACCACUAACUAGCAAUCAAUGAUGGCUUCACUAGUUUCAGUCUGUACAGCGGUAUGAAAGUUGAUCUAUAUACAUAUUUCUCAGGGUGGUCGCAUCCUUGACUUCUGGUACAUCGGUCAUUCUUAACAUCACCAGAAAUAUGAAAAUGAUUGAAAAAACUUGUAGUAUCUCCUAUAAGGUAAUAUCUACAGUACAUUACGGUCUUGAAGAUACUAAUUUUAUUCAUUUCUGAGAGCCUUCUGUCACAAUCUACCCAGCAACGGACGCUUGGGAGGCUUUCUUCGCCCGACUGUAGAGAUCAUGCGCCUUGGUUCCACAUGUCAUGGACACACGCUGACUAUAGAGAUCACGCGCCCUUGGGCCACCCGUCAUCGAGCUUCCGACUGGGUCGCCCGGUUGCGAGUCGUCCAGGCAGAUCAGAUGGCCCGGAGCCGCCCCACGAGGCUCCUGUCGCUAGCCAACUGGCAAUGGAUGGGCAGGAGCCUUUCAUCACCCUCGAAAAGCCUAGGAAGGCGCGCACUUUAGCAUUCUUUAUAUAGGAACAAUGGGUUAAUUGAUUCAACAUGAUUUACCGGAAUCUUUAUGAUUUAAAAAAUUGAUAACGAUCAUUUUUGGACUAUCCCCAAUUAUAGUUCAUAACGUUUUUGCAGGCUCAUCACAGUUUUUUUAUGUUUGAUGUAUACAAUGUAAUAAUGCGUCAAUUCUCCAUCAUUAUUCCUGUCGUGGUGCUGCUUAAGUGAGUACAAUGUGAUUAAGCCUUUUAAAAUUGUACUCUAUUGGACAAUGUUAUUUGUUCAUCUUUUAGGAAGUGUUUACCAUUAUGGCUCAUACAAAUAAAAUUAUGAAAAAAUGAUCCUAAAAAAGGCAUGAUUAAAUUCUUUUCUACAAUUGUGAUAUUUUAUUUAACACAAAGAUUGUAUUGUUUACUUGCCAUAAUGAAAACAUACAGGAAAUGAUAAAAAGAAGUUAACCAUUUCAAAGUUUGAUCACAAUAAUUAAAGAUGGUGCCCUUGCAUAUGCGAGGAACACUUUGCAAGUGUCAUCUAAAAGAAUACUUGGUAAUUAUCUAUUACCUUUGAGAAAAAAUCAAUUUUUGUGGCUUCCUAAAUCCUCUAUUCCUAAAAAGUUCAUUCCCACUAAAAGCAAAGUAUUCUUAAAAAGUUAGUCCUGACCACAAGCAAUUCUCUCAACAUGCGCAGCCCUCCACCUCAAAAAGUGUUCAAUGUCAGCAUUCACUAUUUUUUAGCCAUGCAUCACAUCAAUUACCUUUAAGUCUUACAACAUGCACUCACCAACCUCACCAAGACAUGAAUAUUUGGCACAUCACAAUUAGUCAUGUGCUUAUCGAAGUCAUGCAUCUUAGAAAAACUCAUGUCAUUAGCAUGCCAUCUUAUUGAUGUGGUACAGAAUACUAACUCAAACUGACAGUAUAUAUUGAUCGUUAUGGUGUGGAUUAAAGAGUGAAAAUAUCAAUUGAAGAAUGCAAUACGUGCAUACAAGUAUUGGCUAGUGUGCCGGCUAUCUGUAAAUACUAAGGGCAUCGAGGUGUCUUGGAGCAGCAAGCCAUCCACGAUGUACCCAUUGAUGUGCGGAUGCAUUGGCUUGUCCGAAAUCCCACCAACUGGAUGCAAACCAGGGGGAGGUGAGCAGGCUUACAAACCCCCACAACGUACUAGUUCGGCACCCCGGUCCAAUCAAAAUAUUCUCUCGAGCACGCGCCAUCUCCGGCGCAACUGCAUCUCCGCUCUCCACGUUACAUUCAGGCCAGCCAAGAGGGGACGCGACCGGUCACUUGAGCCAUCAUUGAAUGGGAGUGUUGGCUGAGUGCGCCACCCCCGUCACGUCAUGGUCUCCACGCCUGUUCAAUGCCGAAGAGACGUGACCGGAUGGGGUGACGAGAUGACUAUCUACUGCACUGAUGUCGGCUGUUCAUCUAUCUAUGUGUCGACAUUAAACAGACGUGAUAGCCGAGAAACCCAGUCCAGUGUCUGCACUGAAACAACUUGAUGUUUGGCUUGGUCGAUGCCCUUUAUUUAUACGUGGCCGCACACAACAUGAUCCGCACCACACCAUGUCCAUUUCCGUUCCUCUAUGCACCACCUUUGCCACGACAAGCUCUAGAGCAAAGUGGGAGACCCUCUUGGCGGAGAAGAAGCAUGAGUUGCCCAGGCUUGCGGCUGACUAGCAGCACUGUCAUGUGUGACGAAUAGAGGCUGGUUUGCCGGAGGUGAGAGACGACGACGUGACGAUGAGCCGGCGCCCCCGCUCACACAAGUCCAUGGCGAAACCACACUUCAACAUCUUCAUGACGGAGGAGCAGCCGACACCACCAGUGUUGAUGUUUUGGCUGGCGCUGGAGGAGCAAGGCUACAACCUUUCCAACCUCCCGCAUUACCGGCUGGCUGAGGGCCAAAAUCUAUGGGGACUUCGCAAGCGGGGAGGCCACAGCGGCCAUGGCCUCCGAGAAGCCGAACUUUGUCGAACAACAGGUAGGGCUUUAUGGGAGCACGUGCAGUGCUUGUGCCGGCUGCAACGCGGUAACAAUGGAGGCGAGCACGACGGCUUAGGCGAUCGCGAACGGGAACGGUUACAUCGGCAGCUCCGCGUCACCCGCGGUUCCCGUCGGGCCACAAGGACAACGAGUCUGGCCCAUUCCACAUCCAUCUUGGACCUCACAUUGACCGACGACAUCCAAGCAACGGAAUUCGACAAGGAAGAGUAGGACAUGGGAGAAGAAGGGGUCUGUAUCCCAUGUGGGCAUGCCCGUGUCCCAUUUCUGACUCUUCAUCGCCGGUGAGCCACAACUUCACUUCGUGGAGCUCAGGCCCGGCAAAGAUGCCGGACAUGGGGAAGACGGGACAUGGAACAAGGACGCCUCCACGCCUAGCGAAGAUUUAGACUAUAUUAACAUUUUAUGUUAAAAAAUGUCAUGUACACUUUUUAAGAUGAAAUAUGCAAAAAAUGUCAUGAAUUUAGACCGGUUUAAAGGAUCAUCCAGUUUGUUCAAAUACCGUUUAAAGUAUGACCGGGCGUUUGAUGGAUAGGGUUGAAUGGCCAACUCCUGUAUCACUGUCCGUGGACAGAUACUAAUGUCCAUUUUAUGGGAUAGCGUUCAAGAUACCCUAGAGCCUUUUUUCUUGAAAAACUCUAGAAUGCUAUAAGACUUUUUGGAAAUACAUUUACGGAAAUGAUAAAAAUAGAAAUACCGAAUAUUAAUCUGACAUUCUGACUUGAGAUGUUUUUUUAUCCGAAAAAAUAAUUUCAUUUAUUUUGAAAAUUACUUAAACCGUUAAAUUCCUAACCUAGCAAUGAUGCUUAGCCACGUUGGAAAGAAAUGCAAUGGAAGAAAAGACAACACUCGUUUAAGAAAAGACAAACUUCACAUGAUAUAUGUAUAAGCAGCAGAAAAGUGUGGUUCCCAUCAGCUAAGCACACGUAAUCUAGGUCUGAUCACCUCAUCCUCAUCCGGGGCAUCAGACGAUAAGCUAGACUGACGUGAAACGUGCCCGUAGCCGGCGCCUUUUAGGUACGAGAGCGCGCGCUCGGCGAGGAGACGCAUGCACCUGCGCGAGAACAGAAACGGCAAAGCGAUGAAAGCAGUAAAAUCAGCAAUGCAAGCUGUACUAGUGUACUUAAUCCCUUUGCGUACACGCCAUGGUAUAUAUCUUUUGUCGUGUUCCGUUCCAAGCGAGGACGCGCGAGAAAGCAGACGCCUGACCAGCAACGUGUAUACGAGUAUAAGCUACUCCCUCCGACCCAUAAUAUAAGAACGUUUUUAUACUAGUAUCAAAAACGUUCUUAUAUUAUGGGACGGAGGGAGUAGGAGAUAUACAACCAAAACAAAAGUGAAGAGUAACAAUGCAAGCUUUACGUGCACGCCAUCAUAUGUAUUUUUUGUCAGUGUUCAUAACCACUCUCCAUUUCUGGUGAGGCGGCGUGGUUCCAGUGAAGCUGAAACGUACGUACGCGACGCACGGCAUGAUGCCGGCUAGGUAAGCUGCGCAAAACCCGCUAUUAAAAUCUAUCGUCUUGCACACAUCCGGCAUCUACCUCAAAGGGCAUCUGCCUCCGUUCGACUGUCGUGAAGGCCAUGGCAGCCGCAGCGGCGGGUGAGAACAGCAAGUUAACUGUAGUGAGAAAGACGGGGGAGGGCAAGUUCAUGGCAACGAUCAAGCACCCGGUGACGAAGACACAGUUGUGGCUGGGGACGUACUCUUCCCCCGAGGUCACCGCAUGCGCCUACGACCUCGCGGCUAGGGAGCUGAAGGGCAUAAAGGCAAAGCUCAACUUCCCCUACCCUCCGCCAGCCAGACUGGUUAAGGAGGUGAUCGCUGCACCGAGGCACCGCAGCCAUGGUCACGACACACCGCUCUUUGAAGUCGUUAUAAGGGAAUCAUGGAACAUCUCAACCAGCCCACUUGUUUCAGUAGGCAUUGUUGCUAUUUUUAUGAGUAAGGAAGUUUUCAUGUGAAAAUCAAAUAAUGUUUACACAAGAACAGCAAUAAGUACUCUCCACAAAACCAAGGAACUAAGAGAGAGAACAGUUGUACAAAUCUGGGUGAAGGAAUCAACCCGAAAUUAAACAAUCAAUCGACCCCUUCACCAUUCUAUAACUUAAAUUGGUGCUUAACUUGUUAUAUUACAACAUGGGCAGAUUCAGUGUCAGAAUAUGGUGCCCACAAAUAUUUGGAACGCAGUCCACAACCUAGUCCAGCACACAUCUAGUCUUCAUGUCUACUAUAGUCAAUAUAUAAAUAAAUCGAGACACUUCCACUGUAAAAAGUUAAAAACAGAUGAAAACAUGCGCAAUACAACUAGGCCAUGAGCAAUUGAGAAAAACCUUAGUCAUGAAUUCAAUGCCACUGGUGGCGGCAAAAGCGGCUGAGCGAGCAUGCGGAACAAUGGAGGGUUAGGUCUAUGAGGUAGCGAGUGGAGUUCAGCAGCUGCAGGUGACAUGAGGUCGUGUGUUGUCGCUUGGUGUGAGCUCACGGCUAUUGUGUAAAACUAUUGUUGAACUAUCUGUAUAAUACUUUUGGUAAAUUCUCAUCCGAUACGCCAGAAUUAUGGUGCAUUAGGACUUCAAUAACUAUUUCGGUUUUAGAGGAUACUAUCUCCGUCUUAGAGGAUAGCGUUGAAGAUACCCUAAUGCCCUUUUUCUUGAAAAACUCUAAAAUGCCAAAAGACUUUUUGGAGAUACGUUUACGGAAAUGAGAAAAAUAGAAAUACGGAAUAUUAAUCUGACAAUCAGACUUGAUGUUUUCUUAUCAGAAUAAAUAAUUUAAUUUAUUUUGAAAAUUACUUAAACCGUUAAAUUCCUAACUUAGCAAUGAUGCUUAGCCACGUUGGAAAGAAAUGCAAUGGAAGAAAAGACAACAUUCGUUUAAGAAAAGACAAACUUCACACAAUAUAUGUAUAAGCAGCAGAAAAGUGUGGUUCCCAUCAGCUAAGCACACGUAAUCUAGGUCUGAUCACCUCAUCCUCAUCCGGGGCAUCAGAUGAUAAGCUAGACUGACGUGUAACGUGCCCAUAUCCGGCGCCUUUUAGGUACAAGAGCGCGCGCUCGGCCGAGGAGACGCAUGCAUCCGCGCGAGAACAGAAACGGCAAAGCGAUGAAAGCAGUAAAAUCAGCAAUACAUGUUGUACUAGUGUACUUGAUACCUUUACGAAACCACAUGCAGUGCUCCGCAUCACCCACGGUUCCCAUCGAGCCACAACGACCACGAGUCCGGCCCGUCCACAUCUAUCGUGGACCUUACAUCGAUGGGCGACGUCCAAGCAAUGGAAUUCGACAAAGAAGAGUAGCACAUGGGAGACGGAUGCGCCCGUGUCCUUGCGGGCAUGUCCGUGGCCCAUGUCUUAUUCUUUAUGGCCGGCGACUACCAGCUUCACUUCCCGGAGCAUAGAACCGGCAAAGAUGAUGGACAUGGGGAAGACAGUACAUGGAACAUGGACGCCUCCACGGCUGGCGAAGAUUUCGACUAAGUUAACAUUUUAUAUUAAAAAAUGUCAUGUACACUUUUGUUAAAUGAAAUAUGUUAAAAAUGUCAUGAAAUUGGUCCGGUUUAAAUGAUCGUCGGUUUGUUCAAAUACCAUUUAAAAUGUGACUAGAUGUAUGAUGGAUAGGGUUGGAUGGCCGGCUCCUGUAUCACUAUCGUGGUUGGACACUAGCUAGGUCCGCUUUAGGGGAUAGCGUUGACGAUACCCGAAAGCCUUUUUUCUAGAAAAACUCUACAAUGCUACAAGACUUUCUGAAGAUAUGUUUAUGGAAAUGUUAAAAAUAGAAAUACCUAAUAUUAAUCUAACAAUCUGACAUUUUUUACGGUGAAUCUAACAAUCUGACUUGAGAUGUGUUUUUAACAGAAAAUAUAAUUUAAUUUAUUUUGAAAAUUCCGUAGACACUUAAAUUUCUAACUUAAUAUUGAUGCUUAACCACGUUGGAAAGAAAUCAUUAGAAGAAACAACAACGUCCGUUUAAGAAAAGACAAACUUCACACAAUACAUGUAUAAGCAGCAGAAAAGUGUGGUUCACGGCAUGUACAAUGGUGGCAUAUGGAUACAUAUGCCUCAUGACAAAAAGUAAUUUGAGGCACCUACAUUUAUUUUUUCUCCCCAAUGCAAGCUAUCACUAGUGGGCCUCAUUAAGAAAUAGAAAAUAAAGACUUUAGUACACAUGUAUCUCUACUUUUCACUUCAACCUUUUCAGCUUUUGUCACCGGACCACACUUUUUCUCUUCAAGCACCCGCCUCCUGGAGAGGAUCCCGCUUCCCUAUCCAAACCUACUUUACGUCAUAUCCGAUCCUACGUGGCAUGUGAGGCAUCACCUUGAGGCUAUGUAUUGUACAUGCCCUCACAUCAGCUAAGCGCACGUAAUCUAGGUCUCUGUCCAAUCUGGUGCAUCAGAUGAUAGCUUGGCUGACGUGUAACGUGCCCGUAUGCGGCGCUUUUCGACCGAGGACGCGCCAUAGUAAAAUCAGCAAUGAAAGAUGUACUAGUGUGCUUGACCCCUUUACGUACAGGCCAUCGCAUAUAUCUUUUGUCGUGUUAAUCAGCGAGAAAGCAGUGUGUGUAUAAUAGUAUAAGCUGGGAAAAAUACAACCAAACAAAAGUGAAAAGGAACAAUGCAAGCUGCAAGGCGGUUCUAUACGUGCACGCUAUGAUAUUUUUUUUUGUCAGUGUUAAUAACCACACUCCGUUCAUGGUGACGCGGCAAGGUUCAAGUGAGGCUGAAACGUACGUACGCGAGGUGAUAUCUGCACCGAGGCACCGCAGCCACGAUCACAACGCACUGCUCUUUCAGGUUGUUAAGUUGCCACCAGACCCCACAGCACCGCCUCAACCGUCGCCCAAGCUGGUAGUUUACUUUCCCUUUCCCUUUAAAGCGCAAGGCCGGCUACACCCCGCAGGUGCCUGCAUGCCUAUUCCUGCACAUGCCGCUUCCAGCAUGAGCACGUCCCAGCCUGCGGCCGGCGCACACACCUGCUCCACAUACACAACAGCCGACCUGACGGAUGCAGAUCGUGGCGCAGGCCGAAAGCUGCUUAAGCUCCUCAAGGGAACCCCUACGUGCUCUGUCUUGCCACCUCUGGUGUUCAAGAAACCCAAGCUAUUCGUCGUUCCCGUCACUCCUAGUGCUCCAAUAGAAGGGACUGAUGACAAUUUCGCCAAGCCGUGGUAUUUUUCUAAUUCUCCUGCUGUUUAGCCUCGGCUGUGCGUAAUAUGCACCGAGAGCCCAUAGUCGUGCGCCAUCAUAAUCCAGAGGCAAUCUGAAUUUAUCUAUCAUUUAAGUUUUAAUUGCAAAUGUAUUUUCAUUGUUAUUCUCGUGUGUCACUGCCAUGUAAUGGUUUUACUGUGGUGUUGUUUAUCAUCAUGUUGUUUGUUUUUACCCGUCACGUAAUCUUUUCACUCUUGCCAUGUGUUCUGUUUCGGUGUGGGGUGCACUCUUGUCUUAUGUUACCAUAAUGUAUUUUGAGUAGAAAUCAUGUAAUCAGUUUACUCCAUUAGUUAAUAAAUAUGUUGUUUGGUGUGGCGUUUGAGAUAAUUGUUUUGGGGUGAAGAGAGAAAAUAUUGCUCAAUCAUCGGUGUUUUUACAAUUUUUAGUGCAAAGAGAAGAAGUGUGAAAUAUGCAAAUUCCAAAUUCAGGAAAUCAGGAUCAAGGAUGGAAGGAUGCUGAAAAAUCAUCAAAGUCCAUGCUCUGAUGUCAUCCAAGUGCACAGUUGUUGUAGUAUAUCAUGAACAAAGUUUGUUUUAACCUUUAGAACUGAACUAAAAUGGCUACUGGCAAUCAAAUCCCUGACGGCUUCAGUAGUUUUUGUCUCGAGGGGGGCAUGAACAUUGAUCUCUAUCAAGAUAUCACGGGUGAUCGCGGCCUUGAAUUCUGGUAUAUCGAUCGCUCUAGACAGUAUUAGAAGUAUCCAAAUGUAUAGAAAACUAUAGUAACUCAUGGCUGAUGAUAUCUGUAUAUUGAUUUAAUUCAAUAAGAAUAAUCUGAAAAAAUGUAGAGCAGCAAUCAUUGCACGACCAUAUUUAAUAUAAAAAGUUAUUAGUUGUCUUAACAUGAAAUAUUUUUAUAAUAAUAGUUGGGGCAUUGUGUUGUAGUACUUAUCUCUUGGAUUUGUAGUAUGGAUGUCAUAUAGUAUAUCCUUAUUUUCUUCCAUGUACAUGAGCUUGUUGCAUCAUGAAAUUACUAGUGAUAGUAGGUAUCGUCCAAUUGGGUUAUUCCAGGGAAUGAUUGCUAAUGUAGUCCAUUCUAGUCUGACUCACAUCUAAAGGUCUUUCACUUAAUGUCUGUUUCGGAAUCGCUAUUUCAGAAAAGGGUGACAUAUUCGACCUCACAUUUGAUGGCAACGUGCAGCUGGAACCCAGCUAAAUAUAAUAGUUAUUUUGAAUUUUUUGGUGAAUUGAAACCUUCACUUUUGGACCAAAUACAACUCAAAAAAGAAACUUUUGGACAAAAUACAACUCAAACAAAAAAAAAAUUUGGACCAAUUUCUCCCGCCCCGCCCUUCCGGUCUUCAAAUUUCAACCACCUGCCUAUCAUUCGCAUUUUCAACUCUAGGCUCGUUUCCUAUCAACCCGGCCCUUCUUCACUGUCCGAUCUGUCAUCAAUGGCGCAUAAUUCCAAAGAUAGGUCCGGCCCGAGCAUAUAUAUAGCGCCAGCCCCGAUGAAGAAUUCCUCCACUCACAGCCAGCCUCCAACGACACCUCGCGUUCCUUUCCGUCUCGUCGUUGUUCACUUUGGCUCUCACCAUCCCUCCGCCUCCACAGUUGGCCCUCGAUUCACCUCUCCAUCUACCCGUGCAGCCGGGCAAACCUGUGACUGCUUCAUCGUCUAACGCCAGCCGACCGACCAAGCGCGCGCUUGCUCACUGCAGGUGGAGAGUAGGACUGGACGUACGAGCGAGCUUUUCGGCUCGGCCCGAAGCUCGCUCCAGCUCGGCCCGUUACAGCUCAGCUCGAUAGGAUAAUCGAGCGGGCCGAGGUCUGAAAACAGGCCCGUUUCGCGACCGAGCCGAGCCGAGUUUCGGCCGGUCCAGCUCGGUGACUCGCUUGCGGCCCAGCCCAAUUCUAUCGUCCAUCGCAAUGGCUAGCGCAGCAUUAGGGCACGGGCAACACAAAGCCAGUCUCUCGUCUCUCCCUUUCUCUCCUCUGCGCCGCUUCGCCCCUCUCUCACCACGCCGCAGAUCUGGAUCGACGGCGACGAGCGACGCCGCGUUUCCUCGCCACACCGAUAACAACGGACUCGGCACCGACGACGACGGGCGGCGCGACCGUUCCUCAUCACACCGGACGCAGACGGACGCGCCUCCCCUGGUUUCUCGUGGAACAUGACGAGCGGGAGCAGGUACCUCCUUCCUUCCCAAUCCCUAGCCGCAGCUCUCUGAACUUCAGUAGUACGCAUGUGAUGGAUCAAUGGAUGGAUGGAUCGAUGGAUGUAGUUAUGUAGUUCGAACUUCCAGUACACAUCUGAUGGAUGGAUCAAUGGAUCGAUGGAUGUAGUCAGGUAGAUGUAUACAGACAGGUAGAUGGAUGGACGGAUGUAGGGCCGAACUCCCACAUCUACGUAGGGCUAGAUGGAUGGAUGUAUUAUAGCCUGUACGGGUAGAUGUAGCGGUGACGGAUGGAUGGAUCAUGGAUGGAUGGAGUUGUAGGGCAGAAUGGAUGGAUGUAUUAUAGCCUGUACGGGUAGAUGUAGCGGCGACGGAUGGAUGGAUCAUGGAUGGAUGGAGUUGUAGGGCAGAAUGGAUGGAUAGAUCAAAAUUUUCAUUGAUUCCAUGUGUAAUUAGUUUUCUGCUGUUGAUGACCUAGUUGAUGAUCUACUUGUUGUAGCAUAGUAGCUUGAAAAAUAAUCUACUUGCUGGAAAAUUACAUAGACUCCAUGUCUAAUUAGUUUACUGUUGUUGAUGAUUGACCGUUUGUUCUUUGCUGAUGUAUGCAGACAAUGGACAAAGAAAAGGGGAAGGCGGGUGGGAAGAAGGAGAAACAAGGUCGUUGGACUCCAUUAUGAAGAGCAAGUUGCCGGUCUCGGGGAUGCAGAAGGAGAAUGGGAAGGGCAAUGCAGUAGCUACUGUGCGGCUGCCAAGGAAGCUGGCAAAUGAUUCCAGCAAUUUCCCAAUCGCUGAGUUGUUGUAUAGGGUAAAAAAGGAACCUCUGCUAUGACGUCUUCCUGAACCAGCCGGCGCUGGGGUGCGUGCCGGAAUCGCUGUUGCCUCCGGCUCCGCAAACUACUAUGAGAGGGAGGCUACAUCUUCCCAGGUAUGUAGGUGCAAAAUAUAUAUUUGUGCAAGCUCGUGUAUGUGCUGUUUUUCUUUUUGAGUGUCAAAUUUAUGUGUGCCCAAGCUCAUAUGUGCUGUUUUUGGUACCUAAAUGUCGAAUAUAUGUUCGUGCAAGCUCAUGUGUGUGCUCUUUUUGGUACACAAAUGUCAAAUAUAUGUUUGUGCAAGCUCACCUAGGUGCUGUUUUUGCUAUCGAAAAGUCAAAUAUAUAUUUGUGCAAGCUCAUGUAUGUGCUGUUUUUGCUAUCCAAAAGUCAAAUAAAUGUGUGUCCAAGCUCAUGUGUGUGUGUGUGUGUUGUUUUUGUGUGCUAGGCAAUGGAACAUGAUAAGCAAGCGGAGGAGGAUCAUGAGGAGGUGGAAGAGGAUGAGUGUCCAAGCUCAUGUGUGUGUGCGUUGUUUUGAUGUGUUAUGCUAUACAAAAUUUCUUUGUUUGGCUGUCAAUAUUUGAUGUUUUGUUGUGUAAAGAUCAAAGGAAGUUCUGUCCAAAAUACAGUAGAAAUGCUGCCCAAUUCUUUCUCUAAUCUGUUACAUUGUUACAAUUUUCGUAGAAGAACUCAUAGAAGAAAGCUUAUUUUUCAUUACUAUGACCAUUUCUUAAAACAAUAGAUUGCUGGAUGUUUCAUUUUUAGCAAUAUAAAUUGUUUGUUUUCCAAAAUAUGAGUUUAAUUACUGCAAAAGAAUCAAGAUUGUGGAGUAUAUACUGAUAUACAUAGGUACAAAGGCUCUGGAGCAGCUGGCUUAUGAGCCGGCUCGGUCUGAGCCGAGCCACACCUAAAACGAGCCGAGCCACCUGAACUAGGCUCGUUGGCUGAGCGAGCCGAGCCGAGCCGCUUCAGAGCGAGCCAAAGCCAGGCUCGGAGCAAGCUCGGCUCGGCUCGGCUCGUGUCCAGCCCUAGUGGAGAGACCAACCGGCAUGGUCCACUCCUCACCGCGGUUCGACCCUGACCCCAAGGUUUGCUAAAUCCUCCCCCGGCUCCUCGAUAAUCAACUUUUAUUUAACGGAAAUGUGGUCGGAGAACGGAGAUAUAGAUUCGUUUGCUUAGCGGCAGCCCGCGGGUGGUUUGGUCCGCUGUGCUCUCGCCCGGGGCAGAUCUGAGGCAUGGCCGUGCGUGCCUGGGUCCGUGAGUUCACGAAGGUACGACAGGCGGCUCCACCCUGACGUAUGUUGCCGGGAUCUGAUCUGGGGCGCCAAAAUUAUUUCGCCGGCCGCUUUGACUGCCCGUCGCCUCUUGAACUUUUAUUAGGAUUUUCGUGGUACCGGUCGUGGAGCGCACAUAGUACUAGUUUCAUCCUGUGGCUGAUGGAUUUUGGUUUCCGCUUUGCUUCCCUUCAUGUGCUGAUCUGUAUAGCGGUGGUGUCAUUUCUGGAGAGAAACUGUGUGCAAGCCUAGUGAUAUGUGUAAGCUUCUGUGGUUGUUUUUUGCUCUUGCGUCGCUGUCGUUGUCGUUGUCAAGCUUAAGGCUUAGACUGUACUGCUUUCUUUUUAGUCACUUGCUGCAACUAAAUUGGGCAAUUGGCCACUUCAGCCUUUUUGCUUAUAUUAUAUAUCUAGAUUUGUAUCAAGCGAACCACAGACUUAAGUAUGUUUGUUUUUGUGAAGGAAGAAGGCGACGGUUUUGAAUCCAGCACAGGUGCCUGCUUUCGCGGCGGACGGCGGCGAGUGUUCGGUGGGCCUGCAAUCCUCCCUCCCCCCGCUCUCUGAUUUUCUUCCCAACGGCGCUAAAUUUUUUCCCGUACUCGCCGAAAUCAAAAAACGAUUCGCAGAAAUUUUUGGAUGAGUUUGAAAUCGGCGGAUAUCGAGACUUCUGUCGUUACUAUAUCAUGUUGAUACUAGUUUAUUGGGAUUGAAGUUUAUUGAGUGUUUUGGGUGUUUUAUUUGCUAGAUUUGCUGCCUGUUUGUAUUUCAUCACCAUGAUUUUCGCCCCUGUAUCACAUUGGAAAUGAAAUUUGUAUCGUCUCAGCACAAACUUUUAUGGAGCUGGAUUGAAAUUGGCUGAUGGAUGCACUUUGUAGUUAUCACGCUUUUUUCACCUCAGUUAUCAGGCAUGCCCUUGAGUUGUUACUCUGGCUUAGUUUAAUUUGGACACAUAUUUUCCUCACAUUAUGUGCAGUAAUUUAUCCACUGCUAGUUAUCGCCAUAUUUCAUGUUUUAUAGUUAUCAGUCCUAUUGCAUCUUAUUAAUCAGGUUUGUAGCCUCACAAUUGUAGACCAUUUGUCAGUUCAUAGUGCUCAAUGUCCUAAUAUUUCACCAUGCUAGUUUUAUUUUAUUUUACCGUGAUUGCUAUUCUAAUGUACCAAGGUCUGUAAGCUCUGGGAUUUGUUUUUUCAACUCGUCGGAUAUAUAGUAGUUAUCAUAUUUCUCCUUUGGAAAUGGGCAUGCCUGCUGUAGCAAAAUUACUAGUCUCUUAAUUUUCGUUCAUGCCAAAAAUUAAUUUUAUUUUUGUUAGUCAACGCGCAUCACUGCAGUUCUUUUGUUGCUAUGUGUUCACGAUGUGUUUCUGCACUUUUGUUUUAAGGCUAUGGUCUGUACUUUGCACAAUUACCAUCACUAUUUUGUAGUAUUGCCUUGUUUGAUGUAUAUAAACUCUCGCCAAGUAUUAGCAAGUCUACCAACCGGUAUGUGUUGUACUACUAUUUACCUUUCCUCUUUUCUCUUUAAAAUUUAGCACAUUUUCGUUGAUAUUCCAUAAGUAAAUUUCGUUCAUGACUAUGACUGUCAAAUUGUUGUUUCCAGGACAGUUGUGUAUAAAUUACGAUGUAGUAGCAAAUUUCACAAAGUUGUUUCUGGGUAUUUUUCAUCAUGUACAUUUGAAAGGGGUGGUACGAUUUUUCUUGUGGUGUUUCUAUACUUUAAUUAUGAAGGUUACUAUGCCCUCUGGUAUUUCUAUAUUUUUUUCAAAAAAAAUUGUGGGACAUUUUUAACUGUAUUCCUCCUCUUGUACGCGACAGGGCACAAUGAAAAGGAAACGCAAAGGAGAUGCAGCAAUUCAGGAGGUAGCUUCUUUGAUGAAGUUGAAGUCCCCUACAGAUAGAAACAAGGCUUCUUUCAGCUUGCUUCCUGGCAAACAACUUGUUCAUGAGUCAUAUACCAACGAUAAGAGCCACGAUGAUGGUGACGAUAACGAUGGCUACUCCGAUGAUGAUGGAGACUAUCGAAUUGUUUUUCGUGCUCAAGAAGGAGCCUAUGAUUCUUCAGGCAGUAGGGCAGCCUAUGUAGACGUCCAAGACAGUGCUACAACAAAUGCAAAUGUGUUGUCCAGCGGAGCAGCAAAUGAUGAAGGCACGCCAACAAGUGUGAGGAUUGAACAUGUUCUCGAGUCGCAAAUUAUGCUUAGUCAACCUUUUUGCACGACAUUAGUUGAUGGAGGGGAAGGAUGCUUAGCCAGCCAGAUAUGGCAGACAAGCGGGUUGAGGUGGGCAAAGAAUCUUCCUUCAAGGGCUAUGGUGCUUCUCUUGUGAAGGCUUUGGAUAAGACUUACACAAGACGCAAGAAAUUCAAGGUAUCUUCUCCGCCGCCACCAGUUGCACCAGUUGACUCUGCCAUACUAUCGGAAGCUUAAAUGGAUUACCAUAUCAAGAUCAUUGUCGUACAAGAGCUUGGUAUUCGGUUCACCGAUAAGGGCACCAGUGAGAGCAUUCCACCCCUCAGUCAGCAGAAGCAAUAUUCACGCAGGUGAGCUCUCAUUGUCUUUCCUUUUUCUUUUUAGCUUCAUCAUCACUGUAUGGUAAUUUUUGGAGUGAUUCUAUAGUAACUUGAGUAGUUUAACAUUGAUAACUUAUAAUUCUCAUAUUUACACUUUGUUUACUUUUGCUCAAGCCACUUUCUCUUUUUCUCGAUAGGAGACCUAACAAGCAGGUUGAUACGGCCAAGUAAUCAUCCAGAUCAGCCCUCCCGAUGAAGAACAGGAGGUGGCGGCGGCUUCAUAUCGUAAAACGCGAUGAUUACAUCUCUCUGUUUUCUGGAUGAAUAGGUAUUUAUAGAGUUGGAGUUAGGGUUGCCGGAGCUACCAGGGGCGCACAAGCCUGCCAGCCGCGCCCUAGGGGGGUGGGUGUGCCAUGGUGGCCUCCCUCUCGUAUUUCUCUUCGCCAGUAUUAUUUAUAUAUUCUAAAAAUAUUCUCCGUAAAGUUUUAGCCCCAUCCAAGAACUUUUAUUUCCGUGCAAAAAUAACACCAUGGCAAUUCUUCCCGAAAACAUCAUCAGUCCAGGUUAGUUCCAUUCAAAUCAUGCAAAUUAUAGUUCAAAACAAGAGCAAAAGUGGUUGGAAAAGUAGAUAUGUUUGGGAAGUAUUAGUGACCGGAUGGGGCGACGAGGCGACUCUCUACCGCAUUGAGACCGGCUACCCGUCUGUCUGCAUGUCGACAUUAAAUAAGCGGGAUAGCCGAGAAACCCACUUUGGUGCCUGCACUGAAAUAACUCGAUGUUUGGUUUAGUCGGUGCCUGGUAUUUAUAUGUGGUCGCACAUAGCUUGAUCUGGACCAUGCCACGUCCAUUUUAGUUCCUCCUUCGUGCACCAACUCUGCCAUGGCGAGCUCUAUAUCGAAGUGGGAGAACCUCUCAACGGAGCAGAAGCACCAGUUUGUCAGCCUUGCGGCCGACUAGAAGCGUUGUCAUGCGCGACGGAUAGAAGUCGGCUUGCCGAAGGUGAGAGAUGACGACGAUCCGGCACCCCCGCCAGUGCCAGUCCAUGCAUGCAACCGCACUUCAACAUCGUCAUGAUGGACAAGCAGGCAGCACUGCCAGUGUCGAUGUUUUGGCUGGCGCAGGAGGAGCCAGGCUCCUACCUCGCCCUCCUCACGCAUCCCUAGCUGGCUGAGGACCAAAUCUAUGGUGGGUUCACGACCACAGCGGCCAUGGCCUCGGAGUAGCCGAUCUUUGUCGACGAGAAGGGAGCGUUCUGCGAGACCAUGUGCAGCGCUUGCGUUGGCUGCAACACAAUCAUGGUGGAGGCGGGCGUGGUAGCUUAGGUGAUCACGAACGGGGACAUUGGUAGCUCUGCAUCACCCACAGUUCACGUGGGCCACAACGACCACGAGUCUAGCCCGUCCAAGUCUAUCAUGAACCUCACAUCGACUAGCUAUGUCCAAGCAGCGGAAUUCGACAAGGAAGAGUAGGACAUAUGAGAGACGUAGGCGUCCGCAUUCCAUGUGGGCAUAUCUGUGUCCCAUGUCUUAUUCUUCCUCGCCGGUGACCCGUAGCUGAACAUCGUAGAGCUCUGGCCUGGCAAAGAUGUCGGACCUGAGAAAGACAGGAUAUGGAACACGAACGCUUCCACAAUUGGCGAAGAUUUAGACUAGGUUAACAUUUUAUGUUAAAAAUGUCAUGUACACUUUUGUUAAAUGAAAUAUGUUAAAAAUGUCUUGAAAUUGGUCUUGUUUAAAUGAUCGUCUGGUUUGUUCAAAUAUUGCUUAAAAUGUGUCCAGACAUUUCAUGGAUAGGGUUGGAUGGCCGGCUCCUGUGUUAUUGUCGUGGAUGGAUACCAUUUCUGUAUGAGUGGAUAGCGUUGAAGAUACCCUAAAGCUUUUUUUUUCUUGAAAAACUCUACAAUGCUACAAAACUUUUUGGAGAUAAGUUUAUGGGAAUGAUAAAAAUAGAAAUACCGAAUACUAAUCUAAAAAUCUGACUUGAGAUGUGUUUUUAUCAGAAGAAAUGACUUAAUUUAUUUUGAAAAUUCCUUUAACCGUUAAAUUUCUAACGUAACAAUGAUUUUUUUUUGAAAGAUCCAUCUUGGCUGGCUUCAAUAGUUUAGCAGAGAACAGACAGGUUACAAGAGUUGAUCAAAAGAUCAAAGACUAAGAUAAGAGCAGCACGGGACUAAAGGGAAAAGAGAAAGCCAAAAGGGGUAAAAAUAAUAUCUCGCAUCUAAAUCCCCGAAUGGGGUCUCUAUAGCUUUGGCUCCCGCUAAAUGCCACUGUUCCAUGUUUCGCCGUAUUAACUUAACAAUGAUGCUUAACCACGUUGGAAAGAAAUGCAUUAGAAGAAAGGACAACCAUCGUUUAAGAAAAGACAUACCUCACACAAUAUAUGUAUAAGAAGCAGAAAAGUGUGGUUCACACCAGCUAAGCGCACGUAAUCUAUGUCUCAUCCCAUAUGGUGCAUCAGAUGAUAGGCUAGGCUGACGUGUAACGUGCCUGUAUCCGGCGCUUUUCGGCCGAGGACGCGCGCGAAAUCACAAAAAUCAGCAAUGCAAGCUGUACUAGACUACUAGUGUACUUGAUCCCUUCACGUACACGCCAUUGCAUAUAUCUUUUGUCGUGUUAAUAACCUUUGCUUUUGGGUGGUGAUCGUGUUAAUCAGCAAGAAACUAGUCUCCUGGUAAUAGAAACGGCGGAACUGGAAAGCAGUGCGUGUAUAACAGUAUAAGCUAGGAGAAAUACAACCAAACAAAAGUGAAAGGGCACUAAUCUGCGCCGGCGCACCGGCCCAACCGUUCGGCCGGUCGCGUCAGGGCCGUUGGAUUUGAGCCGCAUGGGCCAUUGGAUCUGGCGAAAAAAAAGGGUUUGCCCCGCAGCUUCUUCUUCCUCUCGCUGGAAAUCACAUCUCCCACUCGGCACGUGCGUCCUCUCCCCUCCGGUGCCUGACCUCGUCGCCGGUCCCCACUCCCGCUGGCCGUCCUCGUCGCCGGUCCCCAUCCUCGUCGGCUGUCCGCGUCGCCAGUCCCCAUCUUCGCCGUCUGUCCUCGUCGCCGCCUUGACCCAUGAAAUAGCUGCGCCUGCGGUUGUAGCUCUCAGCAGCGACGGGUGAAGCUCAGGUUGCAGCUCCGCCGCUGUCCCUCGCCGCAGCCCUGUCGCCAUGGCCACGCCCAGCCAAUCUUUUCUCCUUCAUCAUCCAAGUGCAGAUAUAUUUUGCUUCAACCAUGGUUCAUUUUUGCUACGACCGGUGACAGGAAUCGCUACAACCAUUCAUGUCGACAGUACGGCGCCGACCACGAUUUUAUUCAACCUUAGUCGGGUUUUGCCGGGAGUAGCAAGACGUGGCACCGGUUGUAGCUUUUCCCAUUGUCGAUUGCAGCAAAAAAUUGCGUGCAGCUCCUUGCCGUCAACCCGUCGUAGCCUCGCCGUCAUAACCAUUGUUGGCUCUAGCUUGAAGCUUUUUUCAUGGUCGGUUGAAGCUUUUUUCGUAGCUGCUUCCAGCUUUUCUAUGAGGAUUGAAGCUUUUCUGUCAUGCCUGUUGAAGCUUUUUUCUCCAUCGGUUGGAACUUAUACUAGGCCGGUUGAUGCUUUUUUCCAUGUCCGUUUGCACCAAUUCGUUGCCGUUGCCGUCGCAGGUCGCGGUCUUCCCCACAUAUGAUGGAUGUAGCAAAAAUCCCGCCGGUAGUAGCAAAAUCUUAGGACGGUUGCAACAAAAAAAGGCACCGCGCUAGUAGGUCGCAGACCCGCCGUGAUGAAUGUAGCAAAAUCCGUCACCNNNNNNNNNNNNNNNNNNNNNNNNNNNNNNNNNNNNNNNNNNNNNNNNNNNNNNNNNNNNNNNNNNNNNNNNNNNNNNNNNNNNNNNNNNNNNNNNNNNNNNNNNNNNNNNNNNNNNNNNNNNNNNNNNNNNNNNNNNNNNNNNNNNNNNNNNNNNNNNNNNNNNNNNNNNNNNNNNNNNNNNNNNNNNNNNNNNNNNNNNNNNNNNNNNNNNNNNNNNNNNNNNNNNNNNNNNNNNNNNNNNNNNNNNNNNNNNNNNNNNNNNNNNNNNNNNNNNNNNNNNNNNNNNNNNNNNNNNNNNNNNNNNNNNNNNNNNNNNNNNNNNNNNNNNNNNNNNNNNNNNNNNNNNNNNNNNNNNNNNNNNNNNNNNNNNNNNNNNNNNNNNNNNNNNNNNNNNNNNNNNNNNNNNNNNNNNNNNNNNNNNNNNNNNNNNNNNNNNNNNNNNNNNNNNNNNNNNNNNNNNNNNNNNNNNNNNNNNNNNNNNNNNNNNNNNNNNNNNNNNNNNNNNNNNNNNNNNNNNNNNNNNNNNNNNNNNNNNNNNNNNNNNNNNNNNNNNNNNNNNNNNNNNNNNNNNNNNNNNNNNNNNNNNNNNNNNNNNNNNNNNNNNNNNNNNNNNNNNNNNNNNNCCCUGGCGAGUGGGAUCUGGUCUAGCCGGUUGGCUUUCAUCGGCAUAGCGUGUGCUUUGGUCGCUCGUGGAGAGAGAAAGAGCUGGGGAGGAAGAAGAGCGGUUGGCAGAUGGAUAAGGCCGUAGAUGCGUGGCUAUGAAAGAGGGAAAGAGGGUGUUGCAUGUGGGCCGGGAUGCGUGGACGAGCGACUUGGCGCAACAAGGAAAAACGGAUCGCACGCCCCGUGCGCGACCGGCGGAAGACUCAGCCAGUGCGCCGGGUAUAAACGUUUCCCAAAGUGAAAAGGAACAAUGCAAGCUGUAAGGCGGUUCUAUACGUGCACGCCAUGAUAUAUAUUUUUUGUCAGUGUUAACAACCACUCCCUAUUCAUGGUGGGGCGGCGUGGUUCCAGUGAGGCUGAAAUGUGUGUAUGCGACGCAUGGCUUGAUGCCGGAGGCUGGGCUGCGCAAGACCCGCUGUUAAACCCCAUCGUCUUGCACACAUCAGGCAUCCACCUCAAAGUGCAUCCACCUCCAUUCGACUGUGGUAUAGGCCAUGGCAGCCGCAGCAGCGGGUGAGAACAGCAGGUUAACUAGGGUGAGAAAGAAGGGGGAUGGCAAGUUCACCGCAGUUAUGAAGCACCCGGUGACGAAGACAUUGUUGUGGCUGGGGACGUACCAGUCCCCUGAGGUCGCCGCGUGCGCCUACGACCUUGCGGCUAGGGAGCUGAAGGGCACAAAGGCAAAGCUCAACUUCCCCUACCCUCCGCCGGCCAAACUGGUAAUGGAGGUGAUUGCUGCACCGAGGCACCGCAGCCGCGGUCACGACGCACAUGCACCACUCUUUCAGGUUGUUAAAUUUUCACCGGACCCCACAGCACCGCCUCCACCACCGCCCAAGCUGGUAGUUUACUUUUCCUUCCACAUUGAAGCGCCCGCUAGAGACACCCCACCGGUGUCUGCAUACCCGUUCCUGCACAUCCCGCUUCCGGCACGUGCACGUCUCAGCCUGCAGCCGGUGCAUGUGCACGCACCUGCUCCACAGCCACAACAGCCUAUCCAACGGAUGCAGAUCAUGGCGCAGACGGAAAGCUGCUUAAGCUCCUCAAGGGUCUUAGAGUAAUUCUAUAGGGAUAGGAUAGGCUGUUUAACUUGUACCUCAAUUCUAUCUCUUCUUCUCCCGUAUCUCUCUGUAACGACCUGUUUGGUCUAUCUCUCUGAUCUCUCUUGAUUUCUCACUAUAACUUGUGUACCAAGGCUUUUGCCCAAUAUAUACAAUACGGCCCGAGAUAAAGGGUUCUAUACUUCCCAAAUACUUUCACAUGGUAACAGAGCCUCUUCCUCAUUAGAUUCAAAGAGAUCGCAUCUACAAUUGUGAUAUUUUAUUUAACACAAAGAUUGUAUUGUUUACUUACCAUACUAAGGGCAUCGAGGUGUCUUGGAGUAGCAAGCCAUCCAUGAUGUACCCAUUGAUGUGUGGAUGCAUUGGCUUGUCAGAAAUCCCGCCAACUGGAUGCAAAGCAGGGGGAGGUGAGCAGGCUUACGAACCCCCACAACGUACUAGUUCAGCACCCCGGUCCAAUCAAAAUAUUCUCUCGAGCACGCGCCAUCUCCGGCGCAACUGCAUCUCCACUAUCCAUGCUGCAUUCAGGCCGGCCUAGAGGGGACGCGACCGGUCACUAGAGCCAUCAUUGAAUGGGAGUGCUGCCCGAGUGCGCCACCCCCGUCACGUCAUGGUCUCCACGCCUGUUCAAUGCCGGAGAGACGUGACCGGAUGGGGUGAUGAGAUGACUAUCUACCGCAUUGAAGUCGGGUGCUCAUCUAUCUGUGUGUCGACAUUAAACAGACGUGAUAGCCGAGAAACCCACUCCAGUGUCCGCACUGAAACAACUUGAUGUUUGACUUGGUCGAUGCCCUUUAUUUAUACAUGGCCGCGCACAACAUGAUCCGCACCACACCACGUCCAUUUUUAUUCCUCUGUGCACCACCUUUGCCACGACAAGCUCUAGAGCAAAGUGGGAGACCCUCUCAGCGGAGAAGAAGCACGAGUUGGCCAGGCUUGCGGCUGACUAGCAGCACCGUCAUGUGUGACGAAUAGAGGCUGGUUCGCCGGAGGUGAGAGACGACGACGUGACGAUGAGCCGGAGCCCCCGCUCACACAGGUCCAUGGCGAAACCACACUUCAACAUCGCCAUGAUGGAGGAGCAGCCGACACCACUAGUGUUGAUGUUUUGGCUGGCGCCGGAGGAGCAAGGCUACAACCUUUCCAACCUCCUGCAUUACCGGCAGGCUGAGGGCCAAAAUCUAUGGCGACGUUGCAAGCAGGGAGGCCACGGCGGCCAUGGCUUCGGAGGAGCCGAACUUCGUCGAACAACAGGUAGCGCUCUACGGGAGCACGUGCAGCGCUCGUGCCGGCUGCAACGCUAUAACAGUGGAGGUGGGCAUGACGGCUUAGGCGAUCGGGAACGGGAACGGUUACAUAGGCAGCUCCGCGUCACCCGUGGUUCCCGUCGGGCCACAAGGACAACGAGUCUGGCCCGUUCCACGUCCAUCUUGGACCUCAAAUUGACUGACGACAUCCAAGCAACGCAAUUCGACAAGGAAAAGUAGGACAUGGGAGAAGAAGGGGUUCGUAUCCCAUGUGGGCAUGCCCGUGUCCCAUUUCUUACUCUUCAUCGCCGGUGAGCCACAACUUCACUUCGUGGAGCUCAGGCCCGGCAAAGAUGCCAGACAUGGGGAAGACGGGACAUGGAACAAGGACGCCUCCAUGGCUGGCGAAGAUUUAGACUAGAUUAACAUUUUAUGUUAAAAAAUGUCAUGUACACUUUUUAAAAUGAAAUAUGCAAAAAAUGUCAUGAAUUUAGACCGGUUUAAAGGAUCAUCCAGUUUGUUCAAAUACCGUUUAAAGUGUGUCCGGACGUUUGAUGGAUAGGGUUGAAUGGCCGACUCCUGUAUCACUGUCCGUGGACAGAUAUUAAUGUCCAUUUUGGGGGAUAGCAUUGAAGAUACCCUAGAGCCUUUUUUCUUGAAAAACUCUAUAAUGCUAUAAGACUUUUUGGAGAUACAUUUAUGGAAAUGAUAAAAAUAGAAAUACCGAAUAUUAAUCUGACAAUCUGACUUGAGAUGUUUUUUUAUCAGAAAAACUAAUUUAAUUUAUUUUGAAAAUUACUUAAACCGUUAAAUUCCUAACUUAGCAAUGAUGCUUAGCCACGUUGGAAAGAAAUGCAAUGGGAGAAAAGACAACAUUCGUUUAAGAAAAGACAAACUUCACACAAUAUAUGUAUAAGCAGCAGAAAAGUGUGGUUCCCAUCAGCUAAACACACGUAAUCUAGGUCUGAUCACCUCAUCCUCAUCCGGGGCAUCAGACGAUAAGCUAGACUGACAUGAAACGUGCCCGUAUCCGGUGACUUUCAGGUACGAGAGCGCACGCUCGACCGAGGAGACGCAUGCAUCCGCGCGAGAACAGAACGGCAAAGCGAUGAAAGCAGUAAAAUCAGCAAUGCAAGCUGUACUAGUGUACUUAAUCCCUUUACGUACACGCCAUGAUAUAUAUCUUUUGUCGUGUUCCGUUCCAAGCGAGGACGCGCGAGAAAGCAGCCGCAUGACCAGCAAUCGUGUAUACGAGUAUAAGCUAUACUCUCCAUCCGAUAAUAUAAGAACGUUUUUAUACUAGUAUCAAAAAUGUUAUUAUAUUAUGGGACAGAGGGAGUAGGAGAUAUACAACCAAAACAAAAGUUAAAAGUAACAAUGCAAGCUUUACGUGCACGCCAUCAUAUGUAUUUUUUGUCAGUCUUUAUAACCACUCUCCAUUCCUGGUGAGGCGGCGUGGUUCCAAUGAAGCUGAAACAUACGUACGCGACGCACGGCAUGAUGCCGGCUGGGUAAGCUGCGCAAAACCCGCUAUUAAUAUCCAUCGUCUUGCACACAUCCGGCAUCCACCUCAAAGGGAAUCUACCUCCGUUCGACUGUCGUAAAGGCCAUGGCAGCCGCAGCAGUGGGUGAGAACAGCAAGUUAACUGGAGUGAGAAAGAAGGGGGAGGGCAAGUUCACGGCAACGAUCAAGCACCCGGUGACGAAGACACAGUUGUGGCUGGGGACGUACUCUUCCCCCGAGGUCACCGCGUGCGCCUACGACCUCGCGGCUAGGGAGUUGAAGGGCAUAAAGGCAAAGCUCAACUUCCCCUACCCUCCGCCGGCCAGACUGGUUAAGGAGGUGAUCGCAGCACCGAGGCACCGCUGCCAUGGUCACGACACACCGCUCUUUGAAGUCGUUAUAAGGGAACCAUGGAACAUCUCAACCAGCCCACUUGUUUCAGUAGGCAUUGUUGCUGUUUUAUGAGUAAAAAAACUUUCAUGUGAAAAUCAAAUAAUGUUUACACAAGAACAGCAAUAAGUACUCUCCACAAAACCAAGGAAUUAAGAGAGAGAACGGUUGUACAAAUCUGGGUGAAGGAAUCAACCUGAAAUUAAACAAUCAAUCGACCACUUCACUAUUCUAUAACUUAAAUUGGCGUUUAACGUGUUAUAUUACAACAUGGGCAGAUUCAGUGUUAGAAUAUGGUGCCCACAAAUAUUUGGAACGCAGUCCACAACCUAGUCCAGCACACAUCUAGUCUUCAUGUCUACUAUAGUCAAUAUAUAAAUAAAUCGAGACACUUCCACUGUAAAAAGUUAAAAACAGAUGAAAACAUGCGCAAUACAACUAGGCCAUGAGCAAUUGAAAAAAACCUUAGUCAUGAAUUCAAUGCCACUGGUGGCGGCAAAAGCGGCUGAGCGAGCAUGCGGAACAAUAGAGGGUUAGGUCUGUGAGGUAGCGAGUGGAGUUCAGUAGCUGCAGGUGACAUGAGGUCGUGUGUUGUCGCUUGGUGUGAGCUCACGGCCAUUGUGUAAAACUAUUGUUAAACAAUCUGUAUAAUACUUUUGGUAAAUUCUCAUCCGAUAUGCCAGAAUUCUGAUGUAUCAGGACUUCAAUAACUAUUUGUAACGUGGUUGACCGAAAAAAAUUGCUACCCGUUGUGAUGUUGUCUAUGAUUGCCCCCAUAUUGGUCAAUAACUCAAAUCCUAGAUCCGCCGCUUUAUUACAAUCCUAUUAUAGCUACAAAAAACUUGCUUCAUAUAUCCCAUAACGGUACAGCCAGGAUACUAAAAUAGCAGCCAGCGGCAAAAAAGAAAGAUGUUAAUCAUACCUACUCACAUUGCAAAUACAAAAAUCACUUGAUAGAUGAAGGGGUACAAAAGUUUAACGUGUUUUUUGAAGGACAUGUUGUGUCCUUAAAAUAUGCUAGCAGUAUUAUUUGAAGAUGAAGGACACGUUGGUGCCACAAAAAUCCCUUGAUGGAAUCGUAAUGAACAGAACCAUCCUAGGAUUGAGAUUAUCGAUUCGAUAAAAUAUACCCAUCGUAGCCUUGCAUUUACUGGUCAGUAGGAAAGCAGGUUGCUAAAUUAAUAACAACAGAUAAGUGACACAUUUAGCUCAAAUUAAAGCAAGAGAGACUGACACAAGAAAGUAAACUGAAGAGGGGGCUUACAUGCGCCUCAUUGUUCUCCUCCACCUCCUCCUGCAGCGGCUCCUCCAACUGCUUCAUAAAUACCGAAAAAGAUAAUAAUAACUUGUUAGUUUGUACCAACUUCAACCUGUGCAAAUGCAAACUUAAGCAUGUUAACACUAAUAUAACAUGGCAUGCUUUAUGUAAGGUAGUCUGAAUCCUAGAAUGGUUGGUCCAUCAAUUAAUUCCUAAUUUUCUAUUCAUGAUUUAAUCAUAUAAAACAGUAUAAUGAUGAAGCACUUCAAUAAAUUCACAGCCAAACAAGAUGAGAAAUCUAUCUAUUACUCCCUCAGUCCCAAAAUAAGGGUCGCUGCUUUGGUAAAAUGGCCAAAUGUCUCUAUGUUUUGUUGGAUUUUCUGGAAUAUUGUUCCUUUUCCUCUCUAUUGUGCUUUUAGCCUAUACUCCAUCCGUCCCAAAAUAAGUGUCGCUGAUUUUAUGAGGCAAUGCUCAACUGCUAUUCCCAUCUUGUUUUGUGAAAUGUAUAGCUAAUGGGUCCGUCAUUAUGGCAUUCCCUAUGAUGACAAUUUUAUUAAAAGAGAAUGAGCCAAACCAUCCUAUGAUUGAGGUCGCCAAUUCGAUCAAAUAUGCCCAUCGUAGAGCCUUGCAUUUGGCGGUCAGAAGGAAAGCGGACUGGUAAUUAGCAACAAAGAAUACAGUUACACACUUGCAUCGAAGCAUGAGAGACACAAGAAACUAAAUGGAGAGAGAGCUUACCAGAGGCUCAUCCUCCUCCUCCUCUCUGCCUGCAUCAGCUCCUGCAAAUACUCAUAAAUAUCAAAAUAAUAAUAAUAAUAAUAAUAGUACUACUACUACUAAUAAUAAUAAUAAUAAUAAUAAUAAUAAUAAUAAUAAUAAUAAUAAUAAUAAUAAUACAGUUACACACUUGCAUGAAAGCAUGAGAGUCUAUCACAAGAAAGUACAGAGAGAGGGAGCUUACUAGAGGCUGAUCCUCCUCCAGCCCCACCUGCAUCGGUGCUCGCGCCCAGCACGAUGUUCCUUGGAUCCUUCCCAAAUUCUGGGUAUUUGAAGUUCAACGCUUGCCACUGGCUUGCAUCCUUAGGGUGACUCAGCAUCUUGUCUUUUUUAUUUAUCUCCGGAUCAUUUCCGUCAUCUUCCCGCUUAUUCUCCUCCUUAUCCGCAUGCCAACGCAGGAGCUUUGCUACCUUAGGGUCCGCGAAAUACCGCUGCAGACAAGGAGUGAUCGGAAAGUACCACACCGAUUUUCGAGGAGCUUUCUUCCUCUUCUUGUAUCGAGUGACGCCGCACAGCGGACAUAUGGUAGACUCCGCGUGCUCGUCCCGAUAAAUGAUGCAAUUGUUCAUGCACACAUGGUAUUUCAUGUGCUGUAAAUUCAGAGGACACAUGAUUUUCUUCGCCUCCUCGAAACUGGUCGGGCACUUGUUCCCCUUGGGAAGACGUUCGUGUCAGAAUGACAUGUUCUCGUCGAAGUAUGCGUCGGUCAUUUUGUGUUUUACCUUCAUCUCCAGAGCCAUGAGCGUUACUUUCAGGCGGGUAUCCUCGGGCCUGCAUCCUUCAUACAAUGGAGUAACCGCGUCUAUCUCCAGUUGAUCCAGCUUGGCUUUCUCUCAGGCGGCAGCUCUUACGUUAUCCGUCUGCUUGAGAAGCAGCUCUUGAAUAUGAGGGUCCUGUACCCAGCCUCCAUCGUCGUCUGCUCCGGCAUCUUCAUCUUCAUGAUCAUGCCCUUCGUCUUGAUCUUCCUCAUCAUCAUGUACGACAUCUUCUACAUGAUCACUGUGUACAGCAUCACCACCGUGAUCAUGUCCUGGAGAUUCUUCGUCUUCUCACCCGCCCUCGCCGCGGUGGUACUCAAACUAAGUCCUAAAUUUCUAUUCAUACUUUAGUCAAUUGAAACAAGCAGUAUAAUGAUGAAGCAUUUCAAUAAAUUCACAGCCAACAAGAUGAGGAAUCUAUUAUGUACUAAAAGCACAAAAGGUGAAAGAACAAUAUUCUAGAAAGUCCAGCAAAAAUUAGAGACAUCUACGCAUUUCUGUACUUCAUACUCAAUUAACCAUUAAACAACAGCCAUUGGAUCCCACAGCACCGCCUCCACUGCCGCCCAAGCUGGAAAUUUACUUUCCAUUCCCCUUUGAAGCACCCGCCAGCGACACCCCACCGGUGCCAGCAUAUCCUUUCAUGCACAUGCCGCUUCCGGCACGAGCACGUCUCGGCCUACAGCCAACGCGCGUGCACGCACCUGCUCCACAGCCACAGCAGCCGAUCCGACGGAUGGAGAUCGUGGCGCAUGCAGAAAGCUGCUUAAGCUCCUCAAGUAAACACCUAGGGGCUCCGUCUCGCCACCUGGUGUUCAAGAAACCAAAGUUGUCCGUCGUUCCCGUCACUCCUAGUGCUCCAACAGAAGGGACUGAUGAUAAUUUCACCAAGCCGUGGUAUUUCCCUGAUUCUCCUACUGUUUAGCCUCGGCCGUGCGCAAUAUGCACCGAGAUCCCAUAGUCGUGUGCCAUCAUAAUCCAGAGGCAAUCUGAAUCUAUAUAUCAU